UUUUUUUUGAGGUCGACUGGUCGACUUUGUCUUCAACAGGAUUAGUGGGGGCACGCUGAGUGCACCCACUGGGUGUAGUCCCCGAGACUACGGUCGAAUGCUUGUAUUCGGCUGUAGUCUUAGAAAUGUGUGUUUUUCCCUUUUUCACUCGGAAGUGAAUUAUAUUUGACGUUUAGUCGAUUGGUUCUUCGCAGAACUCUUGUGAUCUUGUGGCUCGCUAUUCUGAGCUGGAAAACAAGCACACUCAACUCGAGCUGAGCCUGAAGCUGGUUCAGGAGAAGCUGACAAAGUCAAAGGAGGAGACCGAAGGUAUGUUUGGUGAGAUCCUGACGACUGCUUUUCCCCUUGCUUGUUCCAAAAUCUGAUCUUGCUGUAACUUGCAGGUAAGGUAAGGGAGGCCCAACAGAAGAAAGACCUCGAACUAGCUGAGAAGAUCAAGCUUGCUGACGAGAAGUUAGCUUCAGUCACCAAGCUUGAACAAGACAAUACCAAUCUGAAAGCUGCUCUUGGUAUCGCCAACAAGGAGGUCAGUCGACUGAAAACUGAUAAAGCUGCCCUGGCCGACCAAGUCAGCAAAUUGACUGGGAAGAAAACUGAUCUGGAGGCCUUCCUGAGUGGUCUUGCCAAGAAGCUGUUUCUUAUGCUUGAAGGUAAACCUCUAUGCUUGGCAAACAUUUCCAAUUGUGGUUUUUCCAUUCGACCAUCUCCUUGACUUAGUGAUCAUCCUUGCAGAAUUUUGUCAAAACUUCGAAGAAGAAACUAGCCGACUGGAGCCAAACCUCGACCCCGUCAAUUCUCCGGUGAACGACGAAGUUGCCAUGGAUGUUUUCCGACUGGAGUCCCGUGUUGCAGCUGUCGUGUACUAUCUCGCAAGGCUGAAGGCCGCCACAUCUCGCAUCAACUCGACGCUCUGGCCUGAGGAGACACUUCAGAAUGACCUUGAGUCGCUGAUGGCCCGCUUGAACAUGAUCCCUGGUCGAGUGCAGGAAUAGAAGAAGUCCUCGGCUCGGUGUGGUGCAGAUGUUGCUCUGUGUCUGGCCCGAGUCCACUGUAAAGACGCGCGAGAAGAGAAGCCGGCGGCCCUUCGGGUGGCCAAUACCAAGAAGCACGACUUCAGGUCCUUUAUGGAAACUUUCCUUGCAGCUGCCACUCGGAUCGCCGACGGAAUUGACCUUGAUGAAUUCGUUGCACCUUCCAGCCCUCCACAGGAGGGGUAAAAAACUUCUUCUGGCUCGACUCUUUAAAUUUGCCUCGGUAUGCCGAGUGGAAUUGUAGCCGAUAAACCUUAAUCAGGCUUAACGCCUGAGCACUUUCGGUUCCUUUAGAUAUCGAUUCAAACUUGAAUUUGGUGCUUGAAUAUGAUUGCCUUUGGCUCAAAAUGUCUUUUGCAGGUUCAAAGCAAGGCGCCUUUACUGCAAUCGACUUAUUCUUUAGUCCACUUAGGCGAGCACUGAACUGCGGCUAAGCCUCCGAGUGAGAGGCUUGCUCUUCAUUCGGUAGGAUUUUGGUAACUUAGGCGAGCACUGAACUGCGGCUAAGCCUCCGAGUGAGAGGCUUGCUCUUCAUUCGGUAGGAUUUUGGUAACUUAGGCGAGCACCGGGCUACAACUAAGCCUCCGAGUGAGAGGUUUGCUCUUCACUCGGUAGGGUUCUUGUAACUUAGGCGAGUGCUUGGACUGCAGCUAAGCCCCCGAGUGAGAGGGUUGCUCUUCACUCGGUAGGAUUUUUAUAACUUAGGCGAGUGCUUGGACUGCAGCUAAGCCCCCGAGUGAGAGGGUUGCUCUUCACUCGGUAGGAUUUUGAUAACUUAGGCGAGCACAGGGCUGCAGCUAAGCCUCCGAGUGAGAGGUUUGCUCUUCACUCGGUAGGGUUCUUGUAACUUAGGCGAGUGCUUGGACUGCAGCUAAGCCCCCGAGUGAGAGGGUUGCUCUUCACUCGGUAGGAUUUUUAUAACUUAGGCGAGUGCUUGGACUGCAGCUAAGCCCCCGAGUGAGAGGGUUGCUCUUCACUCGGUAGGAUUUUGAUAAACUUAGGCGAGUCCUUGGACUGCAGCUAAGCCUCCGAGUGGAAGGCUGGCUUACCACUCGGUAGGAUUUUUAUAACUUGGGCGAAACGGAUUCGCAGCUAAGCCUCCGAGUGGGAGUCUGGCUCACCACUCGGUAGGAUUUUUACAAACUUAGGCGAAACGGAUUCGCGGCUAAGUCACCCACUGAGGGGGAAUUUUAUUGGACAAAAAUAAAAAGUGACAGAAAUUAUGGAGGAACUUUGACACUAUUAUUUUGAGGUCCAUGAACUACAGAAGUACUUUAUUGCAACUCAUCCGAGUGAUAAACUUAAGUGUAAAAUGGGCGGAGUAGCUCCGCGUUCCAAGCUCGGGGCUCGUCGAUAUUAUGCUCGACGUUGUAAAGACGGUACGCCCCAUUGUGGAGAACCUUGGUGACGAUGAAGGGGCCUUCCCAAGAAGGAGCAAGCUUGUGUGGUUUGUGCUGAUCCACUCGGAGAACUAAAUCCCCUUCCUGGAAGGCUCGACCUCUCACAUUUCUGGCGUGGAAACGACGCAAAUCUUGUUGGUAGAUGGUCGACCGGAUCAAAGCCAUCUCCCUUUCUUCCUCUAAAAGGUCGACUGCGUCCUGCCGCGCUUGUUCAGCCUCUGCUUCGUUGUAGAUUUCAACUCGAGGAGCAUUGUGGAGAAGAUCACUCGGCAAGACUGCUUCAGCUCCGUAUACCAAGAAGAAUGGAGUUCUUCCGGUCGACCGAUUAGGUGUGGUCCGCAGCCCCCAAAGCACUGAGGGAAGUUCGUCGACCCAAGCUCCAGCUGCGUGUUUGAGAUCACGCAUCAUUCGGGGUUUCAAUCCUUUAAGAAUCAGUCCAUUAGCUCGCUCUGCUUGUCCAUUCGACUGUGGAUGGGCGACUGAAGCGUAGUCGACCCGUGUGCCUUGGGAGUUGCAGAAAUCUCUGAAUUCCUCUGAGUCAAAGUUCGACCCAUUAUCCGUAAUGAUGCUGUGCGGGACUCCAUAUCUGAAUAUUAGUUCCCUGAUGAAGCUAACAGCAGUACCGGAGUCAAGGUUCUUGAUUGGUUUAGCCUCGAUCCACUUGGUGAACUUGUCGACUGCCACCAGUACAUGCGUGAAGCCACUUCGUCCUGUUCUCAACGGACCGACCAUGUCCAGUCCCCAUACUGCGAAAGGCCAGACGAGUGGGAUAGUCUUCAGGGCCGACGCAGGCUUGUGUGACAUAUUCGAGUAGAACUGACAUCCCUCGCACUUAUCCACUAUAUCUUUUGCCAUCUCAUUCGCCUUUGGCCAGUAAAAUCCGGCUCGGUAUGCUUUGGCCACGAUGGUCCGAGAGGACACAUGAUGACCACAGGUCCCCGAGUGUAUAUCAUUAAGGAUGAGUCGACCUUCUUCUGGUGUUAUGCACUUCUGACCAACUCCAGUCGCGCUUUCUCUGUAUAAUUGUCCUUUGAUUACGGUAAAGGCCUUAGAUCGACGGACGAUCUGUCGAGCCUCUUCCUCAUCCUCCGGAAGCUCUUUUCUCAGGAUAUAUGCGACAUACGGAACUGUCCAGUCGGGAAUGACCACCAAAACCUCCAUGAUCAAGUCGACCACCGCUGGGACUUCAACUUCAGUCGGAUCUGUGGCACUCUUGGGCUGUGGAGUUUCUUCGGUGAAAGGAUCUUCUUUGACUGACGGAGUGUGUAUAUGCUCCAAGAACACACCACUCGGAAUGGCUUCUCUCUUGGAACCUAUCUUUGCUAGAUCAUCAGCUGCUUGAUUUUUCAGUCGGGGUAUAUGAUGGAGCUCCAACCCCUCGAACUUCUUUUCCAGCUUCCUCACUGCACUGCAGUAUCCAGUCAUGGCUGGGCUUCUCACGUCCCACUCCUUCAUCACCUGAUUGACCACCAAAUCCGAGUCGCCAUAGACCAUCAGGCGACGGACGCCGAGUGAAAUGGCCAUGCGCAACCCAUACAAGAGGGCCUCAUAUUCUGCCUCAUUGUUGGAGGAAUCAAAGUGAAUCUGGAGCACAUAUCUGAGCUUGUCUCCUCUGGGGGAAACCAGAACAACCCCAGCACCGGAACCAUUCAACAUCUUAGAGCCAUCAAAGAACAUGGUCCAAUGCUCUGAGUGAACUUCAGUCGGCUGCUGUUGUUCAAUCCAUUCGGCAAGGAAAUCUGCUAUUGCCUGGGACUUAAUGGCUUUCUUUGCCUCAAACUUGAUAUCAAGGGGAAGAAGUUCAAUCGCCCAUUUGGCCACUCGACCAGUUGCAUCCCUGUUGUGCAAAAUCUCUGAUAGUGGAGCGUCGCUGACGACUAUGAUGGAAUGAUCAGAGAAAUAAUGAGCAACCUUCUUUGUGGUCAUGUAUAUUCCAUACACAAGCUUCUGAUAAUGAGGAUAUCUCUGCUUGGAUGGAGUCAAGACUUCAGACAAAUAAUACACUGGGCGCUGAACUUUGAGAGCUUUUCCUUCUUCUUCCCACUCGACCGUUAGCACAGUACUGACGACUUGUCCUGUGGCUGCGAUAUAGAGCAACAGAGGCUCUUUGCUGAUUGGAGCAGCAAGCACCGGCUGGGUGGAGAGCAGAGCUUUUAGCUCGGCAAACGCUGCAUCAGCUUCUGUAGUCCACUCGAACUUGUCUGUCUUCUUCAUCAGUCGGUAAAGAGGCAAUGCCUUUUCACCGAGUCGUGAGAUGAAUCGACUUAAUGCGGCCAAGCAUCCAGUAAGCUUCUGGACAUCGUGCACUCGCACAGGGCGUUUCAUUCGGAGAAUAGUGCCAAUCUUCUCUGGGUUAGCGUCGAUUCCCCGUUCGGAAACGAGAAAACCGAGUAACUUGCCACCAGGAACUCCAAAUGUGCACUUUGAUGGAUUGAGCUUGAUAUCAUAUCUUCUGAGGUUGGCAAAUGUUUCGGCGAGAUCAGCGAGCAGGUCGGAACCUUUUCAUGACUUGACAACAAUAUCAUCCAUAUAAGCUUCUACAUUCCGACUGAUUUGAGUGAGUAGACACUUCUGAAUCAUUCGCAUAAAUGUGGCUCCGGCGUUCUUGAGACCGAAUGGCAUGGUGAUAUAGCAGAAGCACCCGAAUGGAGUGAUGAAAGCUGUUUUUACCUCGUCGGGUCCAUACAGAUGGAUCUGGUGGUACCCAGAGUAGGCAUCUAGAAAAGACAGCCUCUCGCAUCCCGCGGUCGAGUCAACAAUUUGAUCUAUGCGAGGGAGAGGAAAGUGAUCUUUCGGGCAGGCCCGGUUGAUGUGCUUGAAGUCAAUGCACAUUCGGAGUGACUUGUCCUUCUUAGGAACCAUGACGACAUUAGCGAGCCACUCGGAGUGGUAUAUCUCUCGGAUAAAUCCUGCCGCUAACAGUCGAGCCACUUCUUCACCAAUGGCUUUUCUCUUCUGGACGGCGGACCGCCGAAGAUGCUCUUUGACUGGUUUUGCAGAUGAGUCGACUCUUAGGCGAUGCUCAGCCAGUCCCCUGGGAACACCUGGCAUGUCAGCGGGCUUCCAUGCAAAAAUGUCCCAGUUCUCACGGAGGAACUGGAUGAGCGCUUCUUCCUAUUUUGGGUCGAGUGUUGUGGAGAUGCGAGUCGGAGCUGCAUCGGGGUCGGUCGGGUGAAUGUGAACAGGCUUCGUCUCACCGGACGACUGGAAUGCAGACUCUGUGGCGGGUUUCUUUGAUCGCAGCAAGUCACUCGGAUCUGCGUUUUGCUUGUAUUCCUCGAACUCGACCGCUGUCACCUGGGAAUCAGCAAUCUUGGAGCCCUUCUGAAAGCACUCUUCUGCCUUUUUCCUAUCACCGGUGACAGUGAUCACUCCUUUGGGGCCGGGCAUCUUCAACUUGAGGUACACGUAACACGGUCGAGCCAUGAACCGUGCGUAAGCUGGUCUCCCCAAAAUGGCAUGAUACGCACUCUGAAAAUCCACGACCUCAAACGUCAACUUUUCUUUGCGAAAAUGUUUCGAAUCACCAAACACCACAUCCAAAGCUAUUUGGCCGAGUGACUCGGCUUUCUUCCCUGGUAUAACUCCAUGAAAGCUCAUGUUACUAGUGUUCAGUCGGGACAUCGGAAUGCCCAUUCCUUUCAGUGUGUCUGCAUACAACAGAUUCAGCCCACUUCCACCAUCCAUCAGCACCUUUGUCAGUCGAGUGCCUUCGACAACUGGAUCGACCACCAAAGCUUGCCUCCCAGGGGUGGCAAUAUGAGUCGGGUGAUCAGAUUGGUCGAAUGUGAUGGGUAUUUGAGACCAUUUCAGAUAAUUUGCUUUUGCUGGGGCAACCAUGUUCACCUCACGGUUAAUGACUUUCAGUCGACUCUUGCUUUCCACAUCUGCAAAGAUCAUCAGAGUGGAGUUGAUAUGCGGGUAUCCUUCCCCACUGUCUUCCUUGUCUUCAGCCUUGUCCGACUCCUUCUCCUUGUCCUUAGACUGUUUUCCCUGAAACUGCUAGAUCAGGAGUCGACAUUGGCGAGUGGUGUGCUUCGGGUAGAUGAUAUUCCCCUCUUCGUCUUUCUUCGUGUGGAUGUGACAUGGCAUAUCCAUUACGUCGUUCCCUUCUUUAUCCUUUACCUUCUUGGGGUUCCAGGAUCCUUUUGGUUUCCCCUUAAACUUUCCCUGAGUCACGGCCAGAGCCUCUCCAGGAGCUGCCGGUUCAGCCUUCCGCUUCUGUUUCCGACUGGUGUUUCCUUUUUCUGACUGACUCGGCUUGUGCUUGCCGCUUCGGAGUCGGUCUUCUUCUUCGCCGUUGGCGUACUUGGUAGCAAUCUCCAUCAUUCGACUCAAGGUCAUGUCAACGGUUCGACCAAACUUCAAACUCAGUUCUCUGUUCUUGACGCCAUCUUUGAAGGCGCAGACUGCCUGAUGAUCAGACACAUUCUCCACAGUGUGGUGCAAAGUGAUCCACCUCUGAAUAUACUCUCUGAGAGUCUCAUUAGCCUUCUGCACGCAGACUUGCAACUCUGUCAACCCAGCUGGUCGCUUGCAAGUUCCUUCAAACGUUCUGACGAACACUCGGGACAGAUCUUCCCAAGUGUAAAUGCUGCUAGGAGGUAAUUGAGUCAACCAUGCCCUGGCAGAACCUUCCAGCAUGAGGGGCAAAUGCUUCAUGACCACCUCGUCGUUCCCACCACCAAUCUGGACUGCCACUCGGUAGUCUUCAAGCCAAGUUUCCGGCUUAGACUCACCAGUGAACUUGCUGACUCCUGUUGCCAACCUGAAAUUGGGAGGGAUAACUGCGGCUCUGAUAGCUCUGCUGAAACAUUCAGGACCAGAAACAUGCACUCGACUGCUUGUGGGUGCAUCUCUGUCGAGUCCGCCUCGAUGAGCUCUGUUCCGGUCGACCAAACCUUGCACGAUAAUGGAUCGCGCGUCGAAGCUUGGUUCUCUGGGGUCAACUGGAACCCUUCGCCCUGUACUGUACUGACGCCUGUCAUCUUGCCGCCGAGGAGCAUAAGACCCACCCCUCGGAGGGGAAUGGGGCACUCGACGCCUAUCAUCUCGGUCGAGUCGGUCGCCAUAUUGGCCUCGCCAAUUCUCGUGCUCCUCACGCCGCGGAGGCGAUCUGGGGCUGUGAGCCGACUGAACCGUAUUUGCAGUGACGGAUCGACUGUGAAUUCGGUUGCGUGACUGAGACACGGCUGAAUUCUGAUCUCCUGCUGCCCGGAGCAGAUCUCUGAUCUGCAGCAAACCUCUGCCAGCUUCCGACUGCGAAGGUUGGAUGGAUUCUGCUAUACGGGUCGCAGCUGCUAAAUUCUGGAUUGGGGUUCGAUAUACCUGAGUCGGCGGGAAGAGUUGACGUCGACUGGAGUCGGGAACUCGUUGCCGCGCGCGCUCGUCGAGUGCUCGCUGAAGGUUCUCCAGUCGAGUGCGCUCAGCCAAAUUGGCCAGACGCGCCUCCUCCAAGGCACGAGCCUCGGGGGUUUCUCCUGCGAUGGGAGUACGCAGGGCAUCCACAUUCCUGCGGCGAAGUUCCUCUCUUUGCAGAGAGUCGAGUGGCUCGGGCUGGUACUCUUCGUGGCGUCGUGCGGGGUCGCCUCCGUCACCUGCUCCAUCACCACGGGCGAAGCCAGGGGGACUGCGGGGCCCGUCUACCAUCAAGAUUUCCGCCGCUGGAUCACUGCUACCGCACUCGGAUGUAGUCUCUACGGAGCCAGUCGACAGACCGAACAAGUCGUAGAGAGAUUCGUCGGGCUCGAUUGCCGCAACUUGAGUGGCGGCCGAUUGGCGAGCCACCGCGUGCCUCACCCAUCGCUGAAGCCUCGACCGGCCCGAGCGCUUGCGCUGGCGGGAGACUGGGAGGGUGGACGAUGGAGGGGCCGACCGAUACUGGGUCGACGGUUGCCGCAGCAGAACACCGCGGACACAUGCGCGAAAAUGCGUCGCACCGCGGACGGGGAGCGCAUCAACGUCGAGUGGAGCCUCCUGGAGCCACGCGGAAUCGUCGGCGAUGAAGGUGAGAGCGCCGAGACGGAUCUCUUGACCCCCGACCAACACUCCAGUAGACACCAUGAUGAAAGUACUCGGAAGAAUCGCAACUUCUCCACAAAAAUCGCUAAAACACCCGCCCCACGGUGGGCGCCAACUGUCGUUGUUCUAAGCCUGACGGUAGAGUGGGGGGUAGGUAUGGAGAGGCAAGGUCCUAGCUAUGGAGAGGUUGUAAACACAAAGGAUGUACGAGUUCAGGCCCUUCUCGGAGGAAGUAAUAGCCCUACGUCUCGGAGCCCGGAGGCGGUCGAGUGGAUUAUGAGUAUAUGAGUUACAAGAUGUCGAACCCCUCUGCCUGUGGAGGGGGGUGGCUUAUAUAGAGUGCGCCAGGACCCCAGCCAGCCCACGUAGGAGAGGGUUUAAGGUGAGUUAAGUCUGGGGCGUUACUGGUAACGCCCCACAUAAAGUGCCUUUACUAUCAUAAAGCCUACUUAAUUACAGGCCGUUGCAGUGCAGAGUGCCUCUUGACCUUCUGGUGGUCGAGUGAGUCUUCGUGGUCGAGUCCUUUGGGUCAGUCGAGUGAGUCCCUCGUUGGUCGACUGGAAGGCGACCUCUUCUAAGGAUGUCUUUGGGUAAGGUACUUAGAUCAGGUUCACGACCCUACCCUAGGUACAUGACCCCAUCAGCGUCCCCUGCCGGCUGCCUUCUGCCGCCCCUCCCAAAGAAUCCUCGGCCGUCAGUGCCUUUGGGAGGAGGCCAUCGGCGGACGGCGACAGAGUGGAGCAGCGGGCGGAGGAUCAGCGGCGACGAAGGCCGAGUUGUGCGGGGGCAGCGGCGGAGGCCAAGCGGAGCAGGCGGUGGUGGGCUAUUGGUCCGGCGGGGGAGUGGAGGAGCGUGCGUGCGGGGGUUGGUUGACUGGGGACGUGCGUAGGCGAGCGGGCGAUUUUUUAGGAUCGAUCGCGGCAGGCGUGAGAGGAAAGGCUUACGAACCAUGUGGUGGGGAUUGUGUGAUUAUAGUGGUAGUAGAUUAACCUAAUGGCAUGGUGGGUAAUUAAAGCAUAAAACACGUUUAGUAGGCUGGAGGGAUGUAGACCAUCGGAUUGCAGGUUUCGAUGGAUAGGAUGAUUUGGUUCUCCGCCCUCUCGUGUUUUUAUAGGGGUAGUAGAUGAUCAGUUUAAGUUGAAGUUUAAAGGAAUGUACGUUUAAGUUUGUUUACGAUAAGAUUAAACGAGUGUAAGAUUCUGAAAGAAUAGCGAAAAAGAGACAAAUGUGUUCUUAAACGUUGAUUAAGACAGUGAAUUGAGCACUCAGAUGAUUAGUUUUUCUGUGGUUGAGGAACCAGUCCAUUAGGUUUCAAGUCCUGGACUUAGCAUUGUUGCUUGUAUUUUCUUGGAUUUAGGAGUUGUUCGACAAUCCGCCGGCUCGUGAAAUCGCAGAAUCUGUGAAGCAGCUAUUUCCCCGCUCCAUGAUUUUCAACUACAACUUCGCCGGCUCUCCAAAAUCACAGAAUAUGUGGAGCAAUUGUUUCCUCGCUCCACGAUUUUCAACUACAACUCCACCUGCAGCUGUUUCCCCGCUCCACGAUUUUCAACUACAACUCGCGUACUCCGGAAGCUGGGUCGUGGAGUGGAGGGACUCCGAAUAGGCCUUUAGUUUAGGCUUUUCGACGAUGUUUAUGCAGUGGGAGGAGAUGUUUCGUCAACUACGAAGGUGCCUGUGAUGGCUUCAUCAAUCUCAAAAUGUUGUGUUGGCUCAGUAUCUCGGAGGUGCUCAUAGGGGUAGAACGUGUGUGCCUGUGUUUGUAGGGAUGAAUGUAUGUGCAUGUAUAUGGUCAUUUGCAUUUAAAAAGGUUAAUUAAAACAUAAGAAUGGCUAUUUUGACCUUGCCACGAGGUUAGUAUAGCUUUUACAAAGAUUUAUCUCACAACAAAUAAUAACGUGCUUUUAGAUAUGUCACAAAGAAAAUUAUCGCUAUACAACCCAAACGUCAUUUUUUGCAUGCAAUUUUACAUUAUUGAAACGAUGUUAAGUAUGUUAUAAAUGAUAUAGUUUGCCGUGCAUGCUACAUGUAGAAGAAACCACGUUGACAUGGAAAAUGUAUCACCAUAUAUCACAAAAAGAUAUUUUUGUUUAUCGUACAAAUGAUACAGUUGUUAUGCUUGCCACAAAUAGAGGAAAACACGCAUGACGACAAAUAUAAGGUAUAACUUUAGGCAUGUUCUGUGUUUAUGUAUGAAGGGCAUCACUCCCCGAUUUGUUGUGAUUCUUCUUGCCUUUGUAUUGUGGCACGCAGUCCCUCCAUGCCUCCCCACCCUUCCUCCUUUCGCAUUUCCUUAUUGCUACCCCUCUUAUUAAUGUGGAUAACUCCUACAUUCAUGAAUUGCUUUCCAUGAUUAUCAGCCGCACCUGUCCACAACUACCCUCCAUAUUGUGUAGCUAUUUGACCAACCCGCUUGACUGUAGUGUCUGAGCAUUUUCCUUACCAAGUAGCACCAUCCUAUCUAUUUCUAUUUGAGUCAAGACUCUCUCCUAAAUAUCCAAAGCCUACCACCUUGUGCAUUUUCCUUGAGCAUGGGAACUCGAUGGUACUAUAAUAUAUUAGUCUUUGUUUGUAUUUCAUCCCUUGUUUCAAGUUCCCACCCUGGUCUCAUCUGUAUUCUUUGUUUCUGUUAUAUAUCAUAAUAUAUCGCACACAUGAAACCACGAACAUAUUGCUUCGUUUUGUUACUAAGUUCUCGGCAAACAAUGCAUCAACGGGUGAGAAUUUUGCAGUCAGGUUGUUGGCAAAACAAGUUUGGCGUCUCAUAGAGCUCCCGUAAGGUUUUGGUUCCGGAUUUUUAAAAGCUAAAUAUUCCCUCAGAGCCACUUGUUGGUAUUGCUUUCCCCUGUAAUGCUCCGACUAGUAUGAAUGGGCCAUUGAGCAAUUUUGAGAGAUCUCCAAUCAUAUCAAGCAAGUACCAGCAUGUUUCUUAUACAGCUCAUAAGUCAAAAGUGCUAUUAAUUAACCAUGCACUACAUACUAGAUUAGCCUGUUGCAUUUCCACUUCAAUUGCAUGCGAGGAAAUGUAUUCCUGAUUGUGUAUUGCCGAAAAAAUAGCAUUGUAAUUAGAAAACGAUGCUCAGGUGGGCCAAACAUAGCCUAAAUGAGGACAGUUACCCGGGUAUAUAUAUGUGUUGAGUGCUUUAAUAUGUUUGAAACAACACUUCGUGCAACACGGCCGACAUGUGUAUUUUUCUCUAUAAAAAACUAUGUAAAUAUUUUGUAGAUGUGCAUUGUUGCGUAUUGCGGACGUAACAAUGAGCAAAAGGUAUUUAUGAUAUUAAAAUCAUUAAAAAAACUUGACCCACUUGAAUAAAACUCGACCCAAAAAUCAUUAACAUAAGUUCAUAUGAUGUAUCUUAUUACUGCAAACAAAAUUGACAAAAUGAUAUUUUAAAACAUUGCAAAUCCACAUAUGAUCCACCAAUACACAUUUUCACAUGUACAUCAAACUUAGUGUCUUUCUUUGCACCUUGUACACCCGGGCCCUAGCCAGGCCCCAAGCUAGCUUGGGGCAAGGACGUUGAACUCCUUCGUUAGCUCUAGCACAACACCUACUGUAGCACCGGUUGUUAGCCUAGCGCGUGAGUUAGCCCUGGCUACGCCACUACGUACACAUCACUCUAUUCACCUUUUAUAUGCUUUCCACCCUAAAACAGGGACAAGGAAGAAGAAAAACAAGAAGUAACAUGACCUUUCAGUUCUUUAGACAAAACAUAAAACAAACUGAAAAUGUCGGACGCUACGGGCCUGUUUUGUUUACGGCCUAAGAUUGUCACGCCUAACCUUAGCCGUGCAACAACAUCUUAGGCAUGUGUUUGAUUCAUUGCUAUAUUUGUGAAUUGCCACACUUUUCUAGCAACAUGGUUCAUAUGUCAUAGGCUCAAUUUUUUGCCAAAUCUUGUCACACUUAUGGUAGCCAUUUUGUUAGCCACACCUUUUAUGACAGCCACACUUUGCCUAAACUUAGUUAUGACAAAGUUAAUCAAGAAUCAAACAUGCCUUAAAAUGUACUGUACCCGGGAGGCUGAAGUUCCUCGGAUACAACUAAACUACAAACAUAAGAGCAUCUCCACUANNNNNNNNNNNNNNNNNNNNNNNNNNNNNNNNNNNNNNNNNNNNNNNNNNNNNNNNNNNNNNNNNNNNNNNNNNNNNNNNNNNNNNNNNNNNNNNNNNNNNNNNNNNNNNNNNNNNNNNNNNNNNNNNNNNNNNNNNNNNNNNNNNNNNNNNNNNNNNNNNNNNNNNNNNNNNNNNNNNNNNNNNNNNNNNNNNNNNNNNNNNNNNNNNNNNNNNNNNNNNNNNNNNNNNNNNNNNNNNNNNNNNNNNNNNNNNNNNNNNNNNNNNNNNNNNNNNNNNNNNNNNNNNNNNNNNNNNNNNNNNNNNNNNNNNNNNNNNNNNNNNNNNNNNNNNNNNNNGAGUAAAAAAGCCCCCAGUCGCACCCCCAGCCCCUUUAAUUUUCGCCUGUUUCGACCAGAAACUGAGCCGGCAGCCCCAGGGCAAACCCAGGAAGUUGGGGGGCACCUGGGGGGCUUAAUCUCGCCGUUUGCAGGCGCUGGCCCACCUGCCAGCGUCUCUCUGCUCUCUCCUCCCUUUUUCUUGCUCGCAGCCUCAGCCUCGCCGCCGUGCUCGCCCUGUUUCUUGCUCCUCCCCUCACCUUCUUUUGGUCGACUACACGGAGCCAUGGCUGCCGAGCUCGCGCAGGAGGAGGCGGGGGUCGCGGCAGUCGACAAGGAUGACGCCGCAGGCGGGCGACACAGGAAGCCGAGGCCGAGCGCGACGCCCGUGGUGGGGACAAACGGCGGCAGCGCGGACCAGCCAUGGUUGCGAAAGAAGCCGAAGUGGCGGGGCGGGGAGGCCGGGCACGCGGGACACGAUGCAGCGCCAGCAGCGGCACACCGCCGCGCACCGUCAGCCGCCUGAAGACCUCCAGUAGCAUGUCGUGGGGUAGCGCGGACUGCAGGGCCACCCCAACGUGAUCGGCUCCCUGGGAGUGAGUUCGGAAGUGUAGAAGCUCAGGUAUGUGCAACUCGGGUAGCUCGUGCCCAGUGCGGCAGACUUCCACCGGGCCGACGACGGUGAGCUGUGCUGGUGCUGUCGUUUUGGCGUGUGCAUGCCGAGGCUUUGAGCAUGCGCGGCGCGGAUGGCGGACCCUACGGCGGCGGCGCCCAUGACCAUCGACUUCCUCCGGGCGCACUUGCUCUCCGAGCGCUCCGUCCCCCGCGCAUCCAAGGAGCACGCCGACCAGCUCGUCGCCAAGGUACGUAUGCUGCACGCGCAUGGCCUCAUCACCUCCAGCUCCUCCGCCAGCAUCUACCUCAUCUUCGAGUAUAUGGAGCACGACCUCGCUGGACUCGCCUCCUGAAAGUGCUAGUGAUCGACUAGAGGGAGGUGAAUAGGCGAUUUUUAUGAAAGUCUUCAAAACAUGGAAGUUUCAAAGACAAACGAUAGAAAUAAACCUAUUACCAUGCAACGGAAGGUAGACUACACUAAGCAGGCCAUAGUCAAGUAUUCAAUGAAAUGAAAGCACAAAGACUAAUAGCAGCUAGGCAGUAUAGAUCGGGAUGGAAGAUAGUAUGAAGCCAAUCAGAACAAGCAGUCGCACAGUGAAGACAAAUAGAUAAUGCGAAUAGGCAAUGACUUCACAAGGACCAAUCUGCAAAUAAAGAGAUGGGAAAUAUAGAACCAGUGGCUCGUUGAAGACAAUGAUUUGUUGGACCAGUUCCAGUUGCUGUGACAAUUGUACGUCUGGUUAGGGAGGCUGAGAUUCAACUCAGAAGACCGCGUCUUCACCUUAUUCCCUUUGAGCUAAGGACACCCAGUCCUCGCCCAAUCACCCUGGUAAGUCUUCAAGGUAGACUUCUAAACCUUCACAAACUUCGUUCACCGAUGAUCCACAAUGACUCUUGGAUGCUCAGAACGCGACGCCUAACCGGCUGGAGGAUUCACAAUCCUCAAGUGCAAUAAGUCUUCUGAUCACACAGAUAGGAAAACUUUAGUGAUGCCUAACACUCUUUGGCUCUGGGUGUUUAGGGCUUUGUCCUCGCAAGGAAUUCUCUCUCAAAAGCUUCGAGGUGAGUUGCUCUCAAACGACAGAAGCCGUACACUAACACUGAGCAGCCAACCAAUUUAUGGUGUAGGGGGUGGGCUAUUUAUAGCCACUAGGCAACCCGACCUGAUUUGUCCGAAAUGACCCUGGGUCACUAAGGAACUGACACGUGUUCCAACGGUCAGAUUUCAAACACACACGGCAACUUUACUUGAGCUACAAGAAAAGCUGACUUAUUCAUCUCUGGAUAAGAUUUGCUCUCAUUGUCUUCGCACGAAGACAUAGGAUUUUGGUGAAGCAUCACUUCAGUCAUUCUGACUGGUUCACUUAGACCCCACUUAACAGUACGGUGGUUACUAUGACUCAACAAAGAAGAAAACGAAACAAUGAAACAACUAAGUCUUCGCGCUCCAUAGUCUUCACAAAAUGUCUUCUCUUGUCAUAGUCUUCAAUGUGAAUACCUUCACAUACCACCUUUGUCUUCAAUGUCUUCAUACAUUUUUAGGGGUCAUCUCCGGUAGGUAAACCGAAUCAAUGAGGGACUUCUACUCGUGUUAUCCUGCAAUUCUCACAAACACAUUAGUCCUUCAACCAGGUUUGUCGUCAAUACUCCAAAACCAACUAGGGGUGUGUUGGGGAACGUAGUAAUUUCAAAAAAAAUCCUACGCACACGCAAGAUCAUGGUGGUGCAUAGCAACGACAGGGGAGAGUGUGAUCUACGUACCCUUGUAGAUCGACAACGGAAGUGUUAGCACAACGUGGUUGAUGUAGUCGUACGUCUUCACGGCCCAACCGAUCAAGCACCGAAACUACGGCACCUCCGAGUUCUAGCACACAUUCAGCUCGACGACGAUCCCCGGACUCCGAUCCAGCAAAGUGUCGGGGAAGAGUUCCGUCAGCACGACGGCGUGGUGACGAUCUUGAUGUACUACCAUCGCAGGGCUUCGCCUAAGCACUGCUACAAUAUUGUCGAGGUCUAUGGUGGAAGGGGGCACCGCACACGACUAAGAAUAUGAUCACGUGGAUCAACUUGUGUGUCUAGGGGUGCCCCCUGCCCCCGUAUAUAAAGGAUCAAAGGAGGGGUGCGGCCGGCCAGGAGAAGGCGCGCCAGGAGGAGUCCUACUCGCUUCGGGAGUAGGAUUCCCCCCCUUUCCUAGUUGGAAUAGGAUUCGGGAAGGGGGAAAGAGGAGAGAGAGAAGGAAGGGGGGGCAUCGGCCCCCUCUCCUUGUCCUAUUCGGACUAGGGGGGAGGGGCACGCGGCCCAGCCCUGGCCACCUCUCCUCUCUUCCACUAAAGCCCACUAAGGCCCAUAUACCUCCCGGGGGGUCCGGUAACCUCCCGGUACUCCGGUAAAAUCCCGAUUUCACCCGGAACACUUCCGAUAUCCAAAUAUAGGCUUCCAAUAUAUCAAUCUUUAUGUCUCGACCAUUUCGAGACUCCUCGUCAUGUCCGUGAUCACAUCCGGGACUCCGAACAAACUUCGGUUCAUCAAAAUGCAUAAACUCAUAAUAUAACUGUCAUCGAAACCUUAAGUGUGCGGACCCUACGGGUUCGAGAACAAUGUAGACAUGACCGAGACACGUCUCCGGUCAAUAACCAAUAGCGGAACCUGGAUGCUCAUAUUGGCCCCUACAUAUUUUACGAAGAUCUUUUAUCGGUCAGACCGCAUAACAACAUACGUUGUUCCCUUUGUCAUCGGUAUGUUACUUGCCCGAGAUUCGAUCGUCGGUAUCUCAAUACCUAGUUCAAUCUCGUUACCGGCAAGUCUCUUUACUCGUUCCGUAAUACAUCUUCUCACAACUAACUCAUUAGUUGCAAUGCUUGCAAGGCUUAUGUGAUGUGCAUUACCGAGAGGGCCCAGAGAUACCUCUCCGACAAUCGGAGUGACAAAUCCUAAUCUCGAAAUACGCCAACCCAACAUGUACCUUUGGAGACACCUGUAGAGCACCUUUAUAAUCACCCAUUUACGUUGUGACGUUUGGUAGCACACAAAGUGUUCCUCCGGCAAACGGGAGUUGCAUAAUCUCAUAGUCAUAGGAACAUGUAUAAGUCAUGAAGAAAGCAAUAGCAACAUACUAAACGAUCGGGUGCUAAGCUAAUGGAAUGGGUCAUGUCAAUCAGAUCAUUCACCUAAUGAUGUGAUCCCGAUAAUCAAAUAACAACUCUUUGUCCAUGGUUAGGAAACAUAACCAUCUUUGAUUAACGAGCUAGUCAAGUAGAGGCAUACUAGUGACACUCUGUUUGUCUAUGUAUUCACACAUGUAUUACGUUUCCGGUUAAUACAAUUCUAGCAUGAAUAAUAAACAUUUAUCAUGAUAUAAGGAAAUAAAUAAUAACUUUAUUAUUGCCUCUAGGGCAUAUUUCCUUCAGUCUCCCACUUGCACUAGAGUCAAUAAUCUAGAUUACACAGUAAUGAUUCUAACACCCAUGGAGCCUUGGUGCUGAUCAUGUUUUGCUCGUGGAAGAGGCUUAGUCAAUAGGUCUGCUACAUUCAGAUCCAUAUGUAUCUUGCAAAUCUCUAUGUCUCCCACCUGGACUAGAUCCCGGAUGGAAUUGAAGCGUCUCUUGAUGUGUUUGGUUCUCUUGUGAAAUCUGGAUUCCUUUGCCAAGGCAAUUGCACCAGUAUUGUCACAAAAGAUUUUCAUUGGACCCGAUGCACUAGGUAUGACACCUAGAUCGGAUAUGAACUCCUUCAUCCAGACUCCUUCAUUUGCUGCUUCCGAAGCAGCUAUGUAUUCCGCUUCACACGUAGAUCACACCACGAUGCUUUGUUUAGAACUGCACCAACUGACAGCUCCACUGUUUAAUGUAAAUACGUAUCCGGUUUGCGAUUUAGAAUCGUCCGGAUCAGUGUCAAAGCUCGCAUCGACGUAACCAUUUAUGAUUAGCUCUUUGUCACCUCCAUAAACGAGAAACAUAUCCUUAGUCCUUUUCAGGUAUUUCAGGAUGUUCUUGACCGCUGUCCAGUGAUCCACUCCUGGAUUACUUUGGUACCUCCCUGCUAGACUUAUAGCAAGGCACACAUCAAGUCUGGUACACAGCAUUGCAUACAUGAUAGAGCCUAUGGCUGAAGCAUAGGGAACAUCUUUCAUUUUCUCUCUAUCUCCUGCAGUGGUCGGGCAUUGAGUCUGACUCAACUUCACACCUUGUAACACAGGCAAGAACCCUUUCUUUGCUUGAUCCAUUUUGAACUUUUUCAAAACUUUGUCAAGGUACGUGCUUUGUAAAGUCCAAUUAAGCGUCUUGAUCUAUCUCUAUAGAUCUUAAUGCCUAAUAUGUAAGCAGCUUCACCGAGGUCUUUCAUUGAAAAACUCUUAUUCAAGUAUCCCUUUAUGCUAUCCAGAAAUUCUAUAUCAUUUCCAAUUAGUAAUAUGUCAUCCACAUAUAAUAUCAGAAAUGCUACAGAGCUCCCACUCGCUUUCUUGUAAAUACAGGCUUCUCCAAAAGUCUGUAUAAAACCAAAUGCUUUGAUCACACUAUCAAAGCAUUUAUUCCAACUCCGAGAGGCUUGCACCAGUCCAUAAAUGGAUCGCUGGAGCUUGCACACUUUGUUAGCUCCCUUUGGAUCAACAAAACCUUCUGGUUGCAUCAUAUACAACUCUUCUUCCAGAAAUCCAUUCAGGAAUGCAAUUUUGACAUCCAUCUGCCAAAUUUCAUAAUCAUAAAAUGCGGCAAUUGCUAACAUGAUUCGGACAGACUUAAGCAUCGCUACGGGUGAGAAGGUCUCAUCGUAGUCAAUCCCUUGAACUUGUCGAAAACCUUUUGCGACAAGUCGAGCUUUGUAGACAGUAAUAUUACCGUCAACGUCAGUCUUCUUCUUGAAGAUCCAUUUAUUCUCAAUUGCUUGCCGAUCAGUGGGAAAGUCAACCAAAGUCCAUACUUUGUUCUCAUACAUGGAUCCCAUCUCAGAUUUCAUGGCUUCAAGCCAUUUUGCGGAAUCUGGGCUCACCAUCGCUUCUUCAUAGUUCGUAGGUUCAUCAUGAUCUAGUAGCAUGACUUCCAGAACAGGGUUACCGUACCACUCUGGUGCGGAUCUCACUCUGGUUGAUCUACGAGGUUCAAUAGUAUCUUGUGCUGAAGUUUCACGAUCAUCAUCAUUAGCUUCCUCACUAAUUGGUGUAGGUGUCACAGAAACAGGUUUCUGUGACGUAUUAUUUUCCAAUAAGGGAGUAGGUACAGUUACCUCGUCAAGUUCUACUUUCCUCCCACUCACUUCUUUCGAGAGAAACUCCUUCUCCAGAAAGUUUCCAAAUUUAGCAACAAAAGUCUUGCCUUCGGAUCUAUGAUAGAAGGUGUAUCCAAUAGUUUCCUUUGGAUAUCCUAUGAAGACACAUUUCUCCGAUUUGGGUUCGAGCUUAUCAGGUUGAAUCUUUUUCACAUAAGCAUCGCAGCCCCAAACUUUCAGAAACGACAACUUUGGUUUCUUGCCAAACCACAGUUCAUAAGGUGUCGUCUCAACGGAUUUUGAUGGUGCCCUAUUUAACGUGAAUGCGGCCGUCUCUAGAGCGUAUCCCCAAAACGAUAGCGGUAAAUCAGUAAGAGACAUCAUAGAUCGUACCAUAUCUAGUAAAGUAUGAUUACGACGUUCGGACACACCAUUACGUUGUGGUGUUCCAGGUGGCGUGAGUUGCGAAACUAUUCCACAUUGUUUCAAAUGUACACCAAACUCGUAACUCAAAUAUUCUCCUCCACGAUCAGAUCGUAGGAAUUUUAUUUUCUUGUUACGAUGAUUUUCAACUUCACUUUGAAAUUCUUUGAACUUUUCAAACGUUUUAGACUUGUGUUUCAUUAAGUAGAUAUACCCAUAUCUGCUUAAGUCAUCUGUGAAGGUGAGAAAAUAACGAUAUCCGCCACGAGCCUCAACAUUCAUCGGACCACAUACAUCUGUAUGUAUGAUUUCCAACAAAUCUGUUGCUCUCUCCAUAGUACCGGAGAACGGUGUCUUUGUCAUCUUACCCAUAAGGCACGGUUCGCAAGUACCAAGUGAUUCAUAAUCAAGUGGUUCCAAAAGCCCAUCAGUAUGGAGUUUCUUCAUGCGCUUUAUACCGAUAUGACCCAAACGGCAGUGCCACAAAUAAGUUGCACUAUCAUUAUCAACUCUGCAUCUUUUGGCUUCAACACUAUGAAUAUGUGUGUCACUACUAUCGAGAUUUAAUAAGAAUAGACCACUCCUUAAAGGUGCAUGACCAUAAAAGAUAUUACUCAUGUAAAUAGAACAACCAUUAUUCUCUGAUUUAAAUGAAUAACCGUCUCGCAUCAAACAAGAUCCAGAUAUAAUGUUCAUGCUUAACGCUGGCACCAAAUAACAGUUAUUUAGGUCUAAUACUAAUCCCGAAGGUAGAUGUAGAGGUAGCGUGCCGACUGCGAUUACAUCGACUUUGGAACCAUUUCCCACUUGCAUCAUCACCUUGUCCUUAGCCAAUCUUCGCUUAAUCCGUAGUCCCUGUUUCGAGUUGCAAAUAUUAGCAACAAAACCAGUAUCAAAUACCCAGGUGCUACUGCGAGCAUUAGUAAGGUACACAUCAAUAACAUGUAUAUCACAUAUACCUUUGUUCACCUUGCCAUCCUUCUUAUCCGCCAAAUACUUGGGGCAGUUCCGCUCCCAGUGACCAGUCUGCUUGCAGUAGAAGCACUCAGUUUCAGGCUUAGGUCCAGGUUUGGGUUUCUUCUCUUGAGUAGCAACUUGCUUGCUGUUCUUUUUGAAGUUCCCCUUCUUCUUCCCUUUGCCAUUUUUCUUGAAACUAGUGGUCUUGUUGACCAUCAACACUUGAUGCUCCUUCUUGAUUUCUACCUCCGCAGCUUUCAGCAUUGCGAAGAGGUCAGGAAUAGUCUUAUUCAUCCCUUGCAUAUUAUAGUUCAUCACGAAGCUCUUGUAGCUUGGUGGCAGUGAUUGGAGAAUUCUGUCAAUGACGCAAUCAUCUAGAAGAUUAACUCCCAAUUGAAUCAAGUGAUUAUUAUACCCAGACAUUUUGAGUAUAUGCUCACUGACAGAACUGUUCUCCUCCAUCUUGUAGCUAUAUAACUUAUUGGAGACUUCAUAUCUCUCAAUCCGGGCAUUUGCUUGAAAUAUUAACUUCAACUCCUGGAACAUCUCAUAUGCUCCAUGACGUUCAAAACGUCGUUGAAGUCCCGAUUCUAAGCCGUAAAGCAUGGCACACUGAACUAUCGAGUAGUCAUCAGCUUUGCUCUGCCAGAUGUUCAUAACAUCUGGUGUUGCUCCAGCAGCAGGCCUGGCACCCAGCGGUGCUUCCAGGACGUAAUUAUUCUAUGCAGCAAUGAGGAUAAUCCUCAAGUUACGGACCCAGUCCGUGUAAUUGCUACCAUCAUCUUUCAACUUUGCUUUCUCAAGGAACGCAUUAAAAUUCAACGGAACAACAGCACGGGCCAUCUAUCUACAAUCAAACAUGAAUAAGCAAGAUACUAUCAGGUACUAAGUUCAUGAUAAAUUUAGGUUCAAUUAAUCAUAUUACUUAAAGAACUCCCACUUAGAUAGACAUCCCUCUAAUCCUCUAAGUGAUUACGUGAUCCAAAUCAACUAAACCAUGUCCGAUCAUCACGUGAGAUGGAGUAGUUUCAUUGGUGAACAUCACUAUGUUGAUCAUAUCUACUAUAUGAUUCACGCUCGACCUUUCGGUCUCCGUGUUCCGAGGCCAUAUCUGUAUAUGCUUGGCUCAUCAAGUAUAACCUGAGUAUUCCGCGUGUGCAACUGUUUUGCACCCGUUGUAUUUGAAUGUAGAGCCUAUCACACCCGAUCAUCACGUGGUGUCUCAGCACGACGAAUUUUCGCAACGGUGCAUACUCAGGGAGAACACUUCUUGAUAAUUAGUGAGAGAUCAUCUUAUAAUGCUACCGUCAAUCAAAGCAAGAUAAGAAGCAUAAAAGAUAAACAUCACAUGCAAUCAAUAUAAGUGAUAUGAUAUGGCCAUCAUCAUCUUGUGCUUGUGAUCUCCAUCUUCGAAGCACCGUCGUGAUCACCAUCGUCACCGGCGUGACACCUUGGUCUCCAUCGUAGCAUCGUUGUCGUCUUGCCAAUCUUAUGCUUCCACGACUAUCGCUACCGCUUAGUGAUAAAGUAAAGCAUUACAGCGUGAUUGCAUUGCAUACAAUAAAGCGACAACCAUAUGGCUCAUGCCAGUUGCCGAUAACUUGGUUACAAAACAUGAUCAUCUCAUACAAUAAAAUUUAGCAUCAUGUCUUGACCAUAUCACAUCACAACAUGCCCUGCAAAAACAAGUUAGACGUCCUCUACUUUGUUGUUGCAUGUUUUACGUGGCUUCUACGGGCUUAAGCAAGAACCAAUCUUACCUACGCAUCAAAACCACAACGAUAGUUUGUCAAGUUGGUGCUGUUGUAACCUUCGCCAGGACGGGGCGUAGCCACACUCGGUUCAACUAAAGUUGGAGAAACUGUCACCCGCUAGCCACCUUUGUGCAAAGCACGUCGGGAGAACCGGUCUCGCGUAAGCGUACGCGUAAUGUCGGUCCGGGCCGCUUCGUCCAACAAUACCGCCGAACCAAAGUAUGGCAUGCUGGUAAGCAGUAUGACUUAUAUCGCCCACAAUUCACUUGUGUUCUACUCGUGCAUAUAACAUCAACAUAUAAAACCUAGGCUCGGAUGCCACUGUUGGGGAACGUAGUAAUUUCAAAAAAUUUCCUAUGCACACGCAAAAUCAUGGUGAUGCAUAGCAACGAGAGGGGAGAGUGUGAUCUACGUACCCUUGUAGAUCGACAACGGAAGCGUUAGCACAACGUGGUUGAUGUAGUCGUACGUCUUCACGGCCCAACCGAUCAAGCACCGAAACUACGGCACCUCCGAGUUCUAGCACAUGUUCAGCUCGAUGAUGAUCCCCGGACUCCGAUCUAGCAAAGUGUCGGGGAAGAGUUCCGUCAGCACGACAGCGUGGUGACGAUCUUGAUGUACUACCGUCGCAGGGCUUCGCCUAAGCACUGCUACAAUAUUAUCGAGGUCUAUGGUUGAAGGGGGCACCGCACACGGCUAAGAAUAUGAUCACGUGGAUGAACUUGUGUGUCUAGGGGUGCCCCCUGCCCCCGUAUAUAAAGGAUCAAAGGGGGGGGGGGUGCGGCCGGCCAGGAGAAGGCGCGCCAGGAGGAGUCCUACUCCCUCCGGGAGUAGGAUUCCCCCCCUUUCCUAGUUGGAAUAGGAUUCGGGAAGGGGGAAAGAGGAGAGAGAGAAGGAAGGGGGGCGCCGGCCCCCUCUCCUUGUCCUAUUCGGACUAGGGGGGAGGGGCGUGCGGCCCAGCCCUGGCCACCUCUCCUCUCUUUCACUAAAGCCCACUAAGGCCCAUAUACCUCCCGGGGGGUUCCGGUAACCUCCCGGUACUCCGGUAAAAUCCCGAUUUCACCCGGAACACUUCCGAUAUCCAAAUAUAGGCUUCCAAUAUAUCAAUCUUUAUGUCUCGACCAUUUCGAGACUCCUCAUCAUGUCCGUGAUCACAUCCGGGACUCCGAACAAACUUCGGUUCAUCAAAAUGCAUAAACUCAUAAUAUAACUGUCAUCGAAACCUUAAGCGUGCGGACCCUACGGGUUCGAGAACAAUGUAUACAUGACCGAGACACGUCUUCGGUCAAUAACCAAUAGCGGAACCUGGAUGCUCAUAUUGGCUCCUACAUAUUCUACGAAGAUCUUUUAUCGAUCAGACCGCAUAACAACAUACGUUGUUCCCUUUGUCAUCGGUAUGUUACUUGCCCGAGAUUCGAUCGUCGGUAUCUCAAUACCUAGUUCAAUCUCGUUACCGGCAAGUCUCUUUACUCGUUCCGUAAUACAUCAUCUCACAACUAACUCAUUAGUUGAAAUGCUUGCAAGGCUUAUGUGAUGUGCAUUACCGAGAGGGCCCAGAGAUACCUCUCCGACAAUCGGAGUGACAAAUCCUAAUCUCAAAAUACGCCAACCCAACAUGUACCUUUGGAGACACCUGUAGAGCACCUUUAUAAUCACCCAUUUACGUUGUGACGUUUGGUAGCACGCAAAGUGUUCCUCCGGCAAACAGGAGUUGCAUAAUCUCAUAGUCAUAGGAACAUGUAUAAGUCAUGAAGAAAGCAAUAGCAACAUACUAAACGAUCGGGUGCUAAGCUAAUGGAAUGUGUCAUGUCAAUCAGAUCAUUCACCUAAUGAUGUGAUCCUGUUAAUCAAAUAACAACUCUUUGUCCAUGGUUAGGAAACAUAACCAUCUUUGGUUAACGAGCUAGUCAAGUAGAGGCAUACUAGUGACACUUUGUUUGUCUAUGUAUUCACACAUGUAUUACGUUUUCGGUUAAUACAAUUCUAGCAUGAAUAAUAAACAUUUAUCAUGAUAUAAGGAAAUAAAUAAUAACUUUAUUAUUGCCUAUAGGGCAUAUUUCCUUCAGGGUGGCACUAGAUGCACUUACAAUCUCCCCCUUCUUAGUGAUUGAUGACAAACUAGUUGAAGUUUUCAACGGGGAAUAAAAUAUGUGAAAUUGUAAAGGAUAGGGUAUUGUCUUCAAAAGUGGCAAAGGCUCCCCCUGAAGAUGUGCAUAUAAGUAUUUUGCUUUUGAAUGCAAAUGCACAUGGCAGGUUGUACUUGCGGAGCUCCUCUUAUACUUAUGAAGACAGUUCAUCAUGCAUGAAAUGAUAUAAUGAAGAUAAUGACAUGCAUAAUGAAAAAUGGACGUCUGCAAAAUGACUUCAUGCAGAAUUUAUCGUCGCACAUGCGGAAUUUAUCAUCGCAUCACAUAGUGUCAAAAAAGGUAGCAGACGACCAUCAAGUUUAAGUGUUACAACUCAAAAAUGAACCAAAUGAAUCAAAAGCGAGAGUUGUAAGCACUUGGCAAAUGUAGCAAAAGUAAAGCAACCACCCAUAUGGACCCGCUUGAAGACUAUCAACUCAUAUGCUUCUCCCCCUUUUGUCAGUAAUGACCAAAAAGGUUUGAAGACAUAGAGCUUCUACUCGUUCCCAUGAGGUGCAGGUGAAGCAGGAGGGUCGUCGUUGAGGUCCGGUGGUGCAGAAGAACUUGGUGCAGUGUCGACACACGCUGAAGUUGGAGGAGGUGAAGUGGCAUCAUCUUGGUCAUCGAUGACUCUGGCAUUCACCGUCGUAGCUGAGGACGAAUAGUUAGAGUCUUCAAGUGAGGGAGUCCGACGCAAGUGAGCAUUCCUUGGAGGAGUUCAGUCAAACUUGAAUCUUUUUGUGAAGUCAUCGUCUUGCAGAUCAGCUUCAGCACUAAGCAAUGUCAAACUCUUCCAAGACCUCCGACAGGUUUCAUGUGUAAUAAAGGCAUUCUUGGUGGCAAGAUUGCGAAUGCGAUUGAUGUCCACCAAGAGGCUUUGCAUCUGACACUUAAGCCAGUUAUGAUGCUUAUCAUGUUUCUGAUGUAGCGCGAUGAGAAGCUCUCGGUCAUUGAGAACAUGAUAUCGCUUCUGAGGCCUUUGGGCAAUGGUGCUUCCAGUGGCGUCAGUUUGAGCGCGAGGGGCACAUGUGUUACCAGCCAAGGGGUAAACACGAGAGACUGCUUGAACUCCUUCAAUGGGCUGGGUGAAGCUUUGACGAUCAACAUUGUGAAGAUAAAUCGGAUCCUUAGCAGGCUCUAGGUAAAUAGCUUCAACAGACAGAUCAACCUCUGGUGAGAAUACAAGAUGAUUGCGCGUAGACAGCUGAUAGUUGAAGGCAGAGUGCAGCUUGAUAAGACGCAUUACCCAUGGAGCAUAGAACUUCAAACCAAAAAUGUCGGAGCCAUAUGCAACCAAUUGUCUAAUGAAGAAGUCUUGAGCAUUGAAGCUGAUGCCAUUGAAGAUAUAGAAAACCAAAGCCUUCAUUGCUCCUUCAAGCUUCGCUGCAGAUGAAUGUCCUUUGAUAGGCCAUAGAGUUUUUCUGAUGAUAUGGUAAAUGGUGCGAGGCAGAUACUCUAGGUCUUCAACAAAGAAUUCAGAUGGGUAGUCAGCGUCGUGAGGCAAAGGCUUCAUCAUGCUCAACAUUUGGCUCAUGUUGGGUUCUGGCUUCUGAAAAAUGCUCUCCAAAGCAUUCUGGUGUUGUUGACAACCUGGUUCAUAGUAUUCACCAGGAGUGGGCAGAGCUGUGAGCUCAAUGAUAUCAAGAGCUUUGGCUUCAUGAUGGACAUUGCCUGUCAUCCACUCAAGGAACCAAGUCUUUGGAUCCCUGUUGUAGCCUCGAAUGUGAAGAGUUGCAUAAAACUGUAAUAUAAGCUCUUCAUUCCAGUGUUCCUUGUCUGUGACAAAUUGUAGGAGUCUAGCGUCUCUGAAGCAAUCCAACGCUUCUUCUAGACAGGGUAGGCCAGCUAUAGCUUCAGUGUCGAGACGCAUAUGUGGAAAUAUGCAUCCUUGAUUGUAUAAGACGCAUGAAUAGUAGUUGCGCUGCUGAUAGCUCCAGAACCGAUCCGAUGAAAUGCGAGGUUUGGAGUAAGGGUUCUUGGCGCUGUUGAAGAAGGUGUUAUGUGCCACGAAGCCAUUUACACUGAAGACCCCAGGUGAGGUUGCAGUGCCUGGGAAUCUUGGAAGUCUUGGCUUGGACUUCUGGACUUGAGGCCUGUGCUCGACAUGAUAGUCAAAUUGUGGACCCGCAGCAGGUGGAGGAACCAGAAUGGGCCAUCGGACCAUAACAGGCUGACCACGAUCAAAUGCCAGCUCAACAGUAUGAGGUCUUGGAGGGGGUACAGGAGCAUUGGCAUUUUCGUUGACAUGGGCAAGUGGCACAAUAGCUUUAGGAGGAAUGAUUACGUCUGGUGCUGCAUUGGCUUCAGGGGCCACAUUGGUUUUAGGUGCUUCAUUAUCGGCUUCGGGCAUGACGACAUCAGUGUCGUCAGCAGUGUUGUUGGUGGUGGUGACGUUAGCUUCAGGCGCCACAUUAGCUUCAACCAUGACAAUGUCAUUGGCUUCAGUGUUGAUGUUGGUGGCCGCCUCAGUAUUGGUAACCUCCACUUCAGGAGCUGGAGGGUCGGACACGUUCUCCUCGAGAACAGCUUCAGGAAUGGUUGGUGGUGUAGCAACUCUUUCUUCAUCACAUGGUGCUUCUUCUUCAUCGGCUGAUGUAGCCAGAAUAUCUUUAGCCAUUUUGGCUUCAGACUUAGAGGCAUUCACAGUUGGAGUGGCUUCUGGAAACACUUGACGUGCAACAGAUUGGUGGGGCACUUCUCCUUGUGGAAUGCUCAGAAGAGUGACUUGUGGUUGGGGAGAACUUGGGGUGUCUUGUUGUUGUGGGUGAUCAGCCCACGAUGCAUCCUGAGCAGUUGGCAUCAGAGAAUGACCAAUUCUGAUGAGCUCGAUGUGCGUGAGCACAUGCAAUGAUACCAAAUUGUGCUCGAUCUGAGGAAGGACUUCAUCAUCUUCAACAUUGUCGUGAGGAACAAUGUCUUCAGCUGCGGUGGGGUCAACAGUUGGAUUGUCUUCAGCUUCAGGAGCCUCUAUGGAAGCAAUCUCAUGAACUAUCAACUGACGCUCUCGAUGUUCAGACACAGGACGAGCAACAGAAAUUGGCUCGACAAGAAGGGGCUCUAUGGGAGCAGCCCGGUCUCUCUUCUUUGUUUUCCUUUUCUUGGUUGGGGGAGCAUCAUCAGUGGUGGCUUUGGUCUUGCGCUGUCUGGCUUCGGCUUAAGCUGCUCUAGUUUUCUUAAAUUCUGAAGCCACUGUGGGGACCUUAGGCUUCGAGCCUGUCAUACUGGCUGGGAAGACAAUGCGAGGUUCUUCCUGCCUUGAUGCUUCUAGUUCUGCCACAGCUGGCUUCUUCUUCUUCUUCUUCUUCUUCUUCUUCUUCUUCUUCUUCUUCUUCUUCUUCUUCUUCUUGGCAGCCAUUCUGGGGUCGAUGCCUGGUCGCCCCAAGGCCUUGCGCUUUUCAGCUUCAUUGUAGCCUUGAACACAUUUGGCAGCAAGAUUCUUCAUGCGCUCACGAGAACCUUUUUCUUCUUCUCGUUUCUUGUGGAAUGCCUCCUUGAGCUCAUGCAUCAUGACCUUGAAGUUUUGAAUGUCUUCAACAUUGAGCUUGGCCAUGUGCUUCUUGAACUGAGCCUUUUCAUAAUCGAUCUUAUGCUUCAGCUCAACAAUUUUCUGAGCUAGAGCCAGCUCAGGAGCGCGGUGGCCAGGCGGUUAGUCCGGUUAUUUUUCUUAGCCGGUACUACUGCCCGCCUGUCCGGUUGUACCGCUUGGUAGGGUUCUACAGAUACACCACGAGUCCCGGUUGUACCGGGACGAGGACCGGUUGUACCGCUGCAGUGCAAAAAAUGCAGUAACGGUUGGAAUUGUGGGUGACUAUAUAAGGGAGCUUCUCCCACCUACCACUUUCACCUUUGACCUCUCUCACUCCACCAUUGAUGCACUUCAAGCUCUCUUGCCCGAUCUCUCUCUCUCUAGCCACUCAAACUUGUUGAUUUGCUAGGGAUUGAAGGAGGAGACCUAGAUCUACACUUCCACCAAAGGAUAUUUGCUUCCCCCAUACUUUCUUGUGUGGAUUUUGUUACUCUUGGGUGUUUGAGCACCCUAGACGGUUGAGGUCACCUCGGAGCCAUAUUCCAUUGUGGUGAAGCUUCGUGGUUUUGUUGGGAGCCUCCAAUUAAGUUGUGGAGAGAGCCCCAACCUUGUUUGUAAAGGUUCGGUCGCCGCCUUCAAGGGCACCAAUAGUGGAAUCACGACAUCUCGCAUUGUGUGAGGGCAUGAGGAGAAUACGGUGGCCCUAGUGGCUUCUUGGGGAGCAUUGUGCCUCCACACCGCUCCAACGGAGACGUACUUCCUCUCAAAGGGAAGGAACUUCGGCAACACAUCCUCGUCUCCACCGUCUCCACUCUUGGUUAUCUCGUGCCUUUAUUUGAGCAAGCUUACUUGUUUCAUAUCUCUUGCUUGCUUGUGUUCCUAUCCUUGUUGCAUCAUAUAGGUUGCUCACCUAGUUGCAUAUCUAGACAACCUACUUUGAUGCAAAGUUUAAAUUGUUAAAGAAAAGCUAAAAAUUGUUAGUUGCCUAUUCACCCCCCUCUAGUCAACCAUAUCGAUCCUUUCAAUUGGUAUCAGAGCCUCGUCUCUUUAUUAAGGACUUUACCGUCCAAAGAGUAUGGUUGAUACCAUAGACGGUGUGGAGGAACACUCCGGUGUGAAUCCUAUCUCGUCUACGGGCAAUGGGGGAACCUCGGUCUCACGUGAGGAGUUCAAUGUGGCCUUGGAGACAUUGAAAACCUCCAUGACGACCGAAGUUGAAAGCAUGUUUACUAAAUUUCUUGAGGGGCUUAGACUAUCCACCGCACUGUUGAAAGUGGGUGAUCCCGCCAACAAGGUGACGGAUGCUAUCCCCGACAAGGGGGAAGCUAGUAGUGAAAAGGCUCCUUCUUCUAGUGGCAAGAAUGGCACCGACAUCUUUGCCCAUGUGGAACCACCACUUGUUUAUGGUGGACCGGUUCCUUCCACUCAUUUGAAUCAUGCCGGUCCUCCCCCUAAGAUUGUGAAAAAUGAGGAUUUUGAUUCUUGGGUUUACCGCUUUAAACGUCAUUUAAAUCAUGUGAACACUAACCUUUGGAGAAUCAUUGAAGAAGGUUUCUAUCCACAUGAUCCAAGCAACUUCACUCCUCGAUAAGCCGCGGAUAAUCAAUUCAAUGAGAAUGCUCUCUACAUCAUUCAAGAUGCAAUUCCACCCGAAGACCUACCUCAUCUUCAUCCCUUCGCCUUGGCCAAAGAUGCAUGGCAUUGUGUCGUCUCUCUCUACCGGGGAAGUGCAAGCAUUCAACGCUCCAACUAUGAAGUGGUACAAGAUGAGGCCGAUGAGUUUGCAAUGAAGGAAGAUGAAGAACCUCGUGAGCUCUAUCAGAGAGUAACCAAACUCGCGGUCUCACUACGAGAUCACGGGAGCAAGGACAUGGAUGCCAAUUGGAUCAAGCAAAAAUUCCUCAAGGCAAUGAUGCCCUAUCACAAGGCCAUGUCCUCCGUCUUCGUCAAAGACCGGACUUCCACACUUUGACCUCAAGCAAAGUGUUGGAUGAGUUUGUGGCCAUGAACAUUUUGGACAAGACCGCCGACAAUGCAGUGCUCUUCUCAACGGGCAAGGAAGCCUAACCUUGCAUUGAAGGCCAAGCUCACCAUUGAAGAAGAAGAAGAGGAAGAAGAGGAGAGCAACCCCGAUGAUACAAAUUAUGCAUAUCAUGAACACAUGGCACUUGCUUCAAGGCAAUUUUGGAGCAAGAAAAACUCGAGGCCAAACUUUAGCAAAAACAACUCAAGUGGCACGAAGAGCAAGCAACAUGCAAGGACUUGCUACAAUUGCGGCAAUGUGAGUCAUUUUGUUGCGGAGUGCCCAUAUGAGAAGAGGGAAGACAAUGGUGGCAAGCUCAUCCGAAAGGACAAGGCCAAGUCGUUCCCCAACAAGAGCAACUUCACCAAGAAGACUCCUCCCAAGGCUUUGGUGGUACAAGAAGAGUACAAUGAGGAUGAUGAUGAUGAAAGUGAUGAGUUGGUUGCCAUGGCCUCCGUUGCCAUCGCGACGACUCCACGGGUGUCUCUCUUCGACUCACCCAAUGAGAGCAUCACCGCCAAGUGCCUCAUGGCUAAAGCCACCAACAAGGUAACCUCCAACAUCAAAACUACCAUCAUUAAUCAUCCUUCUCCGGCGGAUAGCAUUAAUGAACUUGAGGAAGAUAAUGUGGAGACUAAUGAGUUUGAGGCCUUUAUGGGCAAACUCAAGGGAAAAUCCAAGAAGCACUUUGUUGCUCUCUUGGAACAACUUGGUGAAGCCAAUGACGUAAUCGAGGCUCAUGAGAACACCAUCACUAAGAUGGAAGGGCAUAGUCGUGACUAUGCCGAUGAGAUUUCGGAUCUUUCCAAUGCUCUUGAGGAAGAGCGUGGUCUUCGUUUGGCUCUUGAGGAGUCACACAACGUUGAUCAUGCUAAGUUAAAGAAAUAUUAUGAUCAUGUCCUCAUUGUUUCUCGUGUGCUAAAUUCUGAGAAGGCCAAACUCGGGGUUGAUCUUGCUAGACUCAAAGAGGAGUUUGAUAUACUUGACAAGGCCCACAAGGCCUUGAAGGGUACUCACGCUAGUCUCAAGGAGUCUCAUGAUCAACUCCAAGUGAAGCUAACUAAGGAGAAAGCAACUUUUCCUCAUAUGGUUUUAAUUGACAAUGCAAAUGCUACUAACCCGUGUUGUGAGCAUAUACAUCUUGUUGAGGAAAAUGCUAAGUUGAAGGAGCAACUUGAGAGAGGUCUUGCGACUUGCAUACAAGGCAAGAAGAACCUCAACGAUCUCUUGAUCAACCAAAAGGGAGUUAUGGCCAAGGAAGGGGUUGGGUACGUGCCCGACUCCAAGAACAAGAAGAAUGACAAGACCAAACGACCUCCUCCUCUCAUGCAAACCUUUGUGAGGGAGGGAGAGAGUGCCCCCAAGGAGAAGAAGAAGGACAAUGUCACCCCUCCCAACAAAGCCGGCGAUUUUAAUCCUUCUUAUGUGUUAUGCCGUGCUAGUGAUGGGCAUGUUUAUGCCAAAUUUGUUGGUUCUCUUCAUGAGUACAUUGAAUGGUCUAUUUGGGUUCCUAAGACCCUUGUUACUAACAUUAAAGGACCCUUACAAAAUGGGUACCUAAAACCAAGCAUUGAUCUCUUGAGGUGUUUGCUUCCGGUGGUGGAUCAUGGUUGCUCGAUAGCGGAGCUACAAAUCAUAUGACCGGAAGCAAGGACUUGGUGGUGGACGUGCACAAAGUUCCAUCUAUGCCCACCAAUGUCGAGUGGGGUGACGCCUCAUCUUCUAAGGUAUUGGGACUUGGCAAGGUGGUCAUCUCUCAUGAUCUCACAAUCGAGAAGGUCAUGCUUGUUGAGUCCCUUGCAUACAAUUUACUUUUCGUUCGUCAACUUGCAAUCAUGGGCUUUGCCACUUUCUUUGAUAUCGAUACCGUGGCCCUCUUGUGGAGCAAGACUCUUAAAGUAGCUUUUGUUGGGCAUGUCGAGAACGGUCUAUAUGUGAUUAACUUUUCGGAGCGACCCCCUAAGACCGCGACAUGCCUGAUGGCUAAAGUUGAUGUGGGAUGGCUUUGGCAUCGCCGUUUAGCCCAUGUCAAUAUGAGAUCUUUGCAAAGUCUCCUCAAGGGGGACCAUGUCCGUGGACUAAUGAAUGUUAGUUUUGCUAAAGAUCGUGCUUGUAGUGCCUGUAUCGAAGGAAAGCUACAUGAGAAGGCUCACCCUCCCACGACUAUCAUUUAUUCAAAGAGGCCCUUAGAGCUCCUUCACAUGGAUCUUUUUGGGGCCCCAUCCUUCGAUAGUCUUGGAGGUAGGAAGUAUUGCUUGGUGAUUGUGGAUGACUACUCAAGGUACACGUGGGUGUAUUUCUUCAAGAGGAAGAGCGAGACCCAACAAACCAUCAUUGACUUUGCAAAUGAAGCACAACAUCAACACAAUGCAAAGAUCUUGACAAUAAGAAGUGACAACGGCACCGAGUUCAAGAACUACACCUUGGAUGAAUUUCUUAGUGAUGAGGGAAUCAAGCAUCAAUAUUCCGCACCAUACACCCCUCAACAAAACGGUGUUGCGGAGAGGAAGAACCGGACGUUGAUGGUGUUGGAAAUAUGCCCUAGAGGCAAUAAUAAAAGUAUUAUUAUUAUAUUCCUUUGUUCAUGAUAAUUGUCUUUAUUCAUGCUAUAACUGUAUUAUCCGGAAAUCGUAAUACACGUGUGAAUACAUAGACCAUAAUAUGUCCCUAGUAAGCCUCUAGUUGACUAGCUCGUUGAUCAACAGAUAGUCAUGGUUUCCUGGCUAUGGACAUUGGAUGUCAUUGAUAAUGGGAUCACAUCAUUAGGAGAAUGAUGUGAUGGACAAGACCCAAUCCUAAGCAUAGCACAAGAUCGUGUAGUUCGUUUGCUAGAGCUUUUCCAAUGUCAAGUAUCUUUUCCUUUGACCAUGAGAUCGUGUAACUCCCGGAUACCGUAGGAGUGCUUUGGGUGUACCAGAUGUCACAACGUAACUGGGUGACUAUAAAGGUGCACUACAGGUAUCUCCGAAAGUGUCUGUUGGGUUGACACGGAUCGAGACUGGGAUUUGUCACUCCGUAUGACGGAGAGGUAUCACUGGGCCCACUCGGUAAUGCAUCAUCAUAAUGAGCUCAAAGUGACCAAGUGUCUGGUCACGGGAUCAUGCAUUACGGUACGAGUAAAGUGACUUGCCGGUAACGAGAUUGAACAAGGUAUUCGGAUACCGACGAUCGAAUCUCGGGCAAGUAACAUACCGAUUGACAAAGGGAAUUGUAUACGGGGUUGCUUGAAUCCUCGACAUCGUGGUUCAUCUGAUGAGAUCAUUGAGGAGCAUGUGGGAGCCAACAUGGGUAUCCAGAUCCCGCUGUUGGUUAUUGACCGGAGAGCGAUCUCGGUCAUGUCUACAUGUCUCCUGAACCCGUAGGGUCUACACACUUAAGGUUCGGUGACGCUAGGGUUGUAGGGAUAUGUAUAUGCAGUAACCCGAAUAUUGUUCGGAGUCCCGGAUGAGAUCCCGGACGUCACAAGGAGUUCCGGAAUGGUCCGUAGGUAAAGAUUUAUAUAUGGGAAGUCCUGUUUCGGCCAUCGGGACAAGUUUCGGGGUCAUCGGUAUUGUACCGGGACCACCGGAAGGGUCCCGGGCGUCCACCGGGUGGGGCCACCUGUCCCGGGGGGCCACAUGGGCUGUAGGGGGUGCUCCUUGGCCUACAUGGGCCAAGGGCACCAGCCCCAAGAGGCCCAUGCGCCUAGGGUUUCAAGGAGGAAGAGUCCUAGGAGGGGAAGGCACCUCCUAGGUGCCUUGGGGAGGAGGGAUUCCUCCCCUUGGCCGCACCCCCCUAGGAGAUUAGAUCUCCUAGGGCCGGCGCCCCCCUUGGCCCUCCUAUAUAUAGUGGGGGAGAUGGAGGACUUCUUACCUUGACUUUUGGUGCCUCCCUCUUCCUCUCCAACACCUCCUCCUCCUCCAUAGUGCUUGGCGAAGCCCUGCCAGAGUACUGCAGCUCCAUCACCACCACGCCGUCGUGCUGCUGCUGGAGCCAUCUCCCUCAACCUCUCCUUCCCCCUUGCUGGAUCAAGAAGGAGGAGACGUGGCUGUUCCGUACGUGUGUUGAACGCGGAGGUGCCGUCCGUUCGGUGCUAGGAUCUUCGGUGAUUCGAAUCACGUCGAGUACGACUCCCUCAUCCCCGUUCUUUGAACGCUUCCGCUCGCGAUCUACAAGGUACGUAGAUGCAUCUAAUCACUCGUUGCUAGAUGAACUCCUAGAUGGAUCUUGGUGAAACCGUAGGAAAAUUUUGUUUUCUGCUACGUUCCCCAACAGUGGCAUCAUGAGCUAGGUCUAUGCGUAGUUCUUCUUGCGCGAGUAGAACACAAUUUGUUGUGGGCGUAGAUGUUGUCAACUUUCUUGCCGCUACUAGUCUUAUCUUGCUUCAACGGUAUUGUGGGAUGAAGCGGCCCGGACCAACCUUACACAUACGCUUACGUGAGACCGGUUCCACCGACUAACAUGCACUAGUUGCAUAAGGUGGCUGGCGGGUGUCUGUCUCUCCCACUUUAGUUGGAGCGGAUUCGAUGAAAAGGGUCCUUAUGAAGGGUAAAUAGAAGUUGACAAAUCACGUUGUGGCUUUCACGUAGGUAAGAAAACGUUCUUGCUAGAACCCUACUUCAGCCACGUAAAACAUGCAACAACAAUUAGAGGACGUCUAACUUGUUUUUGUAGCAAGUGCUUUGUGAUAUGAUAUGGCCAAAGUUGUGAUGAAUGAUGAAUGAUAUAUAUGUGAUGUAUGAGAUGUUCAUGCUAUUGUAAUAGGAAUCACGACUUGCAUGUCGAUGAGUAUGACAACCGGCAGGAGCCAUAGGAGUUGUCUUUAUUUUUUGUAUGACCUGCGUGUCAUUGAGAAACGCCAUGUAAAUUGCUUUACUUUAUUGCUAAACGCGUUAGCCAUAGUAGUAGAAGUAAUAGUUGGCGAGCAACUUCAUGGAGGCACGAUGAUGGAGAUCAUGGUGUCAUGCCGGUGACAAGAUGAUCAUGGAGCCCCAAGAUGGAGAUCAAAGGAGCUAUGUGAUAUUGGCCAUAUCAUGUCACAUUUAUUAUCUGAUUGCAUGUGAUGUUUAUCAUGUUUUGCAUCUUGUUUACUUAGAACGACGGUAGUAAAUAAGAUGAUCCCUUACAACAAUUUCAAGAAUUGUUCUCCCCUAACUGUGCACCGUUGCUAAAGUUCAUCGUUUCGAAGCACCACGUGAUGAUCGGGUGUGAUAGAUCCUUACGUUCACAUACAACAGGUGUAAGACAGUUUUACACAUGCAAAACACUUAGGGUUAACUUGACGAGCCUAGCACGUACAGACAUGGCCUCGGAACACAGAGACCGAAAGGUCGAACACGAGUCGUAUGGAAGAUACGAUCAACAUGAAGAUGUUCACCGACGAUGACUAGUCCGUCUCACGUGACGAUCGGACACGGCCUAGUCGACUCGGAUCGUGUAACACUUAGAUGACUAGAGGGAUGUCUAAUCUGAGUGGGAGUUCAUUAAUAAUUUGAUUAGAUGAACUUAAUUAUCAUGAACUUAGUCUAAAAACUUUACAAUAUGUCUUGUAGAUCAAAUGGCCAACGUAGUCCUCAACUUCAACGCGUUCCUAGAGAAAACCAAGCUGAAAGACGAUGGCAGCAACUAUACGGACUGGGUCCGGAACCUGAGGAUCAUCCUCAUAGCUGCCAAGAAAGAUUAUGUCCUACAAGCACCGCUAGGUGAUCCACCCAUCCCACAGAACCAAGACGUUAUGAACGCUUGGUAGACACGUGCUGAUGACUACUCCCUCGUUCAGUGCAGCAUGCUUUAUAGCCUAGAGCCGGGGAUCCAAAAGCGUUUUGAGAGACAUGGAGCAUAUGAGAUGUUCGAAGAGCUGAAAAUGGUUUUUCAAGCUCAUGCCCGGAUCGAGAGAAAUGAAGUCUCCGGCAAAUUCUUCAGCUGUAAGAUGGAGGAAAAUAGUUCUGUCAGUGAGCACAUACUCACUAUGUCUGGGUUACAUAACUGCUUGACUCAGCUGGGAGUCAAUCUCCCGGAUGAUGCGGUCAUUGACAGAAUCCUCCAGUCGCUUCCACCAAGCUACAAGAGCUUUGUGAUGAACUUCAAUAUGCAGGGGAUGGAAAAGACCAUUCCUGAAGUAUUUGCUAUGCUGAAAUCAGCAGAGGUAGAAGUCAAGAAGGAACAUCAAGUGUUGAUGGUGAAUAAAACCACUAAGUUCAAGAAGGGCAAGGGUAAAAAGAACUUCAAGAAAGAUGGCAAGGAAGUUGCCGCGCCCGGCAAUCAAGCUGCCGGGAAGAAGUCAAAGAAUGGACCCAAGCCUGAGACGAAGUGCUUUUAUUGCAAAGGGAAGGGUCACUGGAAACGGAACUGCCCCAAAUACUUAGCGGACAAGAAGGCCGGCAAUACCAAAGGUAUAUUUGAUAUACAUGUAAUUGAUGUGUACCUUACCAGUACUCGUAGUAACUCCUGGGUAUUUGAUAUUGGUGCCGUUACUCAUAUUUGUAACUCACAGCAGGAGCUGCGGAAUAAACGGAGACUGGCGAAGGACGAGGUGACGAUGCGCGUCGGGAAUGGUUCCAAGGUCGAUGUGAUCGCCGUCGGCACGCUACCUCUACAUUUACCUACGGGAUUAGUUAUAAACCUCAAUAAUUGUUAUUUAGUGCCAAGUUUGAGCAUGAGCAUUGUAUCAGGAUCUCGUUUAAUAUGAGAUGGCUACUCAUUUAAAUCCGAGAAUAAUGGUUGUUCUAUUUAUAUGAGAGAUAUGUUUUAUGGUCAUGCUCCGAUGGUCAAUGGUUUAUUCUUAAUGAAUCUCGAACGUAAUAUUACACAUAUUCAUAGUGUGAAUACCAAAAGAUGUAAAGUUGAUAACGAUAGUCCCACAUACUUGUGGCACUGCCGCCUUGGUCACAUAGGUGUCAAACGCAUGAAGAAGCUCCAUGCUGAUGGACUUUUAGAGUCUCUUGAUUACAAAUCAUUUGACACGUGCGAACCAUGCCUCAUGGGCAAAAUGACCAAGACUCCGUUCUCAGGAACAAUGGAGCGAGCAACCAACUUAUUGGAAAUCAUACAUACUGAUGUGUGCGGUCCAAUGAGUGUUGAGGCUCGCGGGGGCUAUCGUUAUGUUCUCACCCUCACUGAUGACUUGAGUAGAUAUGGGUAUGUCUACUUAAUGAAACACAAGUCUGAGACCUUUGAAAAGUUCAAGGAAUUUCAGAGUGAGGUUGAAAAUCAACGUGACAGGAAAAUCAAGUUCCCGCGAUCAGAUCGUGGAGGAGAAUACUUGAGUCAUGAGUUUGGCACACAUUUAAGAAAAUGUGGAAUAGUUUCACAGCUCACACCGCCUGGAACACCUCAGCGUAAUGGUGUGUCCGAACGUCGUAAUCGCACUCUAUUAGAUAUGGUGCGAUCUAUGAUGUCUCUUGCCGAUUUACCACUAUCUUUUUGGGGCUAUGCAUUAGAGACUGCCGCAUUCACUUUAAAUAGGGCUCCGUCAAAAUCCUUUGAGACGACACCGUAUGAAUUAUGGUUUGGGAAGAAACCUAAGCCGUCGUUUCUAAAAGUUUGGGGAUGCGAUGCUUAUGUCAAGAAACUUCAACCUGAAAAGCUCGAACCCAAAUCGGAAAAAUGCGUCUUCAUAGGAUACCCUAAAGAAACUAUUGGGUAUACCUUCUACCUCAGAUCCGAAGGCAAGAUCUUUGUUGCCAGAAAUGGAUCCUUUCUAGAGAAGGAGUUUCUCUCGAAAGAAGUAAGUGGGAGGAAAGUAGAACUUGAUGAAGUAUUACCUCUUGAACCGGAAAAUGGCGCAACUCAAGAAAAUGUUUCUGAGGUGCCUGCACCGACUAGAGAGGAAGUUAAUGAUGAUGAUCAAGAUACUUUUGAUCAAGCUCCUACUGAAAUUCGAAGGUCCACAAGGACACAUUCCGCACCAGAGUGGUACAGCAACCCUGUCUUGGAAAUCAUGUUGUUAGACAAUGGUGAACCUUCGAACUAUGAAGAAGCGAUGGCGGGCCCGGAUUCCGACAAAUGGCUAGAAGCCAUGAAAUCCGAGAUAGGAUCCAUGUAUGAAAACGAAGUAUGGACUUUGACUGACUUGCCCGUUGAGCGGCGAGCCAUAGAAAAUAAAUGGAUCUUUAAGAAGAAGACAUACGCGGAUGGUAAUGUGACCAUCUAUAAAGCUCGCCUUGUCGCUAAGGGUUAUCGACAAGUUCAAGGGGUUGACUACAAUGAGACUUUCUCACCGGUAGCGAAGCUGAAGUCCGUCCGAAUCAUGUUAGCAAUUGCCGCAUUUUAUGAUUAUGAAAUAUGGCAGAUGGACGUCAAAACGGCAUUCCUUAAUGGUUUCCUUAAGGAAGAAUUGUAUAUGAUGCAGCCGGAAGGUUUUGUCGAUCCUAAGAAUGCUGACAAGGUGUGCAAGCUCCAACGCUCGAUUUAUGGGCUGGUGCAAGCAUCUCGGAGUUGGAACAUUCGCUUUGAUGAGAUGAUCAAAGUGUUUGGGUUUACGCAGACUUAUGGAGAAGCCUGCGUUUACAAGAAAGUGAGUGGGAGCUCUGUAGCAUUUCUCAUAUUAUAUGUAGAUGACAUACUUUUGACGGGAAAUGAUAUAGAACUCUUGGACAGCAUCAAGGCCUACUUGAAUAAGUGUUUUUCGAUGAAGGACCUUGGUGAAGCUGCUUAUAUAUUAGGCAUCAAGAUCUAUAGGGAUAGAUCGAGACGCCUCAUAGGUCUUUCACAAAGCACAUACCUUGAUAAGAUUUUGAAGAAGUUCAAAAUGGAUCAGUCCAAGAAAGGGUUCUUGCCUGUUUUGCAAGGUGUGAGAUUGAGCUCGGCUCAAUGCCCGACCACGGCAAAAGAUAAAGAAGAGAUGAGUGUCAUCCCCUAUGCUUCAGCCAUAGGAUCUAUUAUGUAUGCCAUGCUGUGUACCAGACCUGAUGUAAACCUUGCCGUAAGUUUGGUAGGAAGGUACCAAAGUAAUCCCGGCAAGGAACACUGGACAGCGGUCAAGAAUAUCCUGAAGUACCUGAAAAGGACAAAGGACAUGUUUCUCGUUUAUGGAGGUGACGAAGAGCUCGUCGUAAAGGGUUACGUCGACGCUAGCUUCGACACAGAUCUGGAUGACUCUAAGUCACAAACCGGAUACGUGUAUAUGUUGAAUGGUGGAGCAGUGAGCUGGUGCAGCUGCAAGCAGAGCGUCGUGGCGGGAUCUACAUGUGAAGCGGAGUACAUGGCAGCCUCGGAGGCAGCACAUGAAGCAAUAUGGGUGAAGGAGUUCAUCACCGACCUAGGAGUCAUACCCAAUGCGUCGGGGCCAAUCAAACUCUUCUGUGACAACACUGGAGCUAUUGCACUUGCCAAGGAGCCCAGGUUUCACAAGAAGACAAGGCACAUCAAGCGUCGCUUCAACUCCAUUCGUGAAAAUGUUCAAGAUGGAGACAUAGAGAUUUGUAAAGUACAUACGGACCUGAAUGUAGCAGAUCCGUUGACUAAACCUCUCCCUAGGGCAAAACAUGAUCAACACCAGAAUUCCAUGGGUGUUCGAUUCAUAACAAUGUAACUAGAUUAUUGACUCUAGUGCAAGUGGGAGACUGUUGGAAAUAUGCCCUAGAGGCAAUAAUAAAAGUAUUAUUAUUAUAUUUCUUUGUUCAUGAUAAUUGUCUUUAUUCAUGCUAUAACUGUAUUAUCCGGAAAUUGUAAUACACGUGUGAAUACAUAGACCAUAAUAUGUCCCUAGUAAGCCUCUAGUUGACUAGCUCGUUGAUCAACAGAUAGUCAUGGUUUCCUGGCUAUGGACAUUGGAUGUCAUUGAUAAUGGGAUCACAUCAUUAGGAGAAUGAUGUGAUGGACAAGACCCAAUCCUAAGCAUAGCACAAGAUCGUGUAGUUCGUUUGCUAGAGCUUUUCCAAUGUCAAGUAUCUUUUCCUUUGACCAUGAGAUCGUGUAACUCCCGGAUACCGUAGGAGUGCUUUGGGUGUACCAAACGUCACAACGUAACUGGGUGACUAUAAAGGUGCACUACAGGUAUCUCCGAAAGUGUCUGUUGGGUUGACACGGAUCGAGACUGGGAUUUGUCACUCCAUAUGACGGAGAGGUAUCACUGGGCCCACUCGGUAAUGCAUCAUCAUAAUGAGCUCAAAGUGACCAAGUGUCUGGUCAUGGCAUCAUGCAUUACGGUACGAGUAAAGUGACUUGCCGGUAACGAGAUUGAACAAGGUAUUCGGAUACCGACGAUCGAAUCUCGGGCAAGUAACAUACCGAUUGACAAAGGGAAUUGUAUACGGGGUUGCUUGAAUCCUCAACAUCGUGGUUCAUCCGAUGAGAUCAUCGAGGAGUAUGUGGGAGACAACAUGGGUAUCCAGAUCCUGCUGUUGGUUAUUGACCGGAGAGCAAUCUCGGUCAUGUCUACAUGUCUCCCGAACCCGUAGGGUCUACACACUUAAGGUUCGGUGACGCUAGGGUUGUAGGGAUAUGUAGAUGCAGUAACCCGAAUAUUGUUCAGAGUCCCGGAUGAGAUCCCAGACAUCACGAGGAGUUCCGGAAUGGUCCGGAGGUAAAGAUUUAUAUAUGGGAAGUCCUGUUUCGGUCAUCGGGACAAGUUUCGGGGUCAUCGGUAUUGUACCGGGACCACCGGAAGGGUCCCGGGGGUCCACCGGGUGAGGCCACCUGUCCCGGGGGGCCACAUGGGAUGUAGGGGGUGCGCCUUGGCCUACAUGGGCCAAGGGCACCAGCCCCAAGAGGCCCAUGCGCCUAGGGUUUCAAGGAGGAAGAGUCCUAGGAGGGGAAGGCACCUCCUAGGUGCCUUGGGGAGGAGGGAUUCCUCCCCUUGGCCGCACCCCCCUAGGAGAUUAGAUCUCCUAGGGCCGGCGCCCCCCUUGGCCCUCCUAUAUAUAGUGGGGGAGAUGGAGGACUUCUUACCUUGACUUUUGGUGCCUCCCUCUUCCUCUCCAACACCUCCUCCUCCUCCAUAGUGCUUGGCGAAGCCCUGCCAGAGUAUUGCAGCUCCAUCACCACCACGCCGUCGUGCUGCUGCUGGAGCCAUCUCCCUCAACCUCUCCUUCCCCCUUGCUGGAUCAAGAAGGAGGAGACGUGGCUGUUCCGUACGUGUGUUGAACGCGGAGGUGCCGUCCGUUCGGUGCUAGGAUCUUCGGUGAUUCGAAUCACGUCGAGUACGACUCCCUCAUCCCCGUUCUUUGAACGCUUCCGCUCGCGAUCUACAAGGUACGUAGAUGCAUCUAAUCACUCGUUGCUAGAUGAACUCCUAGAUGGAUCUUGGUGAAACCGUAGGAAAAUUUUUGUUUUCUGCUACGUUCCCCAACAGAUGGAUGCGGCAAGGACCAUGAUGGCGGAGUUCAAGUCUCCGUACAACUUUUGGGCCGAAGCCAUCAACACCGCAUGUCAUGCAUCCAAUCGGCUCUACCUCCGCAAGGGCUUGAACAAGACUCCAUACGAGAUACUCACCGGUAACAAGCCCAACCUCAGGUACUUCCGGGUAUUCGGGUGUAAGUGUUUCAUUCUCAAGAAAGGUGUUCGGUUGUCUAAAUUUGAGGCUAGAGCUUAUGAGGGCAUAUUUGUUGGCUAUGCUACAAACUCUCAUGCUUACCGUGUCCUCAAUAAAUCCACGGGACUUAUUGAGGAGACGUGUAACGUGGAGUUUGAUGAGAAUAACGGCUCCCAAGUGGAGCAAAGUGGCACUUGUGAUGUAGGUGAUGAAAUUCCUCCCCAAGCCAUAAGAAGAAUGGGUGUUGGCUUUAUCCUACCCAUUGAGGAACCCCUUGUGGCCGAAGGAGAAGGACAAAGCUCCACUCAAGUGGAGCCAUCACCAACCCAAGGCCCACACGCAUCCGAAGAACAAAGUGAAGGCCCUCAACCUCAUGAACAAGACCAAGGGCAAGAUCAUACUCAAGACGGUGUUGACACACCAAGUGAUGCCCAGGGUCAAGUUCUCUCCCCCGAGCAGGUUCAAGAUCAAGAACAAGUUCAUGACGAUGUUCAAGAUGAUCAAGUAACCACUCCUCAACUCACCACCGAGGAGGAAUUAGAGCGUCGUGCCGCCAAGAUUGCAUCCAAGCUCUCCACCAAGGAUCAUCUCAUGACGAAUGUGCUUGGAAGCUUAAGAAAGGGGGUAAGCACUCGUAGACAAUUAGCAAAUUAUUGUGAGCAUCACGCGUUUGUCUCUUGUGUGGAACCCCACAAGGUCUAUGAGGCGCUAGAAGAUCCGUAUUGGCUCAAUGCCAUGCACGAAGAACUCAACAACUUCGAGCGCAACAAAGUGUGGAGAUUGGUGCCAAGGCCAACGGGGAACCACAAUGUCAUUGGAACCAAGUGGAUAUUCAAGAACAAGCAAGAUUCCCAUGGGAUUAUCAUUUGCAACAAGGCUCGUUUGGUAGCACAAGGCUACUCCCAAGUCGAGGGUAUCGACUAUGGUGAAACCUUUGCUCCCGUUGCUCGUCUUGAAUCCAUUCGCAUGUUGAUUGCAUAUGCUUCUCAUCAUAACUUUAAGUUACAACAAAUGGAUGUGAAGAGUGCUUUUCUUAAUGGUCCCAUUAAUGAAUUGGUUUGCGUCAAGCAACCCCCCGGGUUUGAGGAUCCCUACUUUCCCGAUCAUGUGUAUCAACUCGAUAAGGCACUCUAUGGCCUUAAACAAGCCCCACGUGCAUGGUAUGACCACCUUACCAAGUUGUUACAAGACCGUGGUUUUGAAGUUGGGCUAAUCUACCCCACUCUUUUUACUAAGAAGGUCAAAGGGGAGUUGUUUGUGUGCCAAUUAUAUGUUGAUGAUAUUAUCUUUGGUUCUCCUAACAAAGCUUUCAAUGAGGAAUUUGCCGCUCUCAUGACCUUAAAGUUUGAGAUGUCCUCCAUGGGAGAGUUGAAGUUCUUUCUAGGGUUCGAAGUGAAGCAAAGAAGAGAAGGAACCUUCAUCAAUCAAUCCAAAUACACUCAAGACAUUCUCAAGAGAUUCAAGCUAAGUGACGUCAAGCCGGCUUCCACUCCAAUGCCCACCAAGUGCCAACUUGACUUAGAUCCCAAUGGUAAAGUGGUGGAUCAAAAGGUAUAUCGUUCCAUGAUUGGAUCCUUGCUUUACCUUUGUGCAUCUAGACCGGACAUCAUGUUGAGUGUGGGAAUUUGUGCACAGUUUCAAGCCACACCUAAGGAAAGUCACUAUGUGGCGGUCAAACGAAUCUUUCGAUAUUUGGCUCAUACCCCAAACUUUGACUUAUGGUACCCAAGAGGAUCAAACUUCAAGCUUGUAGGGUACUCGGAUUCCUAUUGGGCGGGAGACAAAGUGGAUAGGAAGUCCACUUCCGGAGGGUGCCAAUUCCUUGGUUGCUCUUUGGUAAGUUGGUCUUCCAAAAAGCAAAGUUGUGUGUCUCUCUCGUCCACUGAGGCGGAGUAUGUUGCCGCCGGUAGUUGUUGUGCUCAACUCCUAUGGAUGAGGAAACUUUAAAGGAUUACGGUGUCACUUGUGACAAAGUGCCUCUUUGGUGUGACAAUGAAAGUGCCAUCAAGAUCUCUCUCAACCCGGUGCAACACUUCAAGACGAAGCAUAUUGAGAUCCGGUAUCACUUCAUCCGGGAUCACAUUAGGCGAGGAGAGAUCGAGCUCAACUAUGUCAACACUCAUGACAACCUUGCAGAUAUUUUCACGAAGCCCUUGUAUGAAGAAAGAUUUCGCGAGUUAAGGCAUGAGCUAAAUAUCAUUGAUUCGAGCAAUGUGGCUUGAACCUUUGCACACCCUACCACGCUCAAUUUGUUGUCUAGUUUAGGUGUAGGCAUGGACAUAGGGGGAGUGUUGUUCUCUCAAUGAACUCUCCCUCCCCCCAUUAUGCAUAAAUUGAUCGAGUCUUUCACAUUAGCCAUGUUUGAUGGUACUUGUGCUUCAAAGACGAGUUUUGGUCAUGGACCCAAGGAUAAUUCUUCGCGGUGCCAUACCAAUUGACUCAAACAUAGGUGGCCUUGGCCACCGCCCUCUCUCCGGGAGGUUGGAGUUAGCCUUGUUGUUCCCGUGUUGUUUUCUCUCUUUUGUCUUUGCUCUUUGUGUUAGGUUCUCCUAGGGUGUUGCUUCUCUCCUGUUUUGUGCCCCUUCUUCCUCCCUUCGGAUUGCACUCUUUUGAUCUUGGCUUGGGCAUAGGUGGUCGGGCAGUACAACCGGUAUCACGGGCGGUUCUACCGCUGGUACCGGGUUGUGCCGUCCCAAUGGGUCUCCGUUCGGUGCUUGGGCAGUUCCACCGCUCAAACCCACGGUAACCAACGUCCGGUACUACCGGUUGACGCCGUGCGGUACUACCGCUGCCUCCCAGGCACCGGAAGUAUCACCUCCAACCACCGGUCUGUACCAGACGAGCGGUACAACCGCUCCCCUAAGCGGUUCUACCGGGGCGUGUCUACGGGCCUAUAUAUACUUGACGAGGCUGAAGGGUUGUCCUUUUUCCCUUCGUCCUCGUUCCUCUUCUCUUUGCCCUAGCCGCCGGCCAUCUCUUCCCCUGCCCCGGAGUGCGUCUCGCGCUUCGGAUCCUUGGCUCUCCGUGGAUUCUCUCCAUGGAGGCCUCCCGAUCUCUUCCCAUGGAUGGUGGUAAUGCCUCGUGUUCUUUGCUUCUAGAUCUUUCUAGGGUUCUUCCUUGUCUAGGGCAUUACUUAACGUUCCGCGUUUAGUGUUCAAACUAUGGUUUAGAAGAGAUCUUUGUUAGCCUCCUGUCUUGUUUGCAGCACUUAGAUUUCGGAAUAUUACUUGUGUGAUUCGUAUGCCUCGGUUAGAUCUAUCUUCCCUGGUAGUGCCACUGUCAGCGGUUCUACCGUCCCUACGGGCGGUACAAAUGCUGGAGCGGUACUACCGGCGAAAGAUCCGGUCCAAUCGGAGGAUAUCAACCACAAAGCACUGUUCUAUCUUCUCUGUUGCUGCAACUUGUUCCUUUUCUGCUAGUGGGUGCAAUCCUCUCAUCCUUGUUGGGUUUUUGUGUGUUCUUUUUGUGUGUGUGUUUAGGUGGCUCUAGUUCUUGCUCUGCUCCUCGCAAGACCAAGAAGAGGGCACGAAGGACCUUGCGCCCGGUUGUGUCUGAUGAUGAAGAAGAAGUUGUGAUUCCCACCAAGCCCACUCGUCGUGAAAAGUCUGCAGCUGCUAAGCAACGUGUGGUUAUGCCGUUGCAUCGUUAGAAAGCCAAGGAUUGGGAAGCCUUCCGAUCAAAGAAUCCGUAUGUGGUUCCCAUUGCUCCCGUUGGACCACUGUUCAGUUCCGGAAUGAGAUGCAAGUGCGGAUUGUUCAUGAACUCUUUGAACACAACAAGAACAUAUAUGCCAAGUAGUGGACAAUUGAUUUUGACCAUUAGAGAAACAACAUGGAGUAUUUUGGUGAGGCGCUGGCUCUCUGCGAGGAGUUUGAUCUUGUCAAGAUCAUGUUAGUCAACUGUGACUUUGAUGUUCAACUUAUCCAUCAGUUCUAUGCCACGGUUCAUUUUGGGGAAGAUGAUGCGCGCACUCUCACCUUCAUGUGUCGCGAUGAAUUGUUUCACGUUCCCUGGAGGGCAUUCUGUAAUGCUAUUGGGUAUGAGAAUACCGGUCUGGAAGGAAGGGGUGGCAUUCGCCCUCAUGAUUUUCCUGAGUCCAUGCCUAAGGAGAAGCUUGCCCCUCUGUACAUUCGGGGCCGUGGGAUUAUUGGAGAAUCCAAGGAUUUGGAGAAGGUCUAUGACAUCAUGCACCGAGUGUUCCGCAAUGUGCUCUUGCCCAAGGUGGGCAAUCAAGAUGAGAUUCAUGGCUAUCUGGUUGAUUUGAUGGUUGCUAUGAAGACCAUGGUGGGGACAGGGGCAAUGUUUGAUGUGUCAAAUUGGCUGUGGCAUGAGAUGUACAACAUGGUCAUCUACCGUAAAUUCCCAAUCUAUGCUCCGUUUGUCAUGUGCUUUCUGAACUCUGUAUGGGCUGUUCGUCGUCCUGGAGAGCUCCUCACUUCUCCAGACAACCUCACUGUUCAUGAGGUCAAGCUCCUUAAGAAGAAGAAGCAUGCCGAGCCUCGCUUCCCUGAAAAUGCUCCUGAGGAUGUCUAUGCUACUUCUGACGAUGAGGACUUUGAGCUGGAGCCAGGGGCCAAGCCUUCGUGGGUGGCCAAACUUACUGCCAAGGUGAAGAAGACCUUUUGUCUCCAGGCUGACAUCCAGAAGAAGAUGUAUGAGGCACAUGUCAAUGAGAAGCUUGCACGGCAUCGCCAAAUUGCAAUGAUGAAGCACCUCAACAUGCAGGUUCAGAGUGGCUCUGAGAAGAGCAUCACCCCAGAGGAGCGUUGGAUUUCUACCCAUAGCACCUGGACUGAUGAUGAAGCCCCUCCCCAGCCAUCCUCCUCGUUUGCAGCAGCUGACAAUUCCAUGGAAGAAUCUGAUCACGAUGACAAUGACGACUCUGAUGAUGAGGAUCCAGAUGCGACCGAGGAGUCAGAGGAGGAUGCCUGAGCUUUGGGACGCUAGCUUCGCUCUUUUCCUUUUUGGUGUCUUGAUGCCAAAGCGGGAGAGGGUUCUAUAGGUCUCGGGGAUUUGCUUGGGUUUUUCUCUUUUUCUCGUGUUUAGUGUUGGUCUCUGUUCGUGGACUUGUUUCAUUCCUUGCUGUGUGUGAGACUUAUGUUACUCCGGUUACCUUUACGUUCGUAGAUCAUUAUCGUUAUUAUUGCCCCUAAGUAUUAUAUUGUCUCUCCUUUUUGUGCUCAGAGUGGUGAGUCUAUAAAAUCUAGGGGGAGUCUAGUCCUGAAAGUGUGCCCAUGCUUUCUAAGAGCUAGUUCUUGUUGGGGCACACAUUCAGGGGGAGUUCCGUCUAGAUUUCAUUGACUUAUCUCUUGCAAAUCGUGUUGUUGUCAUCAUCCACCAAAAAGGGGGAGAUUGAAAGGGCAUUUCCCUACUUUAUGUUUUGGAUGAUGAUGACAACCCUUUGUGGUCUAAUUGUGUGCUAUAUGUUUCAGGUUCUUGAUGCUUAGGCUUACAUCGGAUUGCUAUUGUCUCUCGAGGGAAAAGAUCGAAGAUGUGUCCUCUAAGCUUUUAUUUUCUUUGGUCAUAGAGUACCCGUACUAUCAAGAGGGAAUCCUCAUUAGGAAGCUCUGGGGGAAUUAGUUCACGUACACUUUCCUCACCCUCUCUUUGCCUUCCUCAGGUGUGUGUGUGUGAGAGAGUUUUCCUUGCCUCUUCCCCUAUCUUUCCUGCGAACUAUUUCUGCCCAGCGGUUGUACCGCUCUCUGGAGCGGUUGUACUGCUGGGUCUUGUCGCUCACCAGCUUUGCUCGAGCGGUUGUACCGCUGCCUCCGGGCGGUGGUACCGCCACCAUGCUCUGCAAAAGCUGGGGCGGUGGUUCCGUCCAUGCACCGCUCAAGUACCGCUCUCGCUUCUGUUUUGAUGCGGUUCUUGGGCGGUAGUGGCCCGGUUGGUCCGGUCGUUCCACGAUGACCGGUACCACCGGUGGUUCGAGCGGUUCUUCCGCUCAGAACUUAGCCGCCCAAGAGCUCAAGGCCAUGCGGUUGUUCCGGCCAGGCACCGCCCAAGUACCGGUCAAGCUCCUGUUUUGAUGCGGUGGUUGUGCGGUGGCCAGGCGGUUAGUCCGGUUAUUUUUCUUAGCCGGUACUACCGCCCGCCUGUCCGGUUGUACCGCUUGGUAGGGUUCUGCAGAUACACCGUGAGUCCCGGUUGUACCGGGACAAGGAACGGUUGUACCGCUGUAGUGCAAAAAACGCAGUAACGGUUGGAAUUGUGGGUGACUAUAUAAGGGAGCUUCUCCCACCUACCACUUUCACCUUUGACCUCUCUCACUCCACCAUUGAUGCACUUCAAGCUCUCUUGCCCGAUAUCUCUCUCUAGCCACUCAAACUUGUUGAUUUGCUAGGGAUUGAAGGAGGAGACCUAGAUCUACACUUCCACCAAAGGAUAUUUGCUUCCCCCAUACUUUCUUGUGUGGAUUUUGUUACUCUUGGGUGUUUGAGCACCCUAGACGGUUGAGGUGACCUCAGCGCCAUAUUCCAUUGUGGUGAAGCUUCGUGGUUUUGUUGGGAGCCUCCAAUUAAGUUGUGGAGAGAGCCCCAACCUUGUUUGUAAAGGUUCGGUCGCCGCCUUCAAGGGCAUCAAUAGUGGAAUCACGGCAUCUCGCAUUGUGUGAGGGCGCGAGGAGAAUACGGUGGCCCUAGUGGCUUCUUGGGGAGCAUUGUGCCUCCAUACCGCUCCAACGGAGACGUACUUCCUCUCAAAGGGAAGGAACUUCGGCAACACAUCCUCGUCUCCACCGUCUCCACUCUUGGUUAUCUCGUGCCUUUAUUUGAGCAAGCUUACUUGUUUCAUAUCUCUUGCUUGUUUGUGUUCCUAUCCUUGUUGCAUCAUAUAGGUUGCUCACCUAGUUGCAUAUCUAGACAACCUACUUUGAUGCAAAGUUUAAAUUGUUAAAGAAAAGCUAAAAAUUGUUAGUUGCCUAUUCACCCCCCCUCUAGUCAACCAUAUUGAUCCUUUCAUCCACAAUAAUUACCUAUGCAUUAUUUGGCAACACCCCAACAUUUUAGUUUAAUAUUUGAAAACCUUUACAGUUUGACUUUAUUUUAAGUUUGAAUUUCGAAUCAAUUUUGAACUAACAUGAGAUUAACAACAGUAAUCGUGGUGACGUGGCAUCAUUAACGUGGGAUUACUAUAGCCUAAUUAUCCGGGCAUCAUAAUUCUCCUCUACUAUAAGAAAUCUCGUCCCGAGAUUUAAGAGGUGGGUAAGGGGGAAGGUUCUGGCUACGAAAUUCUAGCGAGUGUUCCCGGUCUUAGUUGCUCUUCUCCAAGGGGUCGAUCCAUUAUGUUGAUGUCUUCAUUCCUCUGCUUCAGGUCAUCAUGAUGAAGUCGUCAUUCUUUCCUCGGGAACUCCAUCGUACGUACGAAGGUCAAGGGUUAACUUCGGAAGAAUGGACCGCUACAAUGUUGCUUAUCUGGUAGAUAACCUCAGGAAAAGUGGUGGAAAGUAACUCUCGAAUUCAUACUUAAGAAAUUUUCGAGAGCAAAGUACGAAGGUGCAAAAUGGAAGCUUCAAGCGCAUAGGCAAUCGUUUGUUGCCUGAAACAAGUGUGAAAGGGGUUUAGAGCAAUGUGAAUAAGCAUUGUGUCUGAUACCAGAAUAGAUCGCUAGGAAGGUGGCUCGCAAAUUACCUACGAAACCAAGAGCAAGGGAUAACUUUGUCAACAAGGUGUACAGGAGAGUCAGUUUUCGAUCCUGUGGAACUGUGGGUUAUGGGCCCACCAUGGGUUAAAAGUAGGAGAAGUGGUGACAUCUUGCAUAGUCAUGAUAGCAAGACAGGUCAGAGUAUAGCCUAUUAAUUAUGUCGGCAACAACGUCGGUACCAAUGGCGAGGGAUGAAGAGAACCAUUUUCCUGCUCGUUGAACGAGGCGGACCAAUAGGCAAAGUUCUCGUCCAUCGGUGGUUACCGGAAUGUCAUCAACAAAAGUAACAGGGUCUUUCUGACAGAAUUGUACACCGAGGUGUUUACAAAAGCAAGAGAAUAUUACUGCUUAGAUCAUAUAGAUCACCAGAAAGGUUAAACCAAACAAUGGAAAGGAAAAUAUGAUUAUCAGGUUUAAGCCGAACAAUGGAAAGGAAAUUGUGUUUAAACACAUAUUUCAAUGGUAUAUCCUUCCCAAGGACAAGCAGAGCAUGAUAUCCAUGACAGGAUAUAAUGUAGAAAACUCUUUAGGUAAGGGGAGAGAAAUUUCAUGACAUUACCCAUACAACGGUGUUUGGAUAAUUGAGCAAGAAAACAUUUAGCAUUGGGCCUCAAAUCUUCUUGUCGAAAAUCGGAGUACCACAGACAUGCUUCGAGAUAGCAUUGACAUGGUCUUCAAGCAAAGGUCGGACUUUGGAUACACAAUGGAUUUAUCAGGAAUAACUUGUAGAAUAAAUCUUGCAAUAGGUCCUCCAACCAGGUGUGCUAGGCAUGACAUCACCUUAUUGGGUUAUAGAAAGACCAACGCUAUGACUCUUGGAAAAUGUUCCAACCAUCAUAUCUGACCGAGUUUCAGACCUGGUUGGUGUUAGGAUACCUCAGACUCAGGAUGCCCGAGAAGACAAGGUGUAACACAAAUUAACGUGAGGACAUUUUAAGAUUCUCGAGCAAUGAACUAUGGAAGCGAGUCCCAAAACAAGAUUUCAUCGGUAAACCAUGGAGAGGAUGAGGAGGUGGCUUAUGAACUCAGCGACAAUUCAUCAAGAUUUCCACAAUUAAAUAUUGAACGAAAAUGCACCUGGAAAUAUGGACCAAGUAGGACGUUCAAAGCUAGAAUGGUGAUUCGAUAACGAAACUAUCGGCCAUUCACUUCAAAACAAUAGGGUUGCUAGAGAUAUCAAAUUCCCACAACAGAGUUCACUCAACACGGGGGCCAAGAAAAGAAUGGUGAUGGCGAGAAGCAUCACUGUAACAAGAAUUUCUUAAGAGGUGGUGAAAUUCUCACAACAUUUUGACAUAAAAGAUGGUAAUACUCCAAUGUAAAGAAGAACAAUGCUGGGUAGAACGAACUCAAGGUAUAACACAAAACACGAACAAGUUUGUGUCGGAGGGAAGGCAAUAAAGUGGCCGAUGAUAACACGACUCAUCGAGGGCAAGGAUGGCAUUUCUCUUCAUGAAUCCGAUUGAUAUCCUGGAAGAGCUCAUAAGGUUGAUGAUGAUCACGACACAUUUGUCGAGAGAUUUCAUGAAGAUGUAAUCAAUCAGUGACGACAUCGAGUCAAAGGAAUGAUGAAGCAAAAUGUUAUUGGAACCAUGGGUACGACACAAACUUGAAAUCAAGUUUGUUGUUCAAGGAGAAAUGAUAUGACGAGGAAGAUCGACGUAGGGGUUGCGGAGAUGUAUUGAUCUGUAGAAGACGAGUGUUUUCACUUGCCUGAGAAAUGGUAUUUAAAGGAGAACAUGGUCGGAACCACGACUGCAAAGGGUCAAUUCACCGAUAUCAGAUGAUAUUAUAUCAAGGAAAUAGUUAUCAUUACAAUAAGUUUCCAUGAUAGGAUCUACAUCGUGUCCAUGGGCAUGAACACAAAGUUCAAGGUCGACUCCCACAACUUUAAUGCAUAACCUUUCAUUCACUUCUUGCCUUCAACGAAGUUGUGGUGUUGAAAUUUUAUCUGACAUAACACCAGUAGAGUAUGACCCAUAGUAGUUUCCGGGUUCACACAGAUUAGAAAAAGGCAUAUGUCCAACCCAUCGGGGCCUCUUAGGAACAUAUACCACAAACUUCAGGAGUAAAUAACACAAGCUCGAAAGCAGAGCAUGCUUGACAAAGCAGAGGACACAAUUUACCAAAGGCAUUAUGUAUCCAAGAAAAGACUCACAAAGUUAUUGAAUAUGAAGGACGCUGUCGGAUAAAAUCCAUUAAAGGAUCUGCCGGUCAAUAACAGAGCUGUUGUGAGCAUCGGCACACAACCAGAGGAAGUAACCAUGCAAGGGCAUUGGACUAUAGAAACAACUGACUGAUUCGAUGCUUAGAAUCAGAGGUAUUAUGAUUUCCAAAUCGAAGGAUCAGAAGCAGACGCUCUGAUCAAGGGUGGAUAAGUUCAAUAGACCUAAGGGGUACAAUCGACGGCAAUUGGAUUGGUUGAGAACCAGCUCAUGUUUAAAACGACGCCUGAGCCGGAAAGAUAAUUUAAAAGGAUCAACUCAUGAUUGCGUGCAUUCACACUCAUGUUGAAUCAAAAGGAUCAAGAUGACGGUGCCUAAGGAUACUAACGAAUAUUGCCAGACAUAUGGAAAGCAUCCAUCAUGCAAGCAGACAAGUAUUGCAGAGCAAUAAGCUACUAAGGAUUUUUGGAGGACCGAAUAGUAUUCGAAGACCAUUGUGAAACACAUGAACAACUGGGGGAUGAGCGGAUACUCGAUAAGUGCGAGAAUUAUCCGUAGGGGUAUUCAGGUGACAAACAACAGCAAGGCAGUAAGCUCAAAGGAUUAUCGAAACAACGACGAGUAUUUCGGGGUAUCUUGUAAUAUCAAGACCAACUGGGGAUGAAUGUAAGAAUAACAACUGCAAGUAGUUAUCCAUAAGGGUUGACGGUGGAAGGGGAAUUGCAAACGCGAUGAACAAAAGUUCUCGGGUUAACAGCGGAGAGUAUCUUUAGGGUCUUCACGUGCAGUAGACGAUCAUCAGUAAUAAGGUGCUCUCCAGAUGAAAGUGAUCACGAGAUCCUAAUGUUAGAGUUAACAAAAUCAUUUAAACCGAAUAGAAGAGAGAUCAGAGUCCCAGAGUAUAGAUGGGGAAUAAAAGAUCCUAAUACCACCCAAUGGCGACGUGGGCCCGUAAGCCACACAGCCAUGUUAGUAAAAACUUUUUUUAAUGACUAGACUCAACUUCGUCCAAGGAGUUUGGAAGGGGGAUUCCUACAGGCAGUCGGCUCUGAUACCAACUUGUGCCCCCCCGAUUUGACCGUACACUAAUCAUACACGCAAACGUGUACGAUCAAGAUCAGGGACUCACGGGAAGAUAUCACAACACAACUCUACAAAUAAAAAUAAGUCAUACAAGCAUCAUAUUACAAGCCAGGGGCCUCGAGGGUUCGACUACAAGAGCUCGAUCAUAGACGAGUCAGCGGAAACAACAAUAUCCGAGUACAGACAUAAGUUAAACAUGUUUGCCUUAAGAAGGCUAGCACAAACUAGGAUACAUAUUGAAAGAGGCGCAGGCCUCCUGCCUGGGAUCCUCCUAAACUACUCCUGGUCAUCGUCAGCGGGCUGCACGUAGUAGUAGGCACCUCCCGAGUAGUAGUAGUCGUCAUCGACAGUGGCGUAUGGCUCCUGGGCUCCAUCGUCUGGUCGCAACAAUCGGGUAUGGAAAGGGGGAAACGAGGGAGCAAAGCAACCGUGAGUACUCAUCCAAAGUACUCGCAAGCAAGGAGCUACACUACAUAUGUAUGCAUUAGUAUCAAAUGGAAUAAGGGUAUCAUAUGUGGACUGAACUCCAGAAUGCCAAAAUAAGAGGGGGAUAGCUAGUCCUAUCGAAGACUACGCUUCUGGUAACCUCCAUCUUGCAGCAGAAGAAGAGAGUAGAUGGUAAGUUCACCAAGCAACAUGGCAUAGCAUAAUCCUACCCGGCGAUCCUCCCCUCGUCGCCCUAUUAGAGAGCGAUCACCGGGUUGUAUCUGGCACUUGGAAGGGUGUGUUUUAUUAAGUAUCUGGUUCUAGUUGUCAUAAGGUCAAGGUACAACUCCAAGUCGUCUUGUUACCAAAGAUCACGACUAUUCGAAUAGAUAAACUUCCCUGCAGGGGUGCACCACAUUUCCCAACACGCUCGAUCCCCUUUGUCCGGACACACUUUUCUGGGUCAUGCCCGGCCUCGGAAGAUCAACACGUCGCAGCCCUACCUAGGCACAACAGAGAGGUCAGCACGCCGGUCUAAAUCCUAUGGCGCGGGGGUCUGGGCCCAUCGCCCAUUGCACACCUGCACGUUGCGAGGGCGGCCGGAAGCAGAACUAGCCCCUUACUACAAGAGCAGGCUUACAGUCCAAUUCGGCGCGCGUCGCUCAGUCGUUGACGUCAUGAAGGCUUCGGCUGAUACCACGACGUCGAGUGCCCAUAACUGUCCCGCGUAGAUGGUUAGUGCGUAUAGGCCAGUGGCCAGACUCAGAUCAAAUACCAAGAUCUCGUUAAACGUGUUAAGUAUCCGCGAACGCCGACCAGGGCCAGGCCCACCUCUCUCCUAGGUGGUCUCAACCUGCCCUGUCGCUCCGCCACAAAGUAACAGUCGGGGGCCGUCGGGAACCCAGGCCCACCUCUACCGGGAUGGAGCCACCUGCCCCUUCAGCCCCCAACUCCGAAUAGUACCACAGGUAAUGUAACAGUGUAAAGUAUAUAGUAUAUGCCCGUGAUCACCUCCCGAAGUGAUCACGGCCCAGUAGUAUAGCAUGGCAGACAGACAAGAGUGUAGGGCCACUGAUGGAACACUAGCAUCCUAUACUAAGCAUUUAGGAUUGCAGAUAAAGGUAACAACAGUAGUAGCAAGGACAGGCUAUGCAUCAAGAUAGGAUAACGGAAAGCAGUAACAUGCUACACUACUCUAAUGCAAGCAGUAGAGAGAAGAAUAGGUGAUAUCUGGUGAUCAAAGGGGGGGCUUGCCUGGUUGCUCUGGCAAGAGAGAGGGGUCGUCAACACCGUAGUCAUACUGGGUAGCAGCGGCGUCGGUCUCGGUGUCUAGCGACAGAAGAGGGGGAAGAAACAAUAAAUAUUAAGCAAAUAGAUGCAUAGCGAUGCAUGACAUGACAAGUAUCGGUGCUAGGGUUGCCCUAACGCGGUAUGAGGUGAUACCGGUGAAGGGGGGAAACAUCCGGGAAAGUAUCCCCGGUGUUUUGCGUUUUCGGGCAGAGGAUCCGGAGGGGAAAGUUGCGUGUUCGAUAGGUUAGGGAUGCGUGGCGGACGAACGGGCCGCGUAUCCGGGUUCGUCUCAUCGUUCUGAGCAACUUUCAUGUUGAAAAUAUUUUAAUCCGAGUACGGAUUAAAUGAUAUGAUUUUCUAAAGAUGUUAUUAAUUUUCUAGAAUUUAAUUAAUUAUUUAAGUUAAUUCAAAAUUAGAUUUAUGACAUCAGCAUGAUGUCAUGCUGACGUCAGCAGUCAACAGGGGUUGACUGGGUCAAACUGACGCGUGGGUCUAGCGGGACCCACCUGUCAUACUCUGUUAGGUUAAUUACGGUUUAAUUAAUUGAUUAGGUUAAUCUAAUCAUGAUUAAUUAGUUUAAUUAAUUAAUUAAGAAUAAUUAAGUUAAUUAAUUAAUUAGGUUAAUUAAUUAAUUAAUUUUAUUUAUUAUUUUUUUAAUCCCCUUUUUUUAAACGUUCUCUGGGCAGGGACCAUGUGUCAUAGGCCGAGGGGGCGAUGCGGGUUACGGGCGCCACGGGCGCUCGCCCGUAGGGAGCGGCGGGGCGAGGCCAGAGGCCAGGCUGGCCGCGGUGGCUGGCGGCACUGCGGCGGCAGCAGAGGAGGCGAGGCGGCGAGCAGGGCAUGCCGCAGCCGCCGGCGAGUGGAGGCGGGCAGCAGCGGCAGCAAGCUGCAUCAGCAGCAGGCUGCGGACGUGCGCGGCGCACGAGCGCGGGAGGCAGGCGCAGUGCGCAGGGGAGGCGAGAUGGCAGCAGCAGCGCAAUUUAGCGGGCGGAGGCGGGGCGGCCAACAGCAGUGGGCAGAAGGUGGGCGCGACGCGGCAGCAGCGGUGCUAGCAGCGGGUGUAGGCAAGGCGAUGCAGGGGCGGUGAAAGUACAUGUAGUCCCCAUGUGUGGUUUUGGUAAUUAAAUAACAAUACUAUCAUCAAAUGUUUGCAUUGACAUAUACAUUUGGAGUUCAUUGGAGUAUCUUAAGGGUUGCCAUGCUUAGAGCUAUGGUUUGAGCCAUAAUGGAUCAAGAUCUUAAAAGGAUGAUUUGAAUGAUGAAUUCUAGGAGUGACUCAAAGAUAUGAUCAUAAUGGACUCAUGUGUUGAGUCAUGAUUGAUCAAGUGUUCAAGCAAGCUAUUCAAGUGAAGAACUCAAUAUACUCUUCAAGACGUCAAGAUUAAACAUGGAGUAGAGAUAUAGGUUGACCAAGAUGAAGCUCAAAGAUCGAACUCUAAAUGGACAACACACGAGCACAAAUGAUGCACCACAUAGGAUCUUAUGGUAUGAUAAGAAAUUAUCAAUUGCACUCUGUGUACUAACCCAUACUAUGUGUUGUCUAUGUUUUUGAGGGUUAGGUGAUUCUCAUGGGCUCGCAUCAAGAAAGAGAUUUCAAGUGUCUAUGAGAUGAUAACAUCAAGUGUUGGUGAUCAUGGUUGACAAGGGCAAGUUCAAGAUAACCAUCCCAAAGGAUUACAUUCUUGAAGCUUGUGAAUGAUCAAAUGAUGGACAAGUGAAGAUAAAUACAAAGCAAAGCUUCCCACAUUGUGUAUGGGGGAGAGACUUGAAGACUUUACCAAUGUCUUGCCUUCAUAUUGAGCCAAGAAGAGACAUCAACAUCAAGCUCAAGUGAACGACUAGUGUCGAAGGUAUUAGUUCCUUUGAUGUUAGUGUUGUGGAGUGAUGACCACCAAAGAAACAUAUACACUCAAGAAUGGAUUCUCGAUAGCUAUGUAGUGUAGCUCUUUUAUUAUUCUUGAGUUAUAGGGAUCCCGCACUAUUAAGAGGGGAUAAAAGGGAUUUAUGAUGGAUUUGCUCAAUUCAACAUCUUCUAUACACCAUUCCACUCAUAUCCUAUAUAUCAAAGAAAAGCCAAAGCCAAAUAGUUUCCCAAAAUAUAUGAUCUAAACUUUCCAUACUUUGCACCCUCCAUUUUGGUUUAUCUUGGUUGGUUCUCUAUGUUAGGACCUGGAGCUUUUCCAUAGUUUCAAAAUGAGCCCAAGAUCAUCAAAAUCGGAGUUCGGAUGUGAAAGUUAUGCAUGUUUUAGUUUUGGGGUUCCUGCUGUUAUUUUGGCCGGAUGUCCGGUAACGUCCGGAAAUCCGGUGCGCCGAUCCAGAAGCAAACAGAUGGAUUUCCGGUACUUAUCGGAUGUCCGGUGCCCGGAUGUCCGGCAAGUGUCGGAUGUCCGACAAACCUGUUUCGCAAAUAUCCUGCUACAUUCGUCUGAUGGCAUGCUACGGCAAUCGGACGUCCGGUGUUCCACCGAACGUCCGGUGCCUAUUUUGCCACCGGACGUCCGGUAAUCCACUGGACGUCUGACACUUUCCUGAGCAGAAUUCUCCCCAACGACCACAUUUGGGGCCACACUAUAAAUACCCCUUCACUACUUCAUAUGAACCCUAGAACACAAAAGGCUCCUUCUCACUUCUCCUACACCAAAUCUUAGAUCCCGGAGAGAUUCGUGAGAGUUCUUGAGAGAUUUUCCAAUCAAGUGAUAGAUCCACUCCCUCUUCCUCUCUUGACCAAAGGAAUUUGUGAUUUGAGCAAGUCUUGAGCAUUUCCCCUUUGUUCUUGUUACUCUUGGAGGUUGGAGACUCCUAGGCGGUAGGAGUGCUCCGGUGAGGAAUCAACUUGUGAUUUGUCCCCCGGAAAGUUUGUGAAGGUUUGGAGGCCGCCUCAAGGUCUACCACUAGUGGACGAGAAUCGCCUUCGUGGUGAUAUCUCAAGGAGAAUAGGGUGAGCCUUCGUGGCGUUGGUGUGCCUUCGUGGUAACAUCCACCUCUCUAACGGUGACUAGCUUCCCUCCAAGGAAGUGAACAUCGGGAUACAUCCUCGUCUUCGUGACUUUGGUUAUCCCUAACCCUAACUCCUUACUUGUGGUUUACUUUGGUCACUUGACCGUGCAUUCACUGUAUCUUGUUGUCCUCAUUAUAUUGUGUUGGCCAUUCCCUUGAAGAGAUUAUUUAGGCCUACACUUUAUAUUCGCAAUUCAUACUUUCUACUAUUGUUCUAUCUUAUGCUUAGUGUGAAUUGCUAGCUUGUAACAUUCAUUUCCAUAUCUUGUGACAUAACUUGUGUAAGCUUGUAGUUCUUACUUGAGUUUGCUUGUAUCAUUCAAUUCCAUAUAUUGUGAUACAAUUUGUGUAAGCUUGUAUUGCUUACUUGUGGUUGUGUGUAUUAUUCAUUUCCAUAUCUCAUGAUAUACAUUGAGUAAGUUUGUGUGACUUACUUGUGCUUACUCAUAUCCUCGUUGUUCUCAUCUUGUUUAUCCUAAGUUGUUGGUGCACUUAGUGAGCCUAGUAUAUUUAGGAUUUGUGCUUGAAAAGUAUCUGCUUAGUUUAUUUCCGCAUUAGGAUAUAGCCAAAUCCAUAAAAGAUUUUUAAAACGCCUAUUCACCCCCCCUCUAGGCGACAUCGUGGUCCUUUCAAUUGGUAUCAGAGCCCGGUCUCUCCUUAUUAGGCUUCACCACCUAGAGAGUGACGAUGUCGACUAGUGAACUAGUGCACGAUGACACAUUUUGUUUUAAUGGCACAAAUUACAUUAUGUGGAGAUUACACAUGAUUUGUCACUUUCGGGCCAUGGGUCCAAAUGCUUUGUGCAUUGUUGUUGUAGGGGAUUCAAAUCUAAAGGAUGGACAAUCUUCAUCACUUGAGGAUAUGCAUCUUGAUAGUCAAGUUUUGAGUGCCAUUCACCAAGCUAUAUCCUUCGAAGUGUUUAAGGAUAUCUUUACUUGCAAGUCGGCUCAUGAGGCUUGGACCAAACUUGAAGAUAUAUAUGGUGGGUCCAAUCUUGAUGAAGACAAUAUUCUUUUCGGGGAGUUAAUGGAGGAGUUCUCCACAUUUUCAAAUCAUGAAGAACUCUCUAUUGCUUCCACCUCAAAUAAAUUGGACACUUCAAUAUCUUCCACUUCACCAACAUGUGGCGUGCCACAAGGUAAUGACAUGGUGAGUGAAGAAAUAUUUUGUGAUGAUGGUGUUAAGCUCAUUUGUGAUGAUAUGCUUGAUCUCCCAUGUGGCCAUGAUAGAAAUUCUUUGGUUUCCUCUAGUUGUUCUAUGACUAACCAUGUAGAGGAAAUCAAGAAAGAUGAGGCAUGCUUGAUUGAUGAAGAACCCUCUUCUCCAAAAGAAUCAUCAUCAACCCCCUUUGUUCACAUGUGCCUCAUGGCAAGAGGUAAUGACGAGGUAUCAUCUUCUCUUAGUGAUAAUGAUGAUAGUUGUAAUGAGGAUGAUGAUGAUGACUUGACUCAAAAUCUCUUUGAGAUUGGGAAAACUCUUCAUAGAGCUAAAAAUAACACUUAUAAAAUGUUCGAAGAUGUUCUUGCUUGCUUUCAAAAACGUAAUGAUUUAUUUCUUAGCGAGCAAGCGAAAAGUGAACAACUUGAACAUGAACUUGCUAAGGCUCAUCAAUGUCUUAGUGACUUGAGGUCUUUAAAAGAAGAGAUUGAAGUUACUCAUUGUAAACUUAAAGAGGAUUUUGAGCACCUUGACCUUGGCUACAAGAAUGUCAAAGGAGAGCUCACCAAACUCUCUAAGUCUCAUGAGGAACUUCAAGCUACUCAUACGAAGUCUCUAGUUUCUACAUGCUCCUCUCAUAUUGAUAAUGAUGCUUGUGCUACUAACUCGAUCUUGUGUGAAGCACCGAUGUUGAAAGAAAAUGUUGAGCUAAGGACUCAACUUGAUUUGCUAACUAGCAAUUAUGGGAAAUUGGAAGAAAGUUAUGAAAAGCUCUCGGGCACUCAUGAGGAUCUUCUAAUCUCUCAUGAUGGGCUAAAGUUAGCUCAUGAGGCUAUGUUCACAAAGGUAAAAUCGUGUGAGUCUCAUGUGGAUAUUAGCACAUCUUCUACUCAAAAUGCCUUAUUUCCAUGUGCUAGUCCUUGCACUUCCUCUCUACAUGAUAUUGAUACACCUCAUGAUGAAUUGCUUACCUUGUCUUGUUGCUCUAACCAUGAAAUUUCUACUUCCACUAGUCCUCUUGUUUCUAGUCUUGAAACUAACCAUGUAGAGGAAAUUAAUGAGCUCAAGGCCCAAGUCACUAGUUUGAAGAAAGACUUGGAAAACUGUGAUGAUGGACAUAUUUUUCACUCCAACAAGAAGAAAUCCAUGAACAAGAAAAGGGGGCAAGACCAAGCCAAGAACGAGUCCAACAUUUCUUGCUUUAAGUGCAAAAAGGUUGGACAUCAUGUGAGAUCUUGUCCAUUGAAUAAAAGGGCUUAUAAAGGGAAGCUAAAUGGGAAGCGGCCUCAAGCUCAAUCUCAAGUUCAACCUCAAGUUGAAGAACGGCCACUAUCCAUGAUGAACCAUGUUAUUACUUCCCAAGCUAAGAAAGUAAAGAAGAAGAGAAUGAGGAGUACAUGUUGCUAUAUUUGCCGUAAGAAGGGACACAUAGCUUCAUCAUGUCCCAAUGGUAACAUCUCUAAGCCUCCAAUUAUCAAUGAUCAUUAUUCACUUAGGAAGGAUAUUGAUGGUAAUAUGUUUGCCAAGUAUGUUGGUGCCCAAAGUGGUUUGAAAGUGGAUAAGACCAUUUGGGUUGCCAAGCCUAUUGUUACUAACUUCUUAGGACCCAACGUGGUUGGGGACCAUCGAGAUCAAACUUGAUCAAUAGGUGUGUGGAGGGCAUUGGAGACUUGGCUAAUUCAUGAAGAAAAAUUAUUCUCACCAUGCAUUCAUUAUGAUACAAAGCAAGUCAAGUGAAUUAUCGUCAUAUUUGUCAUUCCAAUGCUCCUCUUGGCGGUAACUUGUAUUUAUAUUGUCUACAUUGAAAGUUACUAGCCCCAUGCAUGUUUAGGUUUUGUACCUAGUAUGUAUUUGUGUAACGCCCCAGAUAUACUUUCCAUAUUUGUAUCCAACUCUUGCCGUUUCCGGUGUCAAGUUAUAUUUAUUCUCGGGUUCGGGUCCUUGUCUCCGUGUGUUGUUUUCGUUUUUCAUGCAUCUCAUACCAUGUCAUCACGUGCAUUGCAUUUGCAUACAUGUUCAUCUCAUGCAUUCGAGCAUUUUCCCCGUUGUCCGUUUUGCAUUCCGGCGCUUCGUUCUCCUCCGGUGGUCAUUUCUAGAUUUCUUUCGUGUGUGGGGUUUAAACAUUUCCGUAUUGGACCGAGACUUGCCAAGCGACCUUGGUUUACUACCGGUAGACCGCCUGUCAAGUUUCGGGUCAUUUGGACUUCGUUUGAUACUCCAACGGUUAACCGAGGGACCGAAAAGGCCUCGUGUGUGUUGCAACCCAACACCCCCCAAAUUUGGCCCAAAACCCACCAAACUCUGCUCCAUGUCCUAGAGCGUUCGAUCACGAUCGUGUGGGCGAAAACCGCACCUCAUUUGGACUCUCCUAGCUCCCUCUAUGCCUAUAUAUACACCCCUCCGUUUUCGGAUCUCUCCCUCUCCCCGAAACCCUAAAAAAAACAGAUCCAUCUUCCCCGCGCCGGGCCGGACGUGUCCGCCCGUGCCGGACGUUGUCCGCCCCGCCGCCGCACCCACUCACGCGCCGCCACGUGGGCCGCGCCCACAUCGCCGCCGCUGGGCCCGCCAGGCCCACGGGGAGCCCCCGCGAGCCCGCGCCCCCGCGCCUCCUCCUUCCCCGAGCGCCGCCGCCUUCCGCGCCUCCGGCGACCGGCGCCGNNNNNNNNNNAAAACAGAUCCUCUUCCCCCGCGCCGGGCCGGACGUGUCCGCCCGCGCCGGACGUUGUCCGCCCCGCCGCCGCACCCACUCGCGCGCCGCCACGUGGGCCGCGCCCACAUCGCCGCCGCCGGGCCCGCCAGGCCCACGGGGAGCCCCCGCGAGCCCGCGCCCCCGCGCCUCCUCCUUCCCCGAGCGCCGCCGCCUUCCGCGCCUCCGGCGACCGGCGCCGCCGCGGGACGCCGUCGCCACCACCGCACCGGCCGCCGCCGCGCCGGGCCCCGCCGCCCGCCACCGGCCGGCGCCGCCCCGGACGCCGCCGCCCGCGGUCGCCGCCUCCUCCUCCGGCGCCGCCCGGCCUCCUCUCCCUCACCCCGGCCUCCUCUUCCCCCACUCCGGCCGGCACCGACGAGCUCCGGCGCUGGUCAUCCUCGGGAAACGCGCCGGUGAACAGUACCCGCGAGAUCCCGAUCUGGAUCUGAGUUUUCGGUUGACUUCUCUCCCCCGAAACCCUAAUUUUCGUGCUAUCUUUGACUGCUUGUAUCUCCGCAACCGUAGCUCCGUUUUGGGCGUAUGAUAUAUCAAAAUCUUCGUCUCGACAUGUACAUCAUUUCAUUCCAUUGCAUCAUUUGCAUUUGAGGUCAUUUUGAUACCCAAAAUGCUGUUAGAAGGAGGCUUCGUGAGUUAAACUGCAGAUCCGUUAGUUCAUUAUGCACUUUUGUCAUUUUUGCUAUAUUUAAUUCGUGCAUGAUAUGCCUGUGCCCCUUUGGGAUGUAUUGUGAAGCAUCUUGUCUUCUUUCCAGAGGUGCCACCCAUGCAUUUUUAGGAUGUGUGUGUUGUCUUGUGCAAGCUUGCGAAGAGAGGUACCUGAGAUUGCAGAUUUCAGGGACUUAGUGAUUUUCACUAAGUCUGGGAUAUUUUAGUUCAUGAUGCUAUAUGUCCAGCUUGUUUCCUAGUGAUCCGUGCCUCUUUUGAGGAUGAUCAGUAAGGGAGUUUUGAUAUUUAUGUCAUUCUCUAUCCAUCCAUGUCUUUGUUGGCAUUUGUGGAGUGCUCUAGGUUGACUCAAUCGAGCUUAACUUUUGCUUCGUUGUUAAUCUGGGCAGAUCGUCAACUUGUUUGCGAUUUCGCCGAUGCUACCGUUAGAGUUCCAUGCAUGCUAUGCCUUCGUUCUUGCCAUGUGUAGCUAGCACUUUGUGCCUUCUUGCUGGUUAUAUGCUUUCCUUGCCAUGACUUGCACCGUAGUGAGUGCAUCGAGCUCGUUUACAUGCCUUCGUGAGUUAAAUUUCAGCAUGUCUCAGUUUUCACUAAGUCUGAAAACUGAUUGUGUUCGAGCGAUGUUCGUGAGCUCGGUAGAGUAUUUUGUGAACCCUUUUGGCCCCAGGUCACUUUGGGUGUUUUUUAAGCUUGUUGAGUAGCUCCAUGCCAUGUUCUUACUUGUCAUGUUCAGGUUUUCUAUCAUGUUGUUUUGCUGCUCCGAAGAGAGCAUCGUGAUCUGAAAUUUCAGACUAGUGUUAAUUUCACUAAGUCUGAAAUCUGUUGUGCAUUUGCGUUUUAGCCAUGCUUGUUUGAACCUCUUAAUGGAUGAAAUUGCCUAUGGCUCAGUGCUAGUGUUUUGUCAACCAUCUUGUGUACAUCACUGCCAUGUAUUUUGUUUUCAUGUUUGGUGGCUGUAGCAUGUUCAUUUCGUUGCAUUUAGAUGCCUACUUGCUGUAAAUCGCAGACCGGUGUCAUAUCUUAAAACGCUCGCCUUUUCCAAACCGUAGCUCCGAUUCCUAUGAUCUUUAUAUCGUUUUCAAGCGAUUUCAUCCCCUCUAUCCAGUGGCACACUUGGUUUCCCAAGUUGAUGCCAGGUUCAUGCAUUUCCUGUCAUAUCUUGCAUUUUGCAUCCCGCAUCGCAUCCCGCAUAGCAUAUCGUCAUUUCAUCAUAUUGCUUGGUCUUGCCCGUGGUUGAUUGUAUCCUUGUUGCUUGUUUCUCUUGUUGGGUAGAGCCGGGAGACGAGUUCGCUACCGAGGAGACCGUUGAGUUUGCUUGUGAGGAUCCAGUCAACUCUGACAACUGUGCAGGCAAGAUGAUCAUACCCUCGAAAUCACUACUAUCUUUGCUAUGCUAGUUUGCUCGCUCUUUUGCUUUGCCACUGCUACGAUGCCUACCUUUUGCUUGUCAGCCUCCCAAUUGCCAUGUUGAACCUCUAACCCACCUUUGUCCUAGCAAACCGUUGAUUGGCUAUGUUACCGCUUUGCUCAGCCCUUCUUAUAGCGUUGUUAGUUGCAGGUGAAGAUUGGAGCCGUUCCUCGUUGGAACAUUUAUUUACUUGUUGGGAUAUCAUUAUUAUUGCUAUGUUAUCUCCCCCUUUUAUUAGAUAUUACAUGGGAUGUUGUAAUGAUUGCCUGACUUGCGACAUUGCUUUCAAUGCGGUUAUGCCUCUAAGUCGUGCCUCGACACGUGGGAGCUAUAGCCGCAUCGAGGGCGUUACAAGUUGGUAAUCAGAGCCAUCCCCGACCUUAGGAGCCCCAUUGCUUGAUCGUUUUUAGCAGCCGAGUUGUGUCUAGAAAAAUGUUUUGAGUCCUUAGGAAUUAUAUAUCGGAGAGCUUAGGAAUUCUUUUUACUUCUCAGCCUCCUCAUCGCUCUGGUAAGGCAUCCUGACGUAGAGUUUUGACUCUUCUCUUCUCAAAUUUCACUUAAAAUUUUGUUUAGGAUCACGCGAGUAUCUUGGUUUUGUUCCGAUGGUUUUGUGACGAGAACAUUGUUCUUGGUGCCUCCUAUCUUUAGGGGUUGUGGCAGUGUCCCGGGGAGUUGAGCUCCGAGGUGUUGUCGUCACAAUUUUAUCGUUGCAAUUCUGGUAUACUUGAGAUAUGUUCGCCGACAUCGAAAAUCUCUUUUAUGCAGUUCGUUGGUGAGAUAACCUCGACGCCACCCAGUACUGGGGCGGGAGUUCGGGAGUAUCGCCAUAACUUGUAUAACGGAUGCUUUUCGAAGGUUGAGGUAGAUGGUUUCCGAAGUUUUCCUGGUUAUGUGUUGAAGGAUGGAUACAGCUGGAUGUAGGAUUUGCUAGUUUGGGUGAGAUAUUGUGCUUCCCCUGUAUCCCCAACACCUGAUUGCAUAACCGGAAAGGUUCGGGAGUUUCAUAGGUGGGAAAUCUAGUAGCUCUAGUUCUUCUUCCACGGAUAUUGGUUUGAGAUUGGGAUUUCUUACCGAUUAUUCGUUCUUGAUCCGUACCUUGUUGAUUUAUUUCUCUACCUUAAUUCUUCGUGGCUUCGCAAUUUAUGGAUAUGUGAUCAUUUGAAGAGGAAUGCAUUCGUUCAUUUUGUUUGGAUGUGAAGACUAUAUGUUGCAAUUUUUCAUUCCGUUGGAUUCAGCUUCUAUAUUGUUGUCUAUCAAUGUGCUAAUGGUGGUCAACCUCUUCAGGAUGGCUCCUCCAACGCGCACGACUCCGAAUCCUAAUCCGCCUCCACCUCCGCCUCCUCCGGAAGCAUGGCAAGCUGUGAUGGCCGCUACUAAUGCAAACACACAGUUGAUCAUGCAAAUCCUUCAAGAGCGCAAUCAAGGCAGUCAAGGGAAUCAAGGCCAUAAUCAGCACCACUUUGCUACUCUGAACCAGUUCCUUGCUAAUGGCCCAAAGACGUUCAGCGGUUGUGUUGAGGCUACCGAUGCUGACGAUUGGCUAGUGGAUCUGGGCAAGCAUUUUGAAUGUAGCAACGUCAGGCCUGAAGAUUUCGUCAAGUUCGCUUCUUUCCAGCUCAAAGAUCAGGCUGCAGAGUGGUUCCAGCAGUACAAGGAUUCUAGAGGUGGACGUGUUAUCACUUGGAACGAUUUCCGUCAAGAUUUCCGCGCUCAUCACAUCCCUCAAAGUGUGGUUGAGAGUAAGCGUCAGGAAUUCCGCAAUCUGAAGCAAGGCUCUUUGUCUGUCUAUGACUACAACAAGUUGUUCCAGAAGCUCGCCCGUUUUGCCAAGCAGGAUGUUCCUGACGAGAAGAGCAUGAUCUAUCAGUUCAGGGGUGGUCUUCGUGAGGAAAUUCAGCUCGCUCUUGUUCUCUUUGAGCCGUUGAGAUACGAUGAGUUCUACAACAUGGCACUGAAGCAAGAGGCUGCCCAGAUGAGAUGUGAUGCUUCCAGGAAGCGUGCCAGAGAUGUUACUCCGUCUUCCUCUACUCAAGUGGUCAAGCAGCAGAAGUAUUGGCUUCCUCCUCCUCCGUUCCGUCAGCCGUAUCAGCAGAAGAGCAAAGGUGGCAGUGGUUUCUCCCACCCACCCAACCUAGGCUUUCAGAACAAGGCUUCGUCUCAAGCUCCAAGACCGAGUGCUCCGUAUCACCGUCCGCUUUCAGAGGUGACGUGCAACAAGUGCCAACAGAAGGGUCACUAUGCCAACAAGUGUACCAACCAGAGGCGUCUUCCUCCUCCUCCUCCUGUCAGAUCGGCAAGUACAGCUGUGGUCAAGCAUAACCCCAAGUCCGCCAAGGUCAAUAUGCUGAAUGCAGCUCAGGCAGAGGACUCGUCAGAUGUGAUCAUGGGUAACCUUCCUGUUAAUGAUAUUCCUGCAAAUGUUCUUUUUGACACGGGUGCAUCGCAUUGUUUCAUCUCGAGACCAUUUUCAUCUAAGCAUGGGUUGCCUUCACAAAUUUUGCCUAGUCCUUUAGCAGUUGUCUCUCCCGGUAAGCGCAUGCAGGCUAACUCCAUCGUUCCAGAUGUUUCUAUCACUCUGGGUGAUUACAAGUUCUUGGCUUCUCCUACGGUUCUUGGCAACUCGGAUAUCGAUCUUAUUCUCGGGAUGGACUGGCUCUCUAAGCAUAGAGCUCAGCUUGAUUGUGCAGCCAGGCAGAUUCAACUGACUCAUUCGUCUGAGGAUGUUAUUGUCUUUGCCGCUCGGGAUAAUACCAUCCGGUUGUUUUCUCUCAAUGAGAAGGGUGAAUUGGAUGCUAUUUCGCAGAUUCCGGUUGUUUGUGAGUAUCAAGACGUCUUUCCAGAAGAGCUUCCAGGGAUGCCUCCAAACCGGCCGGUUGAAUUUGUUAUUGAACUUGAGCCCGGUACGGAACCUGUGUGCAAACGUCCUUACAAGCUCGGCCCCGAAGAGUUGAAGGAGUUGAAGAAACAACUCGAUGAGCAAGAAAGAUUGGGUCUCAUUCGGCCUAGUACUUCUCCGUGGGGUUGUGGUGUUCUUUUUGUGAAGAAGAAGGAUGGAUCGAGUCGACUUUGUGUUGAUUACCGUCCAGUAAACAAGAAGACCAUCAAGAACAAAUACCCACUUCCCAACAUCAAUGAGCUGUUCGAACAACUCAAGGGUGCUCAAGUAUUCUCCAAGCUUGAUCUCCGUAUGGGUUAUCAUCAGAUUCGUAUUCGUGAGCAAGAUAUUCCCAAGACGGCGUUCAGAACAAGCUUUGGUUCAUAUGAAUACACCGUCAUGUCUUUUGGCCUCGCCAACGCUCCUCCGACGUUCUCUCGUAUGAUGAACUUCAUCUUCAACCCCUACACCAAUGAAUUCGUUUUGGUCUAUCUCGACGACAUUCUGGUUUUCUCGAAGAACAAGGAAGAUCAUGCCAAGCACUUGCGUUUGGUUCUUGACAAGCUCAGAGAACAUCAGUUCUAUGCCAAGUUCUCCAAGUGUGAAUUUUGGCUCGAUGAGGUUCUUUAUCUUGGUCAUAUCAUCUCCGCCAAGGGCAUUUCCGUGAAUCCUGAGAAGGUGUCUGCAAUUGUGAAUUGGGAACCUCCUCAGAAUGUAAAGCAACUCCGCAGUUUCCUCGGUCUCGCAAGCUAUUGCAGAAGAUUCGUUGAAAACUUUUCUAAGAUCGCCAAGCCUCUCUCAAAUCUUCUUCAGAAGCACGUCAAGUACGUUUGGUCUCCGGAGUGUGAUAUUGCUUUCAACUCUUUGAAAGAGAAAUUGAUCACUGCUCCAGUUCUGACUCCGCCUGAUGAAACCAAGCCGUACGAGCUCUUUUGUGAUGCCUCUCUCCAAGGUCUCGGUGCUGUACUGAUGCAAGAGAAGAAAGUUGUUGCUUAUACCUCUCGCCAGUUGAAACCUAAUGAGAAGAACUACCCCACUCAUGAUCUCGAGUUGGCGGCAGUUGUACACGCUUUGUUGACUUGGAGACAUCUUCUAUUGGGAAGGAAAGUGGAUAUUUUCACUGAUCACAAGAGUCUCAAGUACAUCUUCACUCAGCCUAAUCUCAACCUCAGGCAGACUCGAUGGGUCGAAAUGAUUCAAGAGUACAAUCCGAGUAUCGAGUAUACUCCAGGCAAGGCUAAUGUGAUUGCUGACGCUUUGAGCAGAAAAGCAUAUUGCAACAGUCUGAUUCUCAAGCCUUAUCAACCCGAGCUUUGUGAAGCUUUCCGCAAACUUAAUCUGCAAGUUGUUCCUCAAGGUUUCCUCUCUAACCUUCAAGUCUCUCCUACCUUAGAAGACCAGAUUCGCCAAGCCCAACUUCUUGAUGCUAUGGUGAAGAAGGUGAAGAUUGGUAUUGCAAAGAGUCAGUCCAAGUACAAGUGCUACCGACUUGACGACAAGGACACUCUCUUCUUCGAGGAUCGAAUUGUUGUGCUCAAAGGUGAACUUCGUAAGGUGAUCAUGAACGAGGCUCACAACCCUCUCCUCUCCAUCCAUCCUGGUAGUACGAAGAUGUAUCAGGACCUCAAGCAAGCUUAUUGGUGGACUCGAAUGAAGCGCGAGAUCGCUCAAUUCGUGAAUGAAUGUGAUGUCUGCAGAAGAGUGAAGGCAGAACACCAAAGGCCAGCUGGUCUCCUCCAACCUCUUGCCAUUCCAGAAUGGAAGUUUGACCACAUUGAGAUGGACUUCGUGACUGGGUUUCCAAAGUCCAAGCGUGGCAAUGAUGCUAUAUUUGUUGUCAUCGACAAGCUCACCAAAGUGGCUCAUUUUCUGCCUAUCAAAGAGUCGAUCACUGCAGCUCAAUUGGCGGAACUCUAUUCCUCUCGCAUUGUCUCUCUGCACGGUAUUCCUCAAGUGAUAUCUUCAGACCGUGGCAGCAUCUUUACCUCCAAGUUUUGGGAUUCUUUUCAGAAGGCCAUGGGCACCAACAUCCGCUUCAGCACAGCUUUCCAUCCUCAAACNNNNNNNNNNNNNNNNNNNNNNNNNNNNNNNNNNNNNNNNNNNNNNNNNNNNNNNNNNNNNNNNNNNNNNNNNNNNNNNNNNNNNNNNNNNNNNNNNNNNNNNNNNNNNNNNNNNNNNNNNNNNNNNNNNNNNNNNNNNNNNNNNNNNNNNNNNNNNNNNNNNNNNNNNNNNNNNNNNNNNNNNNNNNNNNNNNNNNNNNNNNNNNNNNNNNNNNNNNNNNNNNNNNNNNNNNNNNNNNNNNNNNNNNNNNNNNNNNNNNNNNNNNNNNNNNNNNNNNNNNNNNNNNNNNNNNNNNNNNNNNNNNNNNNNNNNNNNNNNNNNNNNNNNNNNNNNNNNNNNNNNNNNNNNNNNNNNNNNNNNNNNNNNNNNNNNNNNNNNNNNNNNNNNNNNNNNNNNNNNNNNNNNNNNNNNNNNNNNNNNNNNNNNNNNNNNNNNNNNNNNNNNNNNNNNNNNNNNNNNNNNNNNNNNNNNNNNNNNNNNNNNNNNNNNNNNNNNNNNNNNNNNNNNNNNNNNNNNNNNNNNNNNNNNNNNNNNNNNNNNNNNNNNNNNNNNNNNNNNNNNNNNNNNNNNNNNNNNNNNNNNNNNNNNNNNNNNNNNNNNNNNNNNNNNNNNNNNNNNNNNNNNNNNNNNNNNNNNNNNNNNNNNNNNNNNNNNNNNNNNNNNNNNNNNNNNNNNNNNNNNNNNNNNNNNNNNNNNNNNNNNNNNNNNNNNNNNNNNNNNNNNNNNNNNNNNNNNNNNNNNNNNNNNNNNNNNNNNNNNNNNNNNNNNNNNNNNNNNNNNNNNNNNNNNNNNNNNNNNNNNNNNNNNNNNNNNNNNNNNNNNNNNNNNNNNNNNNNNNNNNNNNNNNNNNNNNNNNNNNNNNNNNNNNNNNNNNNNNNNNNNNNNNNNNNNNNNNNNNNNNNNNNNNNNNNNNNNNNNNNNNNNNNNNNNNNNNNNNNNNNNNNNNNNNNNNNNNNNNNNNNNNNNNNNNNNNNNNNNNNNNNNNNNNNNNNNNNNNNNNNNNNNNNNNNNNNNNNNNNNNNNNNNNNNNNNNNNNNNNNNNNNNNNNNNNNNNNNNNNNNNNNNNNNNNNNNNNNNNNNNNNNNNNNNNNNNNNNNNNNNNNNNNNNNNNNNNNNNNNNNNNNNNNNNNNNNNNNNNNNNNNNNNNNNNNNNNNNNNNNNNNNNNNNNNNNNNNNNNNNNNNNNNNNNNNNNNNNNNNNNNNNNNNNNNNNNNNNNNNNNNNNNNNNNNNNNNNNNNNNNNNNNNNNNNNNNNNNNNNNNNNNNNNNNNNNNNNNNNNNNNNNNNNNNNNNNNNNNNNNNNNNNNNNNNNNNNNNNNNNNNNNNNNNNNNNNNNNNNNNNNNNNNNNNNNNNNNNNNNNNNNNNNNNNNNNNNNNNNNNNNNNNNNNNNNNNNNNNNNNNNNNNNNNNNNNNNNNNNNNNNNNNNNNNNNNNNNNNNNNNNNNNNNNNNNNNNNNNNNNNNNNNNNNNNNNNNNNNNNNNNNNNNNNNNNNNNNNNNNNNNNNNNNNNNNNNNNNNNNNNNNNNNNNNNNNNNNNNNNNNNNNNNNNNNNNNNNNNNNNNNNNNNNNNNNNNNNNNNNNNNNNNNNNNNNNNNNNNNNNNNNNNNNNNNNNNNNNNNNNNNNNNNNNNNNNNNNNNNNNNNNNNNNNNNNNNNNNNNNNNNNNNNNNNNNNNNNNNNNNNNNNNNNNNNNNNNNNNNNNNNNNNNNNNNNNNNNNNNNNNNNNNNNNNNNNNNNNNNNNNNNNNNNNNNNNNNNNNNNNNNNNNNNNNNNNNNNNNNNNNNNNNNNNNNNNNNNNNNNNNNNNNNNNNNNNNNNNNNNNNNNNNNNNNNNNNNNNNNNNNNNNNNNNNNNNNNNNNNNNNNNNNNNNNNNNNNNNNNNNNNNNNNNNNNNNNNNNNNNNNNNNNNNNNNNNNNNNNNNNNNNNNNNNNNNNNNNNNNNNNNNNNNNNNNNNNNNNNNNNNNNNNNNNNNNNNNNNNNNNNNNNNNNNNNNNNNNNNNNNNNNNNNNNNNNNNNNNNNNNNNNNNNNNNNNNNNNNNNNNNNNNNNNNNNNNNNNNNNNNNNNNNNNNNNNNNNNNNNNNNNNNNNNNNNNNNNNNNNNNNNNNNNNNNNNNNNNNNNNNNNNNNNNNNNNNNNNNNNNNNNNNNNNNNNNNNNNNNNNNNNNNNNNNNNNNNNNNNNNNNNNNNNNNNNNNNNNNNNNNNNNNNNNNNNNNNNNNNNNNNNNNNNNNNNNNNNNNNNNNNNNNNNNNNNNNNNNNNNNNNNNNNNNNNNNNNNNNNNNNNNNNNNNNNNNNNNNNNNNNNNNNNNNNNNNNNNNNNNNNNNNNNNNNNNNNNNNNNNNNNNNNNNNNNNNNNNNNNNNNNNNNNNNNNNNNNNNNNNNNNNNNNNNNNNNNNNNNNNNNNNNNNNNNNNNNNNNNNNNNNNNNNNNNNNNNNNNNNNNNNNNNNNNNNNNNNNNNNNNNNNNNNNNNNNNNNNNNNNNNNNNNNNNNNNNNNNNNNNNNNNNNNNNNNNNNNNNNNNNNNNNNNNNNNNNNNNNNNNNNNNNNNNNNNNNNNNNNNNNNNNNNNNNNNNNNNNNNNNNNNNNNNNNNNNNNNNNNNNNNNNNNNNNNNNNNNNNNNNNNNNNNNNNNNNNNNNNNNNNNNNNNNNNNNNNNNNNNNNNNNNNNNNNNNNNNNNNNNNNNNNNNNNNNNNNNNNNNNNNNNNNNNNNNNNNNNNNNNNNNNNNNNNNNNNNNNNNNNNNNNNNNNNNNNNNNNNNNNNNNNNNNNNNNNNNNNNNNNNNNNNNNNNNNNNNNNNNNNCCGUAGUGAGUGCAUCGAGCUCGUUUACAUGCCUUCGUGAGUUAAAUUUCAGCAUGUCUCAGUUUUCACUAAGUCUGAAAACUGAUUGUGUUCGAGCGAUGUUCGUGAGCUCGGUAGAGUAUUUUGUGAACCCUUUUGGCCCCAGGUCACUUUGGGUGUUUUUUAAGCUUGUUGAGUAGCUCCAUGCCAUGUUCUUACUUGUCAUGUUCAGGUUUUCUAUCAUGUUGUUUUGCUGCUCCGAAGAGAGCAUCGUGAUCUGAAAUUUCAGACUAGUGUUAAUUUCACUAAGUCUGAAAUCUGUUGUGCAUUUGCGUUUUAGCCAUGCUUGUUUGAACCUCUUAAUGGAUGAAAUUGCCUAUGGCUCAGUGCUAGUGUUUUGUCAACCAUCUUGUGUACAUCACUGCCAUGUAUUUUGUUUUCAUGUUUGGUGGCUGUAGCAUGUUCAUUUCGUUGCAUUUAGAUGCCUACUUGCUGUAAAUCGCAGACCGGUGUCAUAUCUUAAAACGCUCGCCUUUUCCAAACCGUAGCUCCGAUUCCUAUGAUCUUUAUAUCGUUUUCAAGCGAUUUCAUCCCCUCUAUCCAGUGGCACACUUGGUUUCCCAAGUUGAUGCCAGGUUCAUGCAUUUCCUGUCAUAUCUUGCAUUUUGCAUCCCGCAUCGCAUCCCGCAUAGCAUAUCGUCAUUUCAUCAUAUUGCUUGGUCUUGCCCGUGGUUGAUUGUAUCCUUGUUGCUUGUUUCUCUUGUUGGGUAGAGCCGGGAGACGAGUUCGCUACCGAGGAGACCGUUGAGUUUGCUUGUGAGGAUCCAGUCAACUCUGACAACUGUGCAGGCAAGAUGAUCAUACCCUCGAAAUCACUACUAUCUUUGCUAUGCUAGUUUGCUCGCUCUUUUGCUUUGCCACUGCUACGAUGCCUACCUUUUGCUUGUCAGCCUCCCAAUUGCCAUGUUGAACCUCUAACCCACCUUUGUCCUAGCAAACCGUUGAUUGGCUAUGUUACCGCUUUGCUCAGCCCUUCUUAUAGCGUUGUUAGUUGCAGGUGAAGAUUGGAGCCGUUCCUCGUUGGAACAUUUAUUUACUUGUUGGGAUAUCAUUAUUAUUGCUAUGUUAUCUCCCCCUUUUAUUAGAUAUUACAUGGGAUGUUGUAAUGAUUGCCUGACUUGCGACAUUGCUUUCAAUGCGGUUAUGCCUCUAAGUCGUGCCUCGACACGUGGGAGCUAUAGCCGCAUCGAGGGCAUUACAAUUUGUUAAUGUUAUGCCUCUUAGUAUGCUUGAUUUGUGUUAUCUAGCAUGUGUAGGUUGUUAUGAUUGUCAUAUAGUUGUGUGUGUGGUUUCGAGCCUUUAUUGCUUCAUUAGUUGAAUCUUCCUUGGCUCUUUUGAGAUAUUAAUGGAUCACCACAUUAUGGGGGAGUGCUAUGCUUACGCAUAUCACAAACCUUUAAUGUGUAUAUAUGUGGGAUACCACCUAGUAUUGUUAGUGCAAUAUUAUCUAGUUACUAUGUGGUGUGUAAAGCUCAUUUGAAACUCAAAUUCUCAUCCAUUGAUUAUACUUAGUUGGGUUUCAUUUGCCUCUUAUGGAUAAUACAUGGAUCAUCAUAUUAUGGGGGAGUGAUAUGCUUUGUGCAUAUCACAAUCCUUGUUAAUAUGAACAAUUGAGGGAUGCCACUUAGAAUUUAUAUUUGAGAUUAUCUUAUAUCACCGUGGCUUGCAAUGCCUUGUUUACGCAUGGCAUUCUUGUGUGGUUUUGCCCUUGGUUAUCUUAAAAAAACAUAUUUGGGAAAUCGUUUGAUUAAAGCUAUUCCAGUUAUUGCUUUGCAUGUUGAUCUAUCUAAUUGGUAUGUUAAUAAUAUGCUAUCCAAGCAUUGUGUUUAUUUCUAAUCUCUCAUGUCAUGCUUGUGUUAGUAUAGAUGAUCAUGUACUUAUGUGGUUUCUACGCCAAAUAAUAACUCGAAAGACCAUUUUGUUCGAGUUCAUCUUAUUAGUUUGUAUGGAGUUAUGGGAGUUUGUUAUCUCAUUGUCUAUAGUAUCCUAUAUCUACUUGAGUGAGAUAUUCCUAUGAGUAUGUGUGCAAUGCAUAUCUUAUAUGCUCAUUGGUUUUCCUUUGUUCAUAUAUUGAACUUUGUGUGCUAUCAUAUGUUGAUUUGUCACUUUGAUUUAUUUUGGACAACAUGAAUGACCAGUGAUGUUAUUGGAAGUAUUAAUGGUUAUGUGUUCAUUUGUCCAUUUUGUAUCUCCCUGGAUUUUGGUAGGCAUGUGCAUAUGCAUAGUUACUAUGUGUAAAUUUGCAUGCCUUGUUUGCUUUAUUUGAUCCCAUAUAUAUAUAUAUAUAUAUAUAUAUAUAUAUAUAUGGUAAAUCCAUCAAAUUAUUAAUAGCUAAGAUGUGCAUGAAAUUCAAAUUCAUAUCGAUAUGCACAUACUUAAGUGGUUUUACCCUAUGUGUUGUAGUCAUGCUAACUACUUCGGACCCAAUAAGUUUGGGGACCAUAUUGUACUUAAAAUGUUUUAGGUACAUUUGAGAAGCACUAGGUGCUUGGCUUAUUCAUGAAGGUUGUGGCACUAUGAGGAAAUUAGAGCCAAGCUUGGACAUUUUAUUGAUCUACGACUUCAUACCAAUGCUAUCUCGGUAACAAGUAUUUACUUCAUGCAUAUAUAUAGAAAUGGGGUCAACCUUGUGUAGGUUGCAUCAUGGCAUGAAUUUCUUGACUCGUUCAUGUGAUACUUGUUUCCUUUCUCAAAGCAUCCCAAUAAUGAUCUCUUGUUGCUAGUUGUGAUGUCUUUGAUGGUUGUGUGUUUGGAGUUCAUUAAUAUACAGUAAGAUAAUAUUAAGCCAUGUGCUAUGCUUUCAAGCAAAGAUCUCAUUGGUAUAUUUUAUGACUCCCGGUUGGAUAUCUUAUUCUUUCCUUUUGUAACUAUUUCAUGUGUACAUGCUUCUUUGUGGAUAUAUAUCACCAUGAUUGCCAUCUACCUAGAAUCUUAUACACGUGAGAGAAGUUACAUCUCUAGUUGAUAUCCCUAUUCUUUCAUGUCCACCGUUUCAUUCUCUUUUUUAUAUCUUUGGUGGCUCCGUGGAAGCAUUCAUUGUAUGAGUGUGUGUCUUACCUCUUUCAAUCUUAGUGCACUCAUUUUUGGUGAAGUUUGUUGUCCCCGUGCUUGUCUUGGCAAGCCUAUUAUUUCCUAUCUUCACCAUGGGUUGUCACAAGCUUUAUUUUUAAAAAAUUUCCUAUUAGUGAGGUUGUGAACCCAUUUGCUUGAUGUGUGUGUGACCUGCUUAACUUCGUGCGUGUGGGAAGGACAUGCCUGGCACCUUGUAUCUCAUUGACUCAAGACUAUGUUUAUGCCUAAUUCUCAUCCUUAUAUUAGUCUUCUCAAGUGCUUUGACGUGACUCACACACAUCAUUUUGGUUGUGCCUAUUAUUAGGUUGCCUCAUUUACAUGUUGCUCAACCAUAUGUUUGCUUGCAAUUGUUUUGUGUUCCUAUUGAUUUUGGCGGAGUGAUGAUCCUAUUUUGUGCACUUGUAUCCAAAUAAAAAAAAUCUAAAUAGUGCACAAAUCAUGGGGAGCUUCUCUAUUUUCCUUAGAACACUCCUUUGCUCAAAUCAUAAUAUUCUUUUAUCCUUCUAGCUCGUCGGAUCUUUUGAUUGCUUGCAUCACAUUGUGUUAUGCAAAUGAGAUCAAUUUGUGCCAUGUACUUUGUGCCAUGUGCCUUGCUCUUAUGCCAGGCUCAAAGUUGUAUAAUAGUGGAUUCACUUGUGGAUAUCAUGUUCUUAUCAAUUACAACCUUUUUUGUGUAUAUGGGUUUCUUUGUGGAUACAUAUCAUGAUUAUUAUUGGCCACUUAGAAAAUUUUAUACAUAAGAAAGUUCAUAUCUUUCCUUGAUAUCAUUUAGUCCUUGUUGGCCACUUUGUGUGUUCCUUUUAUUCGUAUAGUGGCUUCGGUAAGAGGUUGUGUCGUGAGUGCUUGUAUGCAUUGCAUAUAUCCUUGCGCACUCAAGUGUUUUGGAUGUAUUUUGGACCCAUACUUGACAUGAUGAUCACAUUGGAUAUUCCUAUUUUAUCUUAUCCAAAAUAUGUUCUUUGGAUCUUUUGAAUGUUUUCCUCCCAUGUUUAAUCUUAUUUUCAUAUCAUACUAUCUUGUUGCAUUCUAUAUACUAUAUAUGGGUUGAGCUCAUCAAAUUUUUCAUCAUUGAAUACGUGCAUUUGAUUUCACUCACAUUUUCGCGAUAUGCACACAUUAAGGAGGAACUCAUACUAUAUUAGUCUUCUAGAUUUUUUCAUCCAUUUUGGCAUUUGUUGCCAAUGGGGGAGAAGUUUAGAGGGUUCAAGAUAAGUAUUUUUGUAGUGUUUGUUGUCACUCAUGCAUAUCUACCCCUGUUAUAUAUUCUUGUUGCAUGGAUGAUUAUUGUAUAUAGGGAAAUCUUCUCCUAGUUUAUGUCAACCAAUAUAUGCAAUGACAUUCAAAGUUCAUUCACACAUGCAUAUAUUGUGGGGGAGUUUGCUCUAUAUACUAUGGAUGUACUAUCAUCAAAUGCUUGUGUAGUGUCUUGAUGAUAGUACAACCAUCCCAAGUAUACAAUUUACCCUCGGAUAAAUUGCAUGCUUAUUUAAAAAUUGCAUAUAUAAACCCUCUUGUUGAUAUUGUCAUCAAUUACCAAAAUGGGGGAGAUUGAAAGUACAUGUAGUCCCCAUGUGUGGUUUUGGUAAUUAAAUAACAAUACUAUCAUCAAAUGUUUGCAUUGAGAUAUACAUUUGGAAUUCAUUGGAGUAUCUUAAGGGUUGCCAUGCUUAGAGCUAUGGUUUGAGCCAUAAUGGAUCAAGAUCUUAAAAGGAUGAUUUGAAUGAUGAAUUCUAGGAGUGACUCAAAGAUAUGAUCAUAAUGGACUCAUGUGUUGAGUCAUGAUUGAUCAAGUGUUCAACCAAGCUAUUCAAGUGAAGAAUUCAAUAUACUCUUCAAGACGUCAAGAUUAAACAUGGAGUAGAGAUAUAGGUUGAACAAGAUGAAGCUCAAAGAUCGAACUCUAAAUGGACAACACACGAGCACAAAUGAUGCACCACAUAGGAUCUUGUGGUAUGAUAAGAAAUUAUCAAUUGCACUCUGUGUACUAACCCAUACUAUGUGUUGUCUAUGUUUUUGAGGGUUAGGUGAUUCUCAUGGGCUCGCAUCAAGAAAGAGAUUUCAAGUGUCUAUGAGAGGAUGACAUCAAGUGUUGGUGAUCAUGCUUGACAAGGGCAAGUUCAAGAUAACCAUCCCAAAGGAUUACAUUCUUGAAGCUUGUGGAUGAUCAAAUGAUGGACAAGUGAAGAUGAAUACAAAGCAAAGCUUCCCACAUUGUGUAUGGGGGGAGAGACUUGAAGACUUUACCAAUGUCUUGCCUUCAUCUUGAGCCAAGAAGAGACAUCAACAUCAAGCUCAAGUGAACGGCUAGUGUCGAAGGUAUUAGUUCCUUUGAUGUUAGUGUUGUGGAGUGAUGACCACCAAAGAAACAUAUACACUCAAGAAUGGAUUCUCGAUAGCUAUGUAGUGUAGCUCUUUUAUGAUUCUUGAGUUAUAGGGAUCCCGUACUAUUAAGAAGUGAUAAAAGGGAUUUAUGAUGGAUUUGCUCAAUUCAACAUCUUCUAUACACAAUUCCACUCAUAUCCUAUAUACCAAAGAAAAGCCAAAGCCAAAUAGUUUCCCAAAAUAUAUGAUCUAACCUUUCCAUACUUUGCACCCUCCAUUUUGGUUUAUCUUGGUUGGUUCUCUAUGUGAGGACCUGGAGCUUUUCCAUAGCUUCACAACGAGCCCAAGAUCAUCAAAAUCAGAGUUCGGAUGUGAAAGUUAUGCAUGUUUUAGUUUUGGGGUUCCUGCUGUUAUUUUGGCCGGACGUCCGUUAACGUCCGGAAAUCCGGUGUGCCGAUCCAGAAGCAAACAGACGGAUUUCCGGUACUUAUCGGAUGUCCGGUGCCCGGAUGUCCGUCAAGUGUCGGAUGUCUGACAAACCUGUUUCGCAAAUAUCCUGCUACAUUCGUCUGAUGGCAUGCUACGGUCGUCGGACGUCCGGUGUUCCACCGGACGUCGAGUGCCUGUUUUGCCACCGGACGUCCGGUAAUCCACCGGACGUCCGACACUUUCCUGAGCAGAAUUCUCCCCAACGACCACAUUUGGGGUCACACUAUAAAUACCCCUUCACUACUUCAUGGAGGGGUUGAGCAACACAUUCAUAUGAACCCUAGAACACAAAAAGGCUCCCUCUCACUUCUCCUACACCAAAUCUUAGAUCCCAGAGAGAUUCAUGAGAGUUCUUGAGAGAUUUUCCAAUCAAGUGAUAGAUCCACUCCCUCUCCCUCUCUUGACCAAAGGAAUUCGUGAUUUGAGCAAGUCUUGAGCAUUUCCCCUUUGUUCUUGUUACUCUUGGAGGUUGGAGACUCCUAGGCGGUAGGAGUGCUCCGGUGAGGAAUCAACUUGUGAUUUGUCCCCUGGAAAGUUUGUGAAGGUUUGGAGGCCGCCUCAAGGUCUACCACUAGUGGAUGAGAAUCGCCUUCGUGGUGAUAUCUUAAGGAGAAUAGGGUGAGCCUUCGUGGCGUUGGUGUGCCUUCGUGGUAACAUCCACCUCUCUAACGGUGACUAGCUUCCCUCCAAGGAAGUGAACAUCGGGAUACAUCCUCGUCUUUGUGACUUUGGUUAUCCCUAACCCUAACUCCUUACUUGUGGUUUACUUUGGUCACUUGACCGUGCAUUCAUUGUAUCUUGUUGUCCUCAUUAUAUUGUGUUGGCCAUUCCCUUGAAGAGAUUAUUUAGGCCUACACUUUAUAUUCGCAAUUCAUACUUUCUACUAUUGUUCUAUCUUAUGCUUAGUGUGAAUUGCUAGCUUGUAACAUUCAUUUCCAUAUCUUGUGACAUAACUUGUGUAAGCUUGUAGUGCUUACUUGAGUUUGCUUGUAUCAUUCAAUUCCAUAUAUUGUGAUACAAUUUGUGUAAGCUUGUAUUGCUUACUUGUGGUUGUGUGUAUUAUUCAUUUCCAUAUCUCAUGAUAUACAUUGAGUAAGUUAGUGUGACUUACUUGUGCUUACUCAUAUCCUCGUUGUUCUCAUCUUGUUUAUCCUAAGUUGUUGGUGCACUUAGUGAGCCUAGUAUAUUUAGGAUUUGUGCUUGAAAAGUAUCUGAUUAGUUUAUUUCCGCAUUAGGAUAUAGCCAAAUCCGUAAAAGAUUUUAAAACGCCUAUUCACCCCCCCCCCUCUAGGCGACAUCAUGGUCCUUUCAGGCGGGCGCCCGGCGGAGCGGCGGCGGUGCGCGUGGGGAAGGAGACCGCGGCGAGCGCGAGGACAACGCCGGAGCGGGGGCAGCCGCGUGGGGAGGCCAGAGCAAGGCUGUGGACGCCAAGGAAGGAGGCCGAGCAUGGCGAGCAGGGGCCCGAGGCCACGUCGGCCUCGCUUGGCAGCGACAAGGGCGAGGCACAGUGAGGCAAGGCUCAGGCACGCGUGUUGACGUGCGUGGGCAUGCGCGUGCGGCAACAGCUAGGCAUAGCGCGGGCGGGAGCGGGUGGACGCGGUGCACGGUCGAGAGCUGCAGGCGGCGACAGCGUGGCCGGCGCGGUGGUGCGCGUGCACGCGGACGGCACCGAGCAGAGGCAGGCAAGGGGGGAGGGCGAGGCCUCACCGAGGGAACGUAGGGGGUACGGGCAGCGGAGGGUCGAGGUGGUCGAUGGGGACGACGGCGUCGGGGGAGGUAGAAAGGCGAGGAGGCGUGGUCGAGGCGGCGUGAGGAGACGAGGAGGCGGAGGAUCCGGAGACGAAGCUCGGCGGCAGGCUGCGAAAUCCAUGGGCGGCAACGGCGAUGUCGGCAGGGCGCGGUUGGGGUUGAGCCCUCGAUCUCGAUCCAGAACGAGGAGGGAGUGGGCGAUGUGGGGGGAGGAGUGGGGUAGUGCGUUCGGGUUAGGGUUUCGGUAGUGGGUGUAAUGGGAGUGUGGGGUGGCCGGUUGGGCUAGCGGUCUGGCCUGGCUGGGCCAAGGCCCAGUUGGGCCGAGGGAGGGAAGGGUUCCCUUCUCCCCUUUUUUUGUAUUUUGUUUUUUUCCUUUUGUUUAUUUUUCUUUCUGUUUUCUUAUUUCUUUUAUUUAUUUAAUAAUUUAUAGUUUUACAAAAAGUAAAACCCAUUCCUAAAAUAGAGUUACAAUUCCAACUACUUCCACAGAAAGUUUUACCCCUGAUCAAAAUAGUUUAGCAUUUUAUAAUAUUCAAAAGGCAUUUAUUUAAUAGUUUUACCUACUGUUUUAAUCAUUUAAGUGCAUUUAAACCUUUUAUAAAAAUGUGGUUUCUCCAUAAUAAUUACCUAUGCAUUAUUUGGCAACACCCCAACAUUUUAGUUUAAUAUUUGAAAACCUUUACAGUUUGACUUUAUUUUAAGUUUGAAUUUCAAAUCAAUUUUGAAUUAACACGAGAUUAACAACAGUAAUCGUGGUGACGUGGCAUCAUUAACGUGGGAUUACUGUAGCCUAAUUAUCCGGGCGUCACAUAUGCAUGCUAUGAGAUGCAGAAUGAGAUAGAUCCAACUUGUGGGAACAUAAACCACUUGUGGUUGAAAAGGAUGAAUCUAUCGGAUCAAAAAGACUAUAAAAAGAGGUUUUAUUUACCACACGAGGAACUGCUAGACGGAGUGGGAGAGGAGGCCGAGCAGUUCGAUCUUCCGUGCCCUAACUUGGUGCCGAAGGACACCUACAGCGACGACGGAGAAGACGAUGUCCGCGGCCGGCGUGAGGACGGCGUCGGUGAGGUCAUGACAGCUAAGCGCUUCGUCGCCGGCGUCGUCGAGGGCUAUCGGUGGCGCUAGGGUUUGUGCGAGAGUGGAAGAAGAGAUAAUGACUAGGGUGAGGCGUGUAUUUAUAGAGAUAGGGACGGCACAGCGUUAUUACGCAGGUGCCCCUGGCGGUUCACAUCUGAAGGACACGUGGCGAUCAUGCAACACAUUGGAGGUUGUUCCAUGUUCCCUUGCACGCCUGCAUUGUCGGGUGGUCGUUCCCACUUCUCCGGGUUUCAGGUAAAAAAGAUUGAACAUUUAAAAACAGAUUUAAUGUUUGUCUUUGUAUCUUCUGCUGACAAGGACACAUCAAAGACAUUCGACAGUUUCAAUAGAAUGCAUAUGAUUUGGAUAGAUAGACUUGAGAUAGGAGCAUAGAAAGGUUAGGGUCCGAUCACAUUCACUUAGUUCAAAAGAUUCAAUGUGAAGACAUAGCUAUAAGUGAAUGUUGUAGAGGACAGAAACUAAAUCAGUACAUUGAAGAUAGACAUGAGGCCAUGUUAACAUUGAAGACAAACAAAAUGCGAAGACUUUCAAAUGUAACGCCAUGAGAAAAACACUUCUAAGGGAAGAAUUUGGUGGUGGUGUUACCCACCGUAUAGGAAGUAUUAGACCCAGACACGGCACACAAUUAUUGUGGCGCUCCGAAGUCAAAUUCCAUGUUAAUGUAUUCACACUCAGAAUGUAAGUCUUCAUUGUUUGAAGAUAUACUCUACUUCGUGUGUUGCACAUCUAAGUCAUCAACAUGCAUAAGUGUUAGAAUGUGUGCCUGAUCACAGGACAUUUGAGGAUUUCAAGAUAUUUAGCUCACACCGUAAUUUGCAAAACCUUUUCUCAUCCAAGGGCUUUGUGAAGAUAGCUGCCAGUUGCUCUUCAGUGUUGACAUGUAUGAUAUCAAUAUCUUCCUUCAUGACAUGAUCUCUCAAAAAGUGAUGACGAAUUUCAAUGUGCUUUGUCUUCGAGUGCUGAACUGGGUUGUUAGCAAUCUUGAUGGCGCUUUCAUUGUCGCAGUAGAGUGGCACUUGUUUCAGAUGAAUGCCAUAGUUUUUGAGUGUUUACUUCAUCCAUAGAAGCUGAGCGCAGCAAGAUUCAACAGCAAUGUAUUCAGAUUCAGUAGUGGAGAGAGAUGCACAGUUCUGCUUCUUUGAAGACCAACAUACAAGUGAGCGUCCCAGAAAGUGACAUGUGCCUGAUGUAGACUUGUGAUCCACCUUGUCACCAGCAUAAUCAGUAUCCGAGAAUCCAACUAGAUCAAACUCUGAGCCCUUUGGAUACCACAAUCCUAGUGUUGGGCUGUGAGCCAAAUAUCAAAGAAUUCGCUUCACAGCUAAGUGAUGCGAUUCCUUUGGUGCCGCUUGGAAUCGGGCACACAUACAAACACUAAGCAUGAUAUCUGGCCUAGAUGCACAUAAAUAAAGCAAAGAACCAAUCAUGGGGCGGUAUACCUUUUGAUAGAACUCUUUACCAUUGUCGUCGGGACCCAGAUGGUGUUUAGCUGGCAUUGGCGUCGUGUAACCUUUGCAAUCUUGCAUUCCAAACUUCUUCAGGCAAUCUUUGAGGUAUUUCUCUUGAGAUAUGAAGAUGCCGUUGUGUUGCUGUCGUAUUUGAAGACCAAGGAAGAACUUCAACUCUCCCAUCAUGGACAUCUGAUAUUGCUCUUGCAUCAUGUAUCCAAACUCAUCACUGUAUUUCUGAUUAGUGCAGCCGAAGAUAAUGUCAUCCACAUAUAUUUGGCACACAAACAGUUCACCAUCACAUGUCUUCGUGAAGAGUGUGGGAUUUAGGGAACCAGGUUAGAAGCCUUUGCUCUUCAGGAAGUCUUUGAGUGUGUCAUACCAAGCACGAGGGGCUUGUUUGAGGCCAUACAGUGCCUUGUUGAUCUUAUACACCAUGUCAGGAUGUUUUGGAUCUUCAAAGCCAGGCGGUUGUGCAACAUACACUUCUUCAAUCUUGCCAUUGAGAAAAGCGCUCUUCACAUCCAUUUGAUACAGAAGAAUGUUAUGAUGAUUUGCAUAGGCCAGCAGUAUGCGUAUAGCUUCAAGCCUAGCCACAGGAGCAAAUGUUUCAUCGAAGUCAAUUCCUUCAACUUGAGUGUAUCCUUGAGCAACGAGACGAGCUUUGUUUCUGACAACUUGACCAUGCUCAUCUUGCUUGUUGCGAUAUAUCCAUUUAGUGCCUAUGAUAUUGUGCUUAUGAGGAUCAGGACGCUUGACCAGUUCCCAUACAUUAUUCAGCUCAAAUUGUUGAAGCUCUUCUUGUUGGGUUUCGUAGUAAUUUCAAAAAAAUUCCUACGCACACGCAAGAUCAUGGUGAUGCAUAGCAACGAGAGGGGAGAGUGUGAUCUACGUACCCUUGUAGAUCGACAACGGAAGCGUUAGCACAACAUGGUUGAUGUAGUCGUACGUCUUCACGGCCCGACCGAUCAAGCACCGAAACUACGGCACCUCCGAGUUCUAGCACACGUUCAGCUCGAUGACGAUCCCCGGACUCCGAUCCAGCAAAGUGUCGGGGAAGAGUUCCGUCAACACGACGGCGUGGUGAUGAUCUUGAUGUACUACCGUCGCAGGGCUUCGCCUAAGCACCGCUACAAUAUUAUCAAGGACUAUGGUGGAAGGGGGCACCGCACACGGCUAAGAAUAUGAUCACGUGGAUCAACUUGUGUGUCUAGGGGUGCCCCCUGCCUCCGUAUAUAAAGGAUCAAAGGGGGGUGAGGCCGGCCAGGGAGGCGCGCCAGGAGGAGUCCUACUCCCUCCGGGAGUAGCAUUCCCCCCCUUUCCUAGUUGGAAUAGGAUUCGGGAGGGGGGAAAGAGGAGAGAGAGAAGGAAGGGGGGCGCCGGCCCCCUCUCCUUGUCCUAUUCGGACUAGGGGGGGAGGGGCGCGUGGCCCAGCCCUGGCCACCUCUCAUCUCUUCCACUAAAGCCCACUAAGGCCCAUAUACCUCCCGGGGGGUUCCGGUAACCUCCCGGUACUCCGGUAAAAUCCCGAUUUCACCCGGAACACUUCCGAUAUCCAAAUAUAGGCUUCCAAUAUAUCAAUCUUUAUGUCUCGACCAAUUCGAGAGUCCUCGUCAUGUUCGUGAUCACAUCCGGGACUCCGAACAAACUUCGGUACAUCAAAACUCAUAAACUCAUAAUAUAACUAUCAUUGAAACCUUAAGCGUGCGGACCCUACGAGUUCGAGAACAAUGUAGACAUGACUGAGACACGUCUUCGGUCAAUAACCAAUAGCGGAACCUGGAUGCUCAUAUUGGCUCCUACAUAUUCUAUGAAGAUCUUUUAUCGGUCAGACCACAUAACAACAUACAUUGUUCCUUUUGUCAUCGGUAUGUUACUUGCCCGGGAUUCGAUCAUCGGUAUCUCAAUACCUAGUUCAAUCUCGUUACCGGCAAGUCUCUUUACUCGUUCCGUAAUACAUAAUCUCACAACUAACUCAUUAGUUGCAAUGCUUGCAAGGCUUAUGUGAUGUGCAUUACCGAGAGGGCCCAGAGAUACCUCUCCGACAAUCGGAAUGACAAAUCCUAAUCUCGAAAUACGCCAACCCAACAUGUACCUUUGGAGACACCUGUAGAGCACCUUUAUAAUCACCCAUUUACUUUGUGAUGUUUGGUAGCACACAAAGUGUUCCUCCGGCAAACGGGGGUUGCAUAAUAUCAUAGUCAUAGAAACAUGUAUAAGUCAUGAAGAAAGCAAUAGCAACAUACUAAACGAUCGGGUGCUAAGCUAACGGAAUGGGUCAUGUCAAUCAGAUCAUUCACCUAAUGAUGUGAUCCCGUUAAUCAAAUAACAACUCUUUGUCUAUGGUUAGGAAACAUAACCAUCUUUGAUCAACGAGCUAGUCUAGUAGAGGCAUACUAGUGACACUCUGUUUGUCUAUGUAUUCACACAUGUAUUAUGUUUCCGGUUAAUACAAUUCUAGCAUGAAUAAUAAACAUUUAUCAUGAUAUAAGGAAAUAAAUAAUAACUUUAUUAUUGCCUCUAGGGCAUAUUUCCUUCAGUCUCCCACUUGCACUAGAGUCAAUAAUCUAGAUUACACAGUAAUAAUUCUAACACCCAUGGAGCCUUGGUGCUGAUCAUGUUUUGCCCGUGGAAGAGGCUUAGUCAAUAGGUCUGCUACAUUCAGAUCCGUAUGUAUCUUGCAAAUCUCUAUGUCUCCCACCUGGACUAGAUCCCGGAUGGAAUUGAAGCGUCUCUUGAUGUGCUUGGUUCUUUUGUGAAAUCUGGAUUCCUUUGCCAAGGCAAUUGCACCAGUAUUGUCACAAAAGAUUUUCAUUGGACCCGAUGCACUAGGUAUGACACCUAGAUCGGAUAUGAACUCCUUCAUCCAGACUCCUUCAUUUGCUGCUUCCGAAGCAGCUAUGUAUUCCGCUUCACACGUAGAUCCCGCCACGACGCUUUGUUUAGAACUGCACCAACUGACAGCUCCACCGUUUAAUGUAAACACGUAUCCGGUUUGCGAUUUAGAAUUGUCCGGAUCAGUGUCAAAGCUUGCAUCGACGUAACCAUUUACGAUUAGCUCUUUGUCACCUCCAUAAACAAGAAACAUAUCCUUAGUCCUUUUCAGGUAUUUCAGGAUGUUCUUGACCGCUAUCCAGUGAUCCACUCCUGGAUUACUUUGGUACCUCCCUGCUAGACUUAUAGCAAGGCACACAUCAGGUCUGGUACACAGCAUUGCAUACAUGAUAGAGCCUAUGGCCGAAGCAUAGGGAACAUCUUUCAUUUUCUCUCUAUCUUCUGCAGUGGUCGGGCAUUGAGUCUGACUCAACUUCACACCUUGUAACACAGGCAAGAACCCUUUCUUUGCUUGAUCCAUUUUGAACUUCUUCAAAACUUUGUCAAGGUAUGUGCUUUGUGAAAGUCCAAUUAAGCGUCUUGAUCUAUCUCUAUAGAUCUUUAUGCCUAAUAUGUAAGCAGCUUCACCGAGGUCUUUCAUUGAAAAACUCUUAUUCAAGUAUCCCUUUAUGCUAUCCAGAAAUUCUAUAUCAUUUCCAAUUAGUAAUAUGUCAUCCACAUAUAAUAUCAGAAAUGCUACAGAGCUCCCACUCACUUUCUUGUAAAUACAGGCUUCUCCAAAAGUCUGUAUAAAACCAAAUGCCUUGAUCACACUAUCAAAGCAUUUAUUCCAACUCUGAGAGGCUUGCACCAGUCCAUAAAUGGAUCGCUGGAGCUUGCACACUUUGUUAGCUCCCUUUGGAUCGACAAAACCUUCUGGUUGCAUCAUAUACAACUCUUCUUCCAGAAAUCCAUUCAGGAAUGCAGUUUUGACAUCCAUCUGCCAAAUUUCAUAAUCAUAAAAUGCAGCAAUUGCUAACAUGAUUCGGACAGACUUAAGCAUCGCUACGGGUGAGAAGGUCUCAUCGUAGUCAACCCCUUGAACUUGCCGAAAACCUUUUGCGACAAGUCGAGCUUUGUAGACAGUAAUAUUACCGUCAGCGUCAGUCUUCUUCUUGAAGAUCCAUUUAUUCUCAAUUGCUUGCCGAUCAUUGGGCAAGUCAACCAAAGUCCAUACUUUGUUCUCAUACAUGGAUCCCAUCUCGGAUUUCAUGGCUUCAAGCCAUUUUGCGGAAUCUGGGCUCACCAUCACUUCUUCAUAGUUCGUAGGUUCAUCAUGAUCUAGUAGCAUGACUUCCAGAACAGGAUUACCGUCCCACCCUGGCGCGGAUCUCACUCUCGUUGAUCUACGAGGUUCAGUAGUAUCUUGUUCUGAAGUUUCAUGAUCAUUAUCAUUAGCUUCCUCACUAAUUGGUGUAGGUGUCACAGAAACAGGUUUCUGUGAUGUACUACUUUCCAAUAAGGGAGUAGGUACAGUUACCUCGUCAAGUUCUACUUUCCUCCCACUCACUUCUUUCGAGAGAAACUCCUUCUCCAGAAAGUUUCCAAAUUUAGCAACAAAAGUCUUGCCUUCGGAUCUAUGAUAGAAGGUGUAUCCAAUAGUUUCCUUUGGAUAUCCUAUGAAGACACAUUUCUCCGAUUUGGGUUCGAGCUUAUUAGGUUGAAGCUUUUUCACAUAAGCAUCGCAGCCCCAAACUUUCAGAAACAACAACUUUGGUUUCUUGCCAAACCACAGUUCAUAAGGCGUCGUCUCAACGGAUUUUGAUGGUGCCCUAUUUAACGUGAAUGCAGCCGUCUCUAGAGAGUAUCCCCAAAACGAUAGCGGUAAAUCAGUAAGAGACAUCAUAGAUCGUACCAUAUCUAGUAAAGUAUGAUUACGACGUUCGGACACACCAUUACGCUGUGGUGUUCCGGGUGGCGUGAGUUGUGAAACUAUUCCACAUUGUUUCAAAUGUACACCAUACUCGUAACUCAAAUAUUCUCCUCCACGAUCAGAUCGUAGGAAUUUUAUUUUCUUGUUAUGAUAAUUUUCAACUUCACUCUGAAAUUCUUUGAACUUUUCAAAUGUUUCAGACUUGUGUUUCAUUAAGUAGAUAUACCCAUAUCUGCUUAAGUCAUCUGUGAAGGUGAGAAAAUAACGAUAUCCGCCAUGAGCCUCAACAUUCAUCGGACCACAUACAUCUGUAUGUAUGAUUUCUAACAAAUCUGUUGCUCUCUCCAUAGUACCGGAGAACGGUGUUUUUGUCAUCUUACCCAUAAGGCACGGUUCGCAAGUACCAAGUGAUUCAUAAUCAAGUGGUUCCAAAAGCCCAUCAGUAUGGAGUUUCUUCAUGCGCUUUAUACCGAUAUGACCUAAACGGCAGUGCCACAAAUAAGUUGCACUAUCAUUAUCAACUCUGCAUCUUUUGGUUUCAACACUAUGAAUAUGUGUGUCACUACUAUCGAGAUUUAAUAAGAAUAGACCACUCUUUAAGGGUGCAUGACCAUAAAAGAUAUUACUCAUGUAAAUAGAACAACCAUUAUUCUCUGAUUUAAAUGAAUAACCGUCUCGCAUCAAACAAGAUCCAGAUAUAAUGUUCAUGCUUAACGCUGGCACCAAAUAACAAUUAUUUAGGUCUAAUAUUAAUCCCGAAGGUAGAUGUAGAGGUAGCGUGCCGACUGCGAUCACAUCGACUUUGGAACCGUUUCCCACGCGCAUUGUCACCUCGUCCUUAGCCAAUCUUCGCUUAAUCCGUAGUCCCUGUUUCGAGUUGCAAAUAUUGGCAACAGAACCAGUAUCAAAUACCCAGGUGCUACUGCGAGAAUUAGUAAGGUACACAUCAAUAACAUGUAUAUCACAUAUACCUUUGUUCACCUUGCCAUCCUUCUUAUCCGCCAAAUACAUGAGGCAGUUCCGCUUCCAGUGACCAGUCUGCUUGCGGUAGAAGCACUCAGUUUUAGGCUUAGGUCCAGGUUUGGGUUUCAUCUCUUGAGCAGCAACUUGCUUGCUGUUCUUUUUGAAGUUCCCCUUCUUCUUCCCUUUGCCCUUUUUCUUGAAACUAGUGGUCUUGUUGACCAUCAACACUUGAUGUUCCUUCUUGAUUUCUACCUCCGCAGCUUUCAGCAUUGCGAAGAGCUCGGGAAUAGUCUUAUUCAUCCCUUGCAUAUUAUAGUUCAUCACGAAGCUUUUGUAGCUUGGUGGCAGUGAUUGGAGAAUUCUGUCAAUGACGCAAUCAUCUGGAAGAUUAAUUCCCAAUUGAAUCAAGUGAUUAUUAUACCCAGACAUUUUGAGUAUAUGCUCACUGACAGAACUGUUCUCCUCCAUCUUGCAGCUAUAGAACUUAUUGGAGACUUCAUAUCUCUCAAUCCGGGCAUUUGCUUGAAAUAUUAACUUCAACUCCUGGAACAUCUCAUAUGCUCCAUGACGUUCAAAACAUCGUUGAAGUCCCGAUUCUAAGCCGUAAAGCAUGGCACACUGAACUAUCAAGUAGUCAUCAGCUUUGCUCUUCCAGACGUUCAUAACAUCUGGUGUUGCUCCAGUAGCAGGCCUGGCACCCAGCGGUGCUUCCAGGAUGUAAUUCUUCUGUGCAGCAAUGAGGAUAAUCCUCAAGUUACGAACCCAGUCCGUGUAAUUGCUACCAUCAUCUUUCAACUUUGCUUUCUCAAGGAACGCAUUAAAAUUCAACGGAACAACAGCAUGGGCCAUCUAUCUACAAUCAAACAUAAAUAAGCAAGAUACUAUCAGGUACUAAGUUCAUGAUAAAUUUAGGUUCAAUUAAUCAUAUUACUUAAGAACUCCCACUUAGAUAGACAUCCCUCUAAUCCUCUAAGUGAUUACGUGAUCCAAAUCAACUAAACCAUGUCCGAUCAUCACGUGAGAUGGAGUAGUUUCAUUGGUGAACAUCGCUAUGUUGAUCAUAUCUGCUAUAUGAUUCACCCUCGACCUUUCGGUCUCCGUGUUCCGAGGCCAUAUCUGUAUAUGCUUGGCUCGUCAAGUAUAACCUGAGUAUUCCGUGUGUGCAACUGUUUUGCACCCGUUGUAUUUGAACGUAGAGCCUAUCACACCCGAUCAUCACGUGGUGUCUCAGCACGAAGAACUUUCGCAACGGUGCAUACUCAGGGAGAACACUUCUUGAUAAUUAGUGAGAGAUCAUCUUAUAAUGCUACCGUCAAUCAAAGCAAGAUAAGAUGCAUAAAAGAUAAACAUCACAUGCAAUCAAUAUAAGUGAUAUGAUAUGGCCAUCAUCAUCUUGUGCUUGUGAUCUCCAUCUUCGAAGCACCGUCAUGAUCACCAUCGUCACCGACGCGACACCUUGAUCUCCAUCGUAGCAUCGUUGUCAUCUCGCCAAUCUUAUGCUUCCACGACUAUCGCUACCGCUUAGUGAUAAAGUAAAGCAUUACAGCGCGAUUGCAUUGCAUACAAUAAAGCGACAACCAUAUGGCUCCUGCCAGUUGCCGAUAACUCGGUUACAAAACAUGAUCAUCUCAUACAAUAAAAUUUAGCAUCAUGUCUUGACCAUAUCACAUCACAACAUGCCCUGCAAAAACAAGUUAGACGUCCUCUACUUUGUUGUUGCAUGUUUUACGUGGCUGCUACGGGCUUAAGCAAGAACCAAUCUUACCUACGCAUCAAAACCACAAUGAUAGUUUGUCAAGUUGGUGCUGUUUUAACCUUCGCAAGGACCGGGCGUAGCCACACUCGGUUCAACUAAAGUUGGAGAAACUGUCACCCGCUAGCCACCUUUGUGCAAAGNNNNNNNNNNNNNNNNNNNNNNNNNNNNNNNNNNNNNNNNNNNNNNNNNNNNNNNNNNNNNNNNNNNNNNNNNNNNNNNNNNNNNNNNNNNNNNNNNNNNNNNNNNNNNNNNNNNNNNNNNNNNNNNNNNNNNNNNNNNNNNNNNNNNNNNNNNNNNNNNNNNNNNNNNNNNNNNNNNNNNNNNNNNNNNNNNNNNNNNNNNNNNNNNNNNNNNNNNNNNNNNNNNNNNNNNNNNNNNNNNNNNNNNNNNNNNNNNNNNNNNNNNNNNNNNNNNNNNNNNNNNNNNNNNNNNNNNNNNNNNNNNNNNNNNNNNNNNNNNNNNNNNNNNNNNNNNNNNNNNNNNNNNNNNNNNNNNNNNNNNNNNNNNNNNNNNNNNNNNNNNNNNNNNNNNNNNNNNNNNNNNNNNNNNNNNNNNNNNNNNNNNNNNNNNNNNNNNNNNNNNNNNNNNNNNNNNNNAAUUUCCUACGCACACGCAAGAUCAUGGUGAUGCAUAGCAACGAGAGGGGAGAGUGUGAUCUACGUACCCUUGUAGAUCGACAACGGAAGCGUUAGCACAACGUGGUUGAUGUAGUCGUACGUCUUCACGGCCCGACCGAUCAAGCACCGAAACUACGACACCUCCGAGUUCUAGCACACGUUCAGCUCGAUGACGAUCCCCGGACUCCGAUCCAGCAAAGUGUCGGGGAAGAGUUCCGUCAGCACGACGGCGUGGUGACGAUCUUGAUGUACUACCAUCGCAGGGCUUCGCCUAAGCACCGCUACAAUAUUAUCGAGGACUAUGAUGGAAGGGGGCACCGCACAUGGCUAAGAAUAUGAUCACGUGGAUCAACUUGUGUGUCUAGGGGUGCCCCCUGCCUCCAUAUAUAAAGGAUCAAAGGGGGGUGCAGCCGGCCAGGGAGGGUGCGCCAGGAGGAGUCCUACUCCCUCCGGGAGUAGGAUUCCCCCCCUUUCCUAGUUGGAAUAGGAGUCGGGAGGGGGGAAAGAGGAGAGAGAGAAGGAAGGGGGGCGCCGGCCCCCCUCUCCUUGUCCUAUUCGGACUAGGGGGGAGGGGCGCGCGGCCCUGCCCUGGCCACCUCUCCUCUCUUCCACUAAAGCCCACUAAGGCCCAUAUACCUCCCGGGGGGGUCCGGUAACCUCCCGGUACUCCGGUAAAAUCCCGAUUUCACCCGGAACACUUCCGAUAUCCAAAUAUAGGCUUCCAAUAUAUCAAUCUUUAUGUCUCAACCAAUUCGAGACUCCUCGUCAUGUCCGUGAUCACAUCCGGGACUUCGAACAAACUUCGGUACAUCAAAACUCAUAAACUCAUAAUAUAACUGUCAUCGAAACCUUAAGCGUGCGGACCCUACGGGUUUGAGAACAAUGUAGACAUGACCGAGACACGUCUCCGGUCAAUAACCAAUAGCGGAACCUGGAUGCUCAUAUUGGCUCCUACAUAUUCUACGAAGAUCUUUUAUCAGUCAGACCGCAUAACAACAUAUGUUGUCCCUUUUGUCAUCGGUAUGUUACUUGCCCGAGAUUCGAUCGUCGGUAUCUCAAUACCUAGUUCAAUCUCAUUACCGGCAAGUCUCUUUACUUGUUCCGUAAUACAUCAUCUCACAACUAACUCAUUAGUUGCAAUGCUUGCAAGGCUUAUGUGAUGUGCAUUACCGAGAGGGCCCAGAGAUACCUCUCCGACAAUCGGAGUGACAAAUCCUAAUCUCGAAAUACGCCAACCCAACAUGUACCUUUGGAGACACCUGUAGAGCACCUUUAUAAUCACCCAUUUACAUUAUGAUGUUUGGUAGCACACAAAGUGUUCCUCCGGCAAACGGGAGUUGCAUAAUCUCAUAGUCAUAGGAACAUGUAUAAGUCAUGAAGAAAGCAAUAGCAACAUACUAAAUGAUCGGGUGCUAAGCUAACGGAAUGGGUCAUGUCAAUCAGAUCAUUCACCUAAUGAUGUGACCCCGUUAAUCAAAUAACAACUCUUUGUCUAUGGUUAGGAAACAUAACCAUCUUUGAUCAACGAGCUAGUCUAGUAGAGGCAUACUAGUGACACUCUGUUUGUCUAUGUAUUCACACAUGUAUUAUGUUUCCGGUUAAUACAAUUCUAGCAUGAAUAAUAAACAUUUAUCAUGAUAUAAGGAAAUAAAUAAUAACUUUAUUAUUGCCUUUAGGGCAUAUUUCCUUCACUUCUUGCAUAGCUUGAAUCCAUUCAGGUUCCAUCAAGGCUUCAUCAACUUUCUUGGGUUCGGAUAUUGAGACGAAUGUGAAGUGCCCACAGAAAUUUGCUAGUUGUGUUGCCCUUGAACGAGUGAGUGGACCAGGUGCAUUGAUGCUAUCAAUUAUUUUCUCAAUCUGUACUUCAUUUGCAACACGAGGAUGAACAGGACACAUAUUUUGCUCUUGCUGAUCAUUGUCAUCGUUAGCAGGAUUGUCUUCAGGCUGAGCAUUGUCUUCUGGUUGAUCUGGUGUAGAGAUGAUGAGUUCCUCUUCGGGCUGUGCUUCAGACGGUAUGAUUUCUCCAGUUCCCAUAAGCUUGAUGGAUUCACUGGAUGGAACUUCAUCUAGCACAUUUGGCAGGUGCUCUCUUUGCGAGCCGUUAGUCUCAUCGAACCGCACAUACACAAUUUCAACCACUUUAUAGUGAAAGAGGUUGAAGACUCUAUAGGAGUGCGAAUCCUUUCCGUAUCCAAGCAUAAAACCUUCAUGUGCUUUCGGUGCAAAUUUUGAAGUGUGAUGUGGAUCCUUGAUCCAGCACCUGGGACCAAAUACUUUGAAGUAACUAACAUUUGGCUUCUUACCAGUGAGAAGCUCAUAGGAUGUUUUGUUCAGAAGCUUGUGAAGAUAAACAUGGUUGAUGAUAUGGCAUGCAGUAUCAAUGGCUUUAGGCCAGAACUUUCUUGGAGUCUUGUAUUCAUCGAGCAUCGUCCGGGCCAUCUCAAUGAGUGUUAUGUUCUUGCGUUCCAUGAUGCCAUUCUGUUGCGGCAUGUACGGAGCUGAGAACUCAUGAGUGAUGCCCAAAGUAUCAAGAUAAGUGUCGAGGCCGGUGUUCUUGAAUUCGGUGCCAUUGUCACUUCUGAUGUGCUUGAUCUUGACGCCAUAGUUGUUCAUGGCUCGAUUAGCAAAACGUCUAAAGACAUCCUGCACUUCAGUCUUGUAGAGAAUUAUAUGCACCCAUGUAUAUCUUGAAUAAUCAUCAACAAUGACGAAGCCAUAGAGACAAGUAGUAGUAGUAAGAGUUGAGUAGUGAGUGGGACCGAAGAGGUCCAUGUGUAGCAGUUCGAAGGGUUGAGUCAUUGUCAUGAUUGUCUUCGAGGGAUGCUUGGCCCUCGUCAUCUUUCCAGCUUCGCAAGCACCGCAUAAGUGAUCCUUCUUGAACUUGACGCCCUCGAUGCCUGUGAUAUGCUUCUUCUUUGCAAGAGUGUGCAAGUUCCUCAUGCCAGCAUGCCCUAGCCUCCGAUGCCAGAGCUAGCAUUCUGAAGCUUUUGCAAGAAGACAUACGGCAAGCUGUGGUCCUGCUGAGAAAUCUACCAUGUACAAAUCAUCUUUCCGAUACCCUUCAAAGACUAGAGACUUGUCAGAUUCCAUUAGAACAAGGCAACGAUAUUUUCCAAACAUCACAAUCAUGUUUAAAUCGCAAAGCAUUGAGACGGACAUUAAGUUGGAACCAAGGGAUUCAACAAGCAUCACUUUAUCCAUGUGCUGAUCCCUUGAGAUUGCAACUCUACCUAGACCCAAUACCUUGCUUUUACCAGUAUCAGCAAAUGUGAUGUGACUCUUGUCAGAUGGACGUAGGGUUGAGUCCAUGAGAAGACUUCGCUUGCCAGUCAUGUGAUUAGUACACCCACUAUCAAUAAUCCAUUCUGAAGCAACUGGUAUCAUACCCUAUAGUGUAGUUAGGGGGAUAGGCUUCACGAAGAGAAUUGUGAAGCAUAAACAUUUGACGAGCAAGUGGAUUAUGAAAGCUUAGAUCGAGGUUAGCACUGAUAGGGCAAGUAGCAAGCGACUCAGGAACAAAAUACAUAAUAAGACCAUUUGGGCAUUUGAUCUUGCGCCCUACAAGAUGUUUAAGGUCCCCAGCAAUAGCUUUAGACACAUUUGAUUUUCGGCUGGAGACCCUUCCCUGCAAAAGAGAGUUAAGCUUUCUUAGCCACCCACAUCUUCAAGGGUGGCUUCGAAGCAAUGAGUCUAAGUGCAGCAUCUGAGAACUUUGGCUUUGGAGCCCUAGCAAAUAGUCUUGCAGGUGGACAAUAGUACUCAUAAGAAUAAGCAGAGUAGUUCUUGGUCUUAUGAACAUGGCGGUUUGAUGAAACGCGUUCAUAUUCAUAGGCCUGAGUAUGGUUUCCCUGCAAAACAUUUGCGUUAGUGCGACUCAGGUGAGUCCUCUAUCUGUAUGAAGCUUUUGGACCAUAUGAAGCCCGUGGUCUGGGGUUUGUCUUCUUCACUUGUGGUGUCAUGACGACAUACACAGGAAGAUUUUCCACACACUUUUUCGGCACCCAGAUCUUCAUAGGUGGCCCAUACCUGCAGUUAGUACCAAUAUACCUGGCAAACACUUCACCAUUCUGAUUCUUAAAUAGUUUACAGUUUGCAUCAAAGGAUUCAUCAAUAACAAUGGGAUUAGCACAAGUGAAGCCAGAUAGGGUGGAUGGAUCCACUGAAGGUUCCUUCACAGCAACCCAUGUGGUUUUGGGGUACUGCUCAGGUUUCCAGUAAGAGCCAUCAGCAUUCAUUUUCCUUUCGAACCCAACACCCUGUUUCCUAGGGUUUCGGUUCAGGAUCUGUCUUUUGAGGACAUCACAUAGUGUCUGAUGCCCUUUGAGACUUUUGUACAUUCCUGUUUCAAGCAAUGUCUUCAACCUAGCAUUUUCAUCAGCAAUAGCAGUGGUAUCCUCAGCAGAGGGGUUAGUUACCACAUCAACAGUUGAAGAUAUUGCAACAGUAGCAGCAGUAGAACAUCCAGCAACAGAAGUAGCAUUGUCACGCUCAAUGCAUUUAAGACAUGGUGGUUCAAAUGCUUCCUGAGCGGAACUGAUUUGUUUGGCGCGAAGUGACUCAUUUUCCUUUUGAAGAUCUUCAUGAGUCGCUCUCAAUUUAUCAAGAUCUUGCUUCCUUUGAAGAUAAUCAUAGGAAAGCUUUUCAUGAGUUGUUGAGAGCGUUUCAUGACGACUUUCAAGUUCCUCAUACUUAACAUGAAGAUUUUUUAUGUCUUCAAUUAAGGACUGAGAUCGAGUCAUUUCAGCAUCUAACAGGUUAUCGCUUUUGUCUAACAGUUUUUGAAUAUGUUCCAUAGCUUUAUGUUGUUCAGUUGCAAUUUUAGCAAGUGUUUUGUAGCUGGGUUUGGAACCACAAUUAGAGUCAUCUUCACUGGAUGUUUGAUAGUGAGUAGUGCGUGAGUUUACCUUGGCACCGCGUGCCAUGAAGCAGUAGGUGGGAGCGGAGUUGUCCUGGUCAUUAGCAUCGGCGUCGGUGAUGAAGUCAUUGUCUUCAAUGUUGAAGAUGGACUUGGCAACUUAGGCUGUAGCCAGACUUGCAACACCAGAAUCAGAAUCCUCCUUAGACUCCACCUUCGCCUCCUCAGAAGCAGACUCCUCCUCUGAAUCCAUUUCCUUGCCAGCAAACGCACGAGCCUUGCCAGAUGAGCUCUUCUUGUGUGAUGAAGACUUUGAUGAAGAUUUGGAAGAAGACUUUGAGUAUUUCUUCUUCUUCUUGUCAUCAGAAUCAUAUUCCUUGCUCUUCUUCUUCUUCUUGUUCUCAUUGUCCCACUGCGGACACUCAGAGAUGUAGUGGCCAGGUUUCUUGCACUUGUGGCAUGUUCUCUUCUUGUAGUCAUGAGCAGAAGCUUCAUCAUUCCUUGAGCUGGAUCGUGAGGACUUUCUGAAGCCUUUCUUCUUGGUGAAUUUCUGGAACUUCUUCACAAGCAUAGCAAGCUCCUUUCCAAUGUCUUCAGGAUCAUCAGAACUGCAAUCAGAUUCUUCUUCAGAUGAGGAAACAGUUUUUGCCUUCAAAGCACGAGUUCGUCCAUAGUUGGGACCGUAGAUGUCUCUUUUCUCAGAAAGCUGAAACUCAUGUGUGUUGAGCCUUUCAAGUAUGUCAGACGGAUCGAGUGUCUUGAAGUCAGGGCGUUCUUGUAUCAUCAGGGCUAGGGUGUCAAACGAGCUGUCAAGUGAUCUCAGGAGUGUCUUGACGACUUCAUGCUUGGUGAUCUCAGUAGCGCCGAGGGCUUGAAGCUCAUUUGUGAUGUCAGUGAGUCGAUCAAACGUGAGCUGAACAUUCUCAUUGUCGUUUCUCUUGAAGCGGUUGAAGAGGUUGCGAAGGACACUGAUUCUUUGAUCUCUCUGGGUUGAGACGCCUUCGUUGACCUUGGAGAGCCAGUCCCAGACUAGCUUGGAUGUUUCCAGAGCACUCACACGGCCAUACUGUCCUUUGGUCAGAUGACCACAGAUGAUGUUCUUGGCAGUGGAAUCCAGUUGAACGAACUUCUUGACAUCAGCAGUGGUGACACCUUCACCAGCCUUGGGAACGUCAUUCUUGACGACAUACCAAAGGUCGACAUCAAUGGCUUCCAGAUGCAUGCGCAUCUUAUUUUUCCAGUAGGGAUAUUCAGUUCCAUCGAAGACAGGGCAUGCAACGGAGACUUUGAUUAUCCUUGCAGUCGACAUAGCUAAAACUCCAGGUGGUUAAACCGAAUCACACAGAAUAAGGGAGUACCUUGCUCUGAUACCAAUUGAAAGUGCUAGUGAUCGACUAGAGGGGGUGAAUAGGCGAUUUUUAUGAAAGUCUUCAAAACAUGGAAGUUUCAAAGACAAAUGAUAGAAAUAAACCUAUUACCAUGCAGCGGAAGGUAGACUACACUAAGCAGACCAUAGUCAAGUAUUCAAUAAAAUAAAAGCACAAAGACUAAUAGCAGCUAGGCAGUAUAGAUCAGGAUGGAAGAUAGUAUGAAGCCAAUCAGAACAAGCAGUCACACAAUAAAGGCAAAUAGAUAAUGCAAACAGGCAAUGACUUCACAAGGACCAAUCUGCAAAUAAGAGAUAGGAAAGAUAGAACCAGUGGUUCGUUGAAGACAAUGAUUUGUUGGACCAGUUCCAGUUGCUGUGACAACUGUACGUCUAGUUAGGGAGGCUGAGAUUCAACUCAGAAGACCGCGUCUUCACCUUAUUCCCCUUGAGCUAAGGACACCCAGUCCUCGCCCAAUCACUCUGGUAAGUCUUCAAGGUAGACUUCCAAACCUUCACAGACUUUGUUCACCGGCGAUCCACAAUGACUCUUGGAUGCUCAGAACGCGACGCCUAACCGGCUGGAGAAUUCACAGUCCUCAAGUGUAAUAAGUCUUCAGAUCACACAGACAGGAAGACUUCAGUGAUGCCUAACACUCUUUGGCUCUGGGUGUUUAGGGCUUUGUCCUCGCAAGGAAUUCUCUCUCAAAGGAUUUGAGGUGGGUUGCUCUCAAAGACAGAAGCCGUACACUAACUCUGAGCAGCCAACCAAUUUAUGGUGUAGGGGGUGGGCUAUUUAUAGCCACUAGGCAAUCCGACCUAAUUUGUCCGAAAUGACCCUGGGUCACUAAGGAACUGACACGUGUUUCAACGGUCAGAUUUCAAACACACACGGCAACUUUACUUGAGCUACAAGCAAAGCUGACUUAUUCAGCUCUGGAUAAGAUUUGCUCUCAUUGUCUUCGCUCGAAGACAUAGGAUUUUGGUUAAGCAUCACUUCAGUCAUUCUGACUGGUUCACUUGGACCCCACUUAACAGUACGAUGGUUCCUAUGACUCAACAAAGAAGAAAAUGAAACAACGAAACAACUAAGUCUUCGCGCUCCAUAGUCUUCACAAAAUGUCUUCUCUUGUCAUAGUCUUCAAUGUGAAUACAUUCACAUACCACCUUUGUCUUUAAUGUCUUCAUACAUUUUUAGGGGUCAUCUCCGGUAGGUAAAUUGAAUCAAUGAGGGACUUCUACCUGUGUUAUCCUGCAAUUCUCACAAACACAUUAGUCCUUCAACCAGGUUUAUCGUCAAUACUUCAAAAUCAACUAGAGGUGGCACUAGAUGCACUUACACCUCCUCUCCAAACGACGGGAUUGCGCCGCGAGUAGGGCCCUGGUGUACGUGGCGCUCGCCGCAGGCGAGCUCGUCGGGCGGCGUCACGGCAAGGCGGCGCGGCGCGAGCACUUCCACGGACUUCCCGUCUCCUCAAGCUUCUCCACCAACGCCCGUGUGCUCGACCGCGAGGGCCGCCACGACGUCGGCCGUGACCUGCUCGACGAAAUGCCGCUGCCUACUUGAACCUCAACACUGCUCCUGGGGAUGUAACGAGUGGAAAAUUUUGCGCCCCCAUGCUAAAAUUUUCGCCGGCAGCCCCCCAAGCGGCGGAAGAAAUGCCUCCUGGGGGUGCCAACGAGUGGAGAUGCUCUAAGCACAUAGGCUCCUGAACUUUGGCCACAUUGCGUGAGAUUGAUAAGAGCAGACAAGAAAGAGGAUAUAGUUUUGCUGACAGCGACGGCAUUCAAGCACAUCAUGUAGCAUUGCCGGAAUACCAUACAUACAUCGACACGUACGAUGCCACCAUUCAACGAUCGAGUUGAGUACCGAGUGCCCUAUCCUUCAUGGCACCUCGCAGCACACCAAAGGGAAAGAGGGUCUAAUAAUUAACCAAUCGUAAUAUGGUUUGCUGCGUUUCUACUACUGACUUAUAACAUGAAAAGAAAUCCAUUAUAUAAAUCCAAGCAAUCUGGACAGGGCAAUAUAUUUGUAUUACUUUCAAGGAUAAUGAUCACGCAAGGCACCAGCAGACGGUUAAAUUAUCCUACAUAGUACAUGAUUCUCAUAAGGUGCUAGGAUAAAUAUCAUUUACCGAUGAAAGAAUGGUGAAUAUAUGACAUUGUAGAAAACAAGAGUAUUUCGCAAAACAAAUAAAAAAAAUACAAGAGUUGCCAAUAGAACUCCGACACAAAAUAAUCCAUGGAACAAGUGGUUUUCAUUUGCAAAAAUCGUAGAACACCUUAUAAUCGUACUCUCUUACUAAUCCAGUGACUGAAACGCAUCAAAGAAAUGCAUCGCCAUUCAACCUUCGAAAUUAAGACGCUGGUGAUCUAUCGUGAUUUGAGACACCCAGCAUAUGAACCAAUUCAAGAUCGACACAAGUCCAAGAGCUUCUUGUGUCAUCAUGGGACGACAACAAAAUCCUGGUUAGUGUCACAUCGUCAGUUUAACACAAACGCUACUGUCAACAUGAGACAGCAGCACAAACAUUACUAAUACACAAAGCUUGCAUCGACAGAAAAGCACGAAUACGGUGGCGUGCACUCAUAAACAACCGCAGAUGACAGUGGGAUGUGCUAAGAAACACUAGAAGGUCAAUACGCAGCCCAGGUUAAUUGCUUCACAGUAAAAAUGGGGCAGGAAAGAUGUCACUUUCUAAUGAUGCACAAGUUCACUACAGUACAAAUUGCAAAAAAGGAUAGCCAAAUAUCCAAUUUGACUAACCUUGGGUACAUCAUAACUUUUGGCACCUGGAAGUGAAGUGAAGAAGUCCACAUACUUUCAGGUGACAACCAAGGAGAAUGUGCCAUCGCCAUUUUGAGUACAUUUUUCCUCAGAGAAUUUCAUUCAUCUCAACCAUGGUCAAGAUAUCCAUUUCCAUCUUCGACGGCUCACUACAACUUUAAAGCAUAAAGCACGACCCCCUAAUCAUAUUGUCUAUGGGCGCGAUUCAUGGGAGAACCACAUAGCAUAAUCAGCUAGGCACAGAGAUGUCACAAUAGCUGGAUUGUUAAAGAGAGCUGCACUAGGUCUUCUGGCCUUCGCU
rnacentral:lncRNA from 1 species